rnacentral:lncRNA from 1 species
GACAUUUAAGCAUCCAUAAACCGUCAGACAGAGGAAGGGCGUUCAGUGCAAAGAUUCUGUUGACCUAGGGUUGACUGCAUAAUGUCACUUGUUCGCAAUCUAUUAUUUAUUUCAUAUUUUGAAGAAUUUAAUGGGUAAUCCUAAUUGUUUGUUUUGGCAGGUAUGUGUUGUUAUCUCCUUCUAUCUAACAGUCGUACCUAAAUAGCAUAGUUCCAAAGAGGUAAAUUAUUGUCAUGCCUAGAUAAUUUGGCCAUUUCCUAAUUCAUAAGUCUACAUUAAUUUUGAUUUUGAGUUGACUGAUUUCUUUUCAAGGUCUGCUUCCUUAACGGAGUGACCAAUGUUUUUCAACUAAAUUUAUCAUAUGAUGCAGGAAACAGGGCAGGAUAUGAAAUGAGAAGCUCAUUGGUGGAAGUAUUGCCAGUAGCAGAACCCAAUGAAAAUGAAACUAUUUCAAGGCAGCAGUUGGCAGUUGCAAGUGAAUGGAGGCCCUUGACAAAAUUCUCAAGCGAUUGCAAUGCAAUUACGAUCAUCCUCAGCCUCAGGUAAUGUCUUUUAUUGGUACCCAACAAAAAUGCAAGGUCUGUGAGAAGACAGUUUGUCCAGUUGAGCAGUUAUCUACUGAUGGGGUUGUUUAUCACAAGUCUUGCUUCAAGUGCUCUCACUGCAAAGGCACACUCAAGCUAAGCAAUUACUCAUCCCUGGAAGGUGUUCUUUACUGUAAGCCUCACUUUGAGCAGCUUUUGAAGGAGUCGAGUAACUGCAACAAGAAUUUCCAAUUACCUGCAAAGUCAGCUGAGAAGUUAACUCCUGAGCUGAGAAGGUCGCCUAGCAAAGUUGCCAGCAUGUUCUCUGGGCCCAAUAAAAAUGUGCUUCUUGCAGUAAAACAGUGUGUCCGUGGGAGAAGGUAGCAGCGGAAAAUCAAGCCUCUCACAAGACAUGUUUCAAGUGCUCACAUGGUGGUUAUUCCAUUAGCCCGUCAAAUUACGCAGCCCUAGCAGGCAUCUUGUAUUGCAAACAUAAUUUCUCCCAAUUGUUCAAGGAAAAAGGCAGCUACAACCACCUUAUAUCAAAUCUGCUCCCAUGAAGCGUGCUGCAGUCUCUGUUCAAGAAGCUUGAACAUGUUAUGUUAUCUUCCAUAAAUCUUAUUUGGCGUGGGUUUUCUCUGGCUUGAGGGUGUGCUUUCUAUUUUGAUCCCUCUUGUUGUUUUUGCGGGGAACUACCAAACCUUCGGUUCCCUCUGCUUCUUUGGAUCAUCUUUGUUUGGACAAAUUUCAUGUAAUUAGAGAUACCGAUUUAUGGGAGGCAUAAUCCCAUGGUCGUAAAUUGACCAUUUUCUGGCAAGUUCUUUUUAAAAAGAUAUGAGCAGUUGUUUAAAAAAAAAAAAAUAGCUUGCCUUCAUCAUUGUAUGUUACCAAACUGCUAUGUAUAGCUGUUAACUAUGAGCAUCCGAAAAUAUGGUGCAUCGUGAUUCAUGUAGUGCAAUAUGGCUACCAACGCAUCCUAAAUGGAAUAUUACUCAGUUAGUCAGCAAAAUAAGACAACAUAACUGAUAUUAAAAAAAUAAAAACUACAUUAAUAAGUGGGCAAGAUCAUGCCAGUUUAACUUUUCGCGAGUCGCUGCUGGAGAUAAUCAAAUCGGGGCAGAGAAAAGGAGAAUGGAAUCAGAGGCUAAGAUUAAUAAGUGGGCUUCUGCUUGCUUUGCCCCUCUUUCUUAAACGAUUGGUAGACUGCUGCUUCCACCGAUUAACCGGGUCUUCAACCACUGCUUUUACUGCCUGCCAUCUUGUUGUUUGUCGAAGGGAUGAAUUCGAGUCGAAAAGAGAAAGCGCGCUGAAAAAGAUAAAUCACUAGUGGUUAACUGCUGACUCAGCCAAGUGUUGGCUUCACUUGAUUCACCGAUUGAGGUUAUUUUGUCUUCUAUCUAAUGCAGCGAAGAAGCUUUGCUGCUUAACAUGCUGCAAUGCAACUUUAUCCUUUGAAGUUCACACUUCAGGGCUGCGCACUUUAUGUAAUCCUAUGAGUAAAAAGAAUUUGUUUUCAAAUGUGAAAAAAGAAAAUGUAAGGUAGUAACUAAUAUAUUAUAGCAUCAAAGCAAGAUUUGAUAUGAAUUUAGUACAACAAAGAACAUCAAAUCUGUGAUUCCUUGUCUAAUGUCACCAUCGAGCAACAAAUUUAAAAGCCUACCUAUCAAAUACACGAGGCAAUAAACGGAGAAAAAGUUGAAUUACAAGAACAAGUUUACAAUUCUUGUCAAUGGUUAAUGAUUCGUGAACUGAGAUAGCAUUCAAGAAUCCAAUUUCAAUACAACAACGUAAAAGAUAAACAGAUGAUGAAUUUUAUGAGAUAAAGAAGGAGAUCGUGUUUUAUCGUAUCUCUAUUUUCUUUCUUUUUAAAUUUAAAAUAAGCUUUUCAACCGGUUUAUUAACCGGUUAUAAUAUUUUUUAAAAUAAUUAAAUAUUUUCAUUAUUAAAAAUAAUGUGUACCGUUGAUUACAUCUAACGGUACAUAUUUCUUACACUACUAAUACGGUAAAAAAAAAAAAAAGGGCAUCAUAAAGGGACCCUUAAAACAUUUUCAUUUGAAAUUAUUUGGUGUAGUCAAAAAGUUAAGAAAGAAAUAGUUGUCCCUUUGGUCAUUUCACAAAAAUGAAAGCCCCAUAUAACAUGGACUUGAAUGGAAACCCAAUUGUUUGUGUUUGAUUUCAAGCUUUAUCGGACCUUUGGACCUGGAUACUUUACUGCGGCCUCUAAGCGCUAUAAAUUUGUUUUUUGGGAUAAAAGGCGCUUCAAUGAAAAAGCACUUUAAAACUUUGGAUUUUGCCAAAACUUCAAAGCGGUUGGUCCAGUUACGGUGUUAUGCUAACGGGUUUAAAGGUUCCGAUCCAAUGAGUUAGGGUGGAAUAUGAAUAUAUAAAUUCCAUAGCAUGUAAGGACUAGGAUUUGUUUGUUCAUAUUAAGAAAAAAGAUCUAAAAAUUUGAUGAUCAGAAGAAAAUAGACUCUUCUCUGUCUGAAUAAGAAGAAAGCAUAAUGCGCCUCCAAUAGAGAGAAAAGGGACUUAAUUUCACUUGCGUCAAAUGUUCCUCAUUCUUUGAUGGAAGAAAAACUCUUAAUAGUCUAUUGUUUUUUUUUUUUUCAUUUUUAUUUAAGUUUCACAAUAUUUUAGUAGUUGAUCAAAUUAUUUAGAAUUAGACAUUUAAUCUAGGGACAAUGUGAACUUUUUAAAAAUCUAUCAGGUGAUUUCAUAAUUUUAUAAUUCAGUUGGGGUAAUUUCUCAAACUAUAAACAAAUUAUCGUGUUUUGUAAGUUGAGGUCCAAUGGCGUUUUGGCACAUCAUAUGAUAGACCACUAUAUUGAGUUGCUUUACAAAAGAUUAAUAUUUUUAAAAUUAUUAGGUAAGUUUAGGCUCAGUGGCACUUUAACUCAUGAUAUGAUAGUCCGGGUUUUCGAGGACCACUAUAUUGUAUUGAUUUAAAAAAAAAAUUAAUAUUUUUUAAUAUUAAUAUUCUAAAUUAUAUUCAGUUAAAAUAUUAAAUAUUAAAUACAUUCUUAAUAUUAAUAUUCUUAGAUGAAAUUCUUUUGCUGACUUAAGAAUAAAAUAUUAAAUAAUUUUAUUUUUCUUUUAUUGUGUAACGUGGACCCAAAAAAAAAAGGAAAUGAAUUUAAUAAAACCUUCAUUCCGCCAACAUGCAUGUUAAUUGUUUCCAAAUUCCAACCUCCGUACUCUCUUGAGGAGUUUCCCAUUCAUCAAUUAUUAUUUUUUAUAAUCCAUACCAUCCUGAUAUAAUUAAACACCAUUAAUAAUGUACCAGCCUUUAAAUAGUAAUUAAUUUAGUUCUGAGAAGGAAAAAAAAAACAAAAAAACUACUUUGACCAGAAAAAUUCCCCGUUCUAUUGCCUAUAUAUGAACUGAGCUGUGCAAUUGAUCAAUUUCAAAAACUUCCUCAGCUGACCAAUUUUGAGCAAUUACUACAUAACAUAAAACCAAAUGCUGGAUGAAUUGGCAUCUCUGAAAACCCCAGCUCACACGUACCGACAGAAAGAGACUCUAGAUGUAUUCAAACAUUAAAUAACUGCAUAUGCUCUUCAAAAGAUGGAAGGAACCAUGGAUUAAAAAGAAGCAACCAUCUAAACAAGAACUUAUAUUAAAAAGCAAAGGAAGUAACACAUUAAAUUGAGAAGUGUGAUCAUCACUAUGAAGCUUCUAUAAGUAAUUUAAGAAUAGUAAUAAAAAACUAUUCUAAUAUAAGUAAUAAAUAUGGGAGACAUCUUUGGCUAAUAUGUAAUAAUAAUCUCGAGCAGCAGACGGACUCUUAUUUGCUCCAAUUUGAAUGGUGGUGUUAAGCAAUUUAAAUGUGAAGCCACUCGAGGCUCUGAUUGUGACAGCGGAAGCUAUACAGGCACGGCAUCAGAACAAGAAGAAGGAGCCGAACAACAUAUUUCAGUUCUCAAGAGAAGAAUAGAUUCUCAAACAAACUUCAAUUUUGAGAAGAAGAAGAAGGAUUCAUUAUCAUGGCAAGCUCAAAAAUGCAUUGGUAGAUUUUUCUACGAAAUGGGUAUUGAUUUCAGUGUUGCUAAUUCUCCAAGCUUUCAAGACAUGAUAAAUGCUAGCCGUGGUAAGGAAAAGUGUGAGAUCCCCAGUUGUCAGGAUUUGAAGGGGUGGAUCCUUCAUGAAGAAGUGAUGGAAAUGCAAGAAUAUGUGAAGAGGAUAAGACAUUCGUGGGAAAGUACUGGGUGCAGCAUUUUGUUGGAUGGAUGGACUGAUGAAAAUGGUCGAAACUUGGUCAGUUUUAUUGUGGAUUGUCCUCAGGGACCUAUUUAUCUGCGAUCAUCAGAUAUUUCAGCCUUCGUUAGUAAUGUUGAUGCCCUGCAGUUAUUAUUGGAUGGAGUCAUUGAGGAGGUUGGAGUGAAUAAUGUUGUUCAAAUUGUUGCAUGUUCUACAUCAGGUUGGAUGGGGGAUGUGGGCAAGCAGUUUAUGGAAAGGCGAAGGACAGUGUUUUGGACUGUAAGUGUGUUUGAUUGCAUUGCUCUGAUGCUUGAGAAGAUUGGUACGAUUGAUUUUGCUAGGGAGAUAUUAGAAAAGGCCAAGACCAUUACAAAGUUCAUUCAUGGCCACACAACGGUCUUGAAACUCUUUGGAGAUUUUACUGGCAAGCGGAACCUUAUCAAGCCCUCUAAGUUGAGAUCAGCAAUGCCUUUCUUGACUUUAGAAAAUAUUGUGGCGGAAAAGAAAAACCUUAAGGCCAUGUUUGCCUCAUUUGAGUGGAAUAGAACUAAAUGGGCUUCAAGAACAGAGGGGAAGAGGAUAGUUAAUUUAGUGGAGGAUCGUUCUUUUUGGAGCACAGCCAGGAUGGUCCUAAAGGCAACUAUACCCCUUGUGCGUGUUCUGUGUUUGAUCAAUGGGGCUUAUAAACCACAAGUGGGUUACAUCUAUGAAACCAUGGAUCAAGCAAAGGAGACAAUUAAAGAGGAAUUUAAGAACAAGAAAACCCAAUAUUGGCCAAUUUGGGAAAUUAUUGAUGACAAAACGCUAUUUCCGCAUAUUAUUAUUAUCAGAUUGUGUCUAAUGUCAGAUAUUGCCGACCACCUACAAUGCCACACAGAGAACCGCUACAAAUUCCUGUAACUUCCUUCCUGUACUAAAAUUAAAGGAGUACCCCAUCCUCUGCAGUAAAUACAUAGUCCUACUUACGGUUCCUUGUUACUUCCUUUGCUUUUUCAUCUGCAGUAAAUAAGAUAAAGGUGUCUCCCACAGUUGAAGACGGACCCUUGUUGCCAAAGAAUAGUAAUAAAAAAUAAACCACUUUCAUCUUGUACUGAAGUCUAUACUUAAGCUUCUAUAAGUAAUUUAAAAAAGCAUUUACCAUUUUAAACAUCAUAAUGAUACAAUUAUCUUAGUUUUAUCAGUAUAUAAGAAUUACUUAUAGAAUAGUAAUAUAUGUUUAUAUUUAAAUUAGUACAAUUUUAUAUUGAUAAUAAUAAUAAUUUUCAAUUGAAAGUGAAACCUUUAGACAUUUACCUAAUGAAGUUAGUUAAUCGGGAGGGUUGGAAAAAAAAAAAGUUGACGCAAGUCAAUACACAAUAAUUAAUUAAAUCCGGAGUGACUAAAACAGAGCCACUACUUUUUCAAAAAUAUCUGCAUUCAUCACUUUCUCCAGCAGCUAGUCAGCUACACACGAAUCAAUUUCUCUCCUCGUUUGUUGUCAUCCAAAAUUGUUCACCAAUACCAUGGCUGAUGCAAUCGUUUCCACUAUCUUGGAGCAGCUGAUUUCCUUCGCUGCUGAAGAGAUAAAACAACAGGUGAUCGAAGUUACACCCCUCAUAUUACAAAUACUUCCAAUGAUUUUAAUUGGUUUUGUUUUUAUCAAAAACAUUAUAUAUUUUUGCUUUUUUUUAUUUAUCUGAUAAUUUUAUAUUUUGAAAUUUGAAUUGAAUUUAAUUAAAAGGUGAUGUAGUGACCACUUAUUUUUAUUUUAUUUCAUUUAUAUUCUCAAUAACUACUCAUAUUUUGGUAACUUACUAUAACUUCCAUAUCUAAGAAAUGAUCCAAACCCACAAUUUUAAUGAUAAGAUUGGUUGAAUUAAAUAUCACUUGGCCCACAUGAUUUGUUUUAAUUAUUUUAUAUUUUCAUUCAACCAAUGAAUUAGUGCCACGUCAGUUUGUACAAAAUAAGUUUGUACAAUAGUUUGUGGUUGUAUCAUUACUCUUUAGUAAAGAGUAAUGAUAUAGCCACAAACUCUUGUACAAACUUAUUUUGUACAAACUUAUGUGGCAUGAUAAGAUUGGUUGAAUUAAAUAUCACUUGGCCCACAUGAUUUGUUUUAAUUAUUUUAUAUUUUCAUUCAACCAAUGAAUUAGUGCCACGUCAGUUUGUACAAAAUAAGUUUGUACAAUAGUUUGUGGCUGUAUCAUUACUCUUUAGUAAAACCUCAACUCAUCACUGAAUCCCAUAGCUAUUACUUAGACUCUAUGAAAAAUUUCAUAGUUUUCUUACAUUCUUUCAGUUUGGUAAGUGAUUUCAUAUAAUUUCUUUUCAAGUUAAAUUUUAAUUUGGUUUCUGAUAUAGUCUCUUUGCCGAAUUGUAUCUUUUAUGAUUCUUGGAUUUUGGGCUCCAACUUUUUAGGAUUUGAUAGUCACAUUUUAUGCCAUGCUCAGAUUGAUUUUCAUGAUUUUUAGUACCCGUUAAGUGACGUACAAUUUGACAAAAGUUUGAAAGGAAAUAUGUUUCAGAAUUCUGUUUUAAUUGACCUUUUAGUGGAAAUAGGAUGCUUAUAACUUAAUGUGGAUGGUUCGUAAAAUCAUGAAAUUUGGAUAGGAUUCACUAGCAAUAUGUACAAGACUCUCCAUAAAGUUUCAUAAUUUUUCAUUCGGUCUGGGGUGGUACAGGUGAAACUUGUGGUUGGUGUUGAAAAAGAAGUGAAAAGCCUUACCAGCCAUCUUCAAGCCAUUCAAGUUGUGCUCGAUGAUGCAGAGGAAAAGCAAGUGAAGGAAAAAGCUGUUAGUCUUUGGCUGGGUAGGCUCAAGUAUGCAUCCUACAACAUUGAAGAUGUGUUGGAUGAGUGGAUAACAACAAGACGCAAAUUGCAAAUUGAGGGUGGCGUUGAUGAAAAUGCUCUUGUUGUUCCUCAUAAGAAAAAGAAGGUAUGUCUCUGCUUUCCCAGCUCUUGUUUUGGAUUCAAACAAGAAGAAUUUGGUUUCAAACAAGUCUUUCUCCGCCAUGACAUUGCCGACAAGAUCAAAGAAAUCAAUGAAGAGCUCCAUGAUAUUGCCGCUCAAAAAGACAUGUUUGAUCUUGUUAAGAGUGGCAAUAAAAGUAGUGAAAGACCAAGGCGUGUACAGAGUACCUCCUUGAUUGAUGAGGAAGAGAUUUGUGGCAGAGUUGGUGAGAGGAAUGAACUCUUAAGCAAGCUGUUGUGUGAGGGUAGCGAGCAACAAAAAGGCCUUCAUAUCAUCUCAAUCGUUGGUAUGGGAGGCAUAGGGAAAACAACUCUUGCACAACUAGCUUGUAAUCAUGACGAGGUGAAGAGAAAGUUCGACAAAAUUCUGUGGGUGUGUGUAUCAGAAACUUUUGAGGAGUUUAGGGUUGCCAAAGCGAUCGUUGAAGUUUUGGAUGGUCGUGAAUCUCAUUUAGCUGAAUUCCAUUCUCUUCUUCAACAUAUUUAUGAAUCCAUUGCAGGGAAGAGCUUUCUUCUUGUCUUAGAUGACGUGUGGGAUGGAAAUUACUUGAAAUGGGAACCAUUCUACCGUUGUCUAAAGAAUGGUCUCCAUGGAAGUAAAAUUUUAGUUACCACACGUAAAGGGUCAGUUGCAUCCAUGAUGGGAUCCAUAGAUAUUAUCUCCGUUAAGGAGUUAGCUGAAGAGGAAUGUUGGUUGUUGUUUAACAAGAUAGCAUUUUUUGAUCGGUCCAUCGAGGAACGUGAAAAAUUAGAACAAAUUGGGCAAAGAAUUGGAGGCAAGUGCAAAGGUUUACCUCUUGCAGCAAAGACAAUAGGGAGUCUCAUGUGUUCUAAACAAACUGAAGAAGAGUGGAAAAGAAUUUUAAAUAGUGAUUUAUGGAAAGUAGAAGAGAUUGAGAAAGAUGUUUUGUCCUCUUUAUUGUUGAGUUAUAAUGAUUUGCCAUCUAGAGUAAAAAGAUGUUUUUCAUAUUGUGAUGUCUUUCCAAAAGACUACAAUAUAGAAAAAGACAAACUAAUCACGUUAUGGAUGGCUCAAGGUUAUCUUAGUGCAGAAGAAGAUGAAGAGAUGGAGACAGUAGGUGAAGAGUAGUUUGGCAUCUUAGCUUCUCGCUCAUUUUUUCAAGAGUUUAAGAAAAGUUAUGAUAAUCGGAUUAUAGAGUGUAAGAUGCAUGAUAUGGUACAUGAUUUUGCCCGAUUUGUAAGUCAAAAUGAAUGUUUUUCGAUGGCAAUUAAUGGUAGUGAAGAACCAAACGCCACAAACUCUCUUGAUGAGAAGGUCCGUCAUUUAAUGUUAAUCUUUAGUAUAGAGGCUUCAUUACCUGUUUCCACUUGUAGAGUUAAAAGAAUUCGUAGCCUCUUAAUUAACGAUAGUAGAUCUGAUCAUUCAUUAUUAAAUGGUGAGAUCUUAGAAGAAUUAUUUAGGGAAUUGACAAGUUUAAGGGCAUUAGAUUUUUGCAAAUCGUAUAACGCAAGUUGGUCUUCGACUCUGGAGAUUCCGAGAAACAUAGAAAAGCUGGUACAUUUAAGAUACCUUAAUUUGUCUUAUCAGGGAAUAAAGAAACUACCGGAGACAUUAUGCGAGUUGUAUAAUCUAGAAAAGUUAGAUAUUAGUUAUUGUUAUAAGCUAGAAGAAUUACCUGAAGGGAUUGGGAAGUUAAUAAACAUGAAGCAUUUACGAAAUAGAGGUACUAGUUCUUUAAGGUACAUGCCAGUAGGGAUUGGGAGAUUAACGGGUCUUAGGACCUUGGGUGAGUUCCACGUGAGUGCAGGAGGAGGUGUUGAUGGUAGGAAAGCAUGUAGGCUUGAAUCUCUUAAAAACUUGGAACACCUUCAAGUAUGUGGUAUAUGUAGACUGGGUGAUGUAUCAGAUGUGGGCGAGGCUAAGCGAUUAGAACUUGACAAAAAGAAAUACCUCUUCAGUUUGACCCUUGAGUUUGAUAAGACGUAAAGAGGAGGAGAAAGGAGGAAGAACGAGGACGAUCAACUUCUUCUUGAAGCCUUGCGACCACCCCUGGAUUUAAAGGAAUUAGAGAUACGGUACUACCGAGGCAACACUGUUUUCUUCCAUGUUGGAAUUGGAGGAGUGGGAUUAUGGGAUUACAAGAACGGGAAACACCGUCAUCAACAUCAUGCCACGUCUUUCUUCCUUGGAAAUUGUUGCCUGCCCCAACUUAAAGGCGCUGCCCGACCACAUUCAUCAAACGACAACAUUGAAGGAAUUGCGCAUUGUGCAUUGUGGGCUUCUGGAAGAACGUUACCGCACGGGGGAAGGAGAAGAGUGGCCUAAGAUAUCACACAUUCCCAGCAUAGAUAUUGAUUAAGAAGGAGAAGAGUGACCUAAGAUAUCUCACAUUCCCAACCUUGAGAUUUGGCCUUGACAAGUAAUUCCUUCUCUCACUCUGAUUUGCUUUGUUGUUCUUUUUAAUCUAAUCAAGAAGCAUAAAUAGCAUUUUGAAUUAAACUCUAUAUCAGAAAUCUGCAAUACAUAUUUACUAAUAUUCUGAUUUUCAUAUCUUAUGAAUGUACGAUUCUAAUUUGCGAUAUUUAACGUUGCUGUAAAAUAUUAUUAAUGCAAUAUGAGAAAUUCUUUUGCAGGACAAGUGACCUACGUUUAGUUUGGCUUUGGAGUUGAGUAAUAACCUUUCGAGGUCGCCACUAUAAAAACGCGAAGCUCCAUUUGCCACAGAUUACAUGUAUUGCCAUCAUUGACAAUUUUCUGGAUAAGUGAUGAAGGGUGAGAAUGGUGCUAGAAUAUUGAAUAAAGCUGUCGUGACUGAACUUACGUUGAUGUCAAAAGGGGUAAAUUAUUGGCAUGCCUAGCUAAUUUGACCAAUACCUGAUUCAUAAGCCUACAUCAAUUUUGAUUUUGAGUUGAGUGAUUAAUUUUGAAGGUUUGCUUACUUAACUGGUAACCAAUUUCUUUUAACUAAAUGUAUCAUAUGAUGCAGGAAGCAGGGCAGGAUAUGAAAUGAGAAGCUUAUUAGUGGAAGGAUUAUCAGAAACAGAACCCAAAGAAAAUGAAAACAUUUCAAGGCAGCAGUUGGCAGUUGGCCGUGAAUGGAGCCCCUUGAAAAAAUUCCCAACCCAUUGCACUGCAAUUACGAUCGUGAGUAUGAUUGCACUGCAAUUUCGAAGCUUCUUCUCCUGCAUUUUUGUUAUUUGCUAUCAUCCUCUGCUUCAGGUGAUUUCUUCUCCUGCUCUGUCGUUGUUUGUAUCUCAAUCAAAUUCUAUAACUGGAAUAUGCAAAAGUUUCGAAUUUUUAUUUCUAUCUGCUUGCAUUGAUAACAUCGCGGCAUAUGCACUAGUUAAAGAUCAAACAGAAACAGAGCUCAGGAAAAAGUUUCUUCUGCCAUCAUAUUUGAAAAUUCAUGUAAAAUGUAGACAGUAAUCAGCAAAAAGGUGAUUCGCAAUUUGAUUUUUUUUAUGAAAUUAAUUGUUAGGUUGGAGUUGCCAAUUAACAAUUUUAACCCCCUUUGACUUUGAAGGAAUUAGAGAUAUGGUCAUACAGAGGCAACACUGUUUCUGCAAGUAGUCCUCUCUUUUCUUUUUAUUAUAUUUUAUUUAGUUAUUAUUUAUUAUUUAUUUUUUGGUUUACUCUGCUUCUUCUUUUUACGUUUCUCAAAUUUUGAAUUUCAUUGCUUUUGAACAUACGACAGUCUGUUAUGUGGCGACCCUGGUUCUUAAUUAAGGUUGUGAAAUAUUAUUGUAAAAGAUGAUUUAUUCAAUUUGAGUAAUUCGUUUGCUUUGAUAAUGAUAGUAAUUUUUUAUUUUGACAAUUUGCAAGGUGAGAAUGGUGCUGAUUGGUGAUUCAGGAUAUGGUUCAAACACCAUUGAAUAAAGCUAUGGACAUGGUGGCUCAACUUAGCUAGAUUGCUAUCAAAAUUGGUAAGUUGGCUUGUCAAUGUACCGAUGCUUUUGUUUUCUCUCAACCCUAAUUACCUUAACUUCAUUUAGUUUGGCUUUGGAGUUGAGUAAUAACUUAUUGUUCAAAUGUUAUUUCCUUAUUGUUCUAAUUCAUCAAAUGUUAUUUCCUUGUUGUUCCAUUGAUAUAUUGGUUGCAUAUCAAGCAGAAACAGAAUCCAAAGAAAAUGAAACCAUUUCCAGGCAGCAGUUGGCAGUGAAUUCAUGCAAAUGUUGAUGCCAUUCAUAGAUGUUGAAGACAAUGUUGAGCCAAAGGCGAUAAAUCAUUAAUGCAUAAUUCCCAAAACCUCUAUCCUUCUCUCAUUGUAAUUUGAUUUGAAAUGAAUAAUUGCUAGGUAAUUGAAGCCAAUGUUGUUAAAGACCGUGUUGAGCUACCCAAGCUAAGAAGUUAGUUGCCAAAAAAUGCAGGGGAUCAAAAGAAGCAUUGCAUUUGAAAAGGCAUGAGAUUCUGGUGGCUACAUGUCAACUCAUAUAUGUUUGAAUAAGUUUGAUGGUUCAAGAUUGUUAGCUUCUGUUUAAAUUUGUGCUACUGCAGUGCUACAAUGCUGCUACUGGGAAAUUUGAAUCCCAUAUUAGACUUUCCUCACAUCAGAAGCUGUGGAUCUUCGGACAUCAGGUUUUUUCACAGUUCUGAAACACUCAGGAUUAAACUCUAUUAAAGUGUUGUAGUUAUCUUGUUGUCAGAAUUCCCAUAUUAUUAUCUUUUUCAUGUAAAAUUAUCUUGUUGUCUUCGCCCAUGAAUCUAAGCUAAAAUUUGAACCAAUUGUUUGCUAUUAUAAAUUUCGUUGUUAAAUGUUAAUUGUGAUGUUGGUGUUGAGUUUCUUUUAAAGUCAGAGAAGCCUGACGAUUGAGUUCCAUGGGAUUCUGAGAAGCAGUAAUAUUUUGAACAAGUGAAGGUUCUUCGUUUUUAAUUACGUUCUGCACUUUUACAGUAUGUGCAGAUGUCUAAGAGGCAGGAUUUUAAUUUCUGUAAUGCUAAAUUUCGCAAAACAAUAAAUAAAUAAAUGCAUGACAGUGACUUCAAGAAUUUAGAUUAUUGAAUUUGGUCAUUUUAAAAUUGUUGGAAUAUUGAACUUAAGUAAUUUUGAUAAACCAGAGCUCAGAAAUGUAGAAUAUAAAUAUUGGAGAUUUGGACUUCAAUCAUUAGAUUUGAAGCUAAAGAGGUAAGCCAUUAAUUACAUCAAAGGAUUUGGAAAAUGGAGGGAUUGGAAAAAGGAAACUUUUUCAUAAACUACAAGCAUUGGGCAGUUUCAUUUGUCCGAUUCAAGAGGAACGUCACAGAAAGGGGUAAAGAAAAGAGUAGCCUAAGAUAUUUAAGACAAUGUUGAGCCAAAGGAAACAUAAAUCCCAACCAUUGCAUGCGAACAUGAUCACAAUAAGGUCAAGAACCUACCAAACCAUUUUUUUGAGAAUUUUCAAUUGAAAGUGAAACCUUUGGACAUUUACCUAGUAAAGUUAGUUAAACGAGAGAAAUAAAGGGGAAAAGAAAAGUUGACUCAAGUCAAUACAGAAUAAUUAGUUCAAUCUGGAGUAACUAAAACAGAGCCACUAUAUUUUCAAAAAUAUCUGCAUUCAUCACCUUCUCCUACAGCUAGUGAGCUAAACACGAAUCAUUUCCUUUUAGCAUUUUUGCAGCAUCAACUUCUCUCCUCGUUUGUCAUCCAAAAUUAUUCACCAAUACCAUGGCUGAUGCAAUCGUUUCCCUUCUCUUGGAGCAGCUGAUUAUCUUUGCUGCUGAAGAGUCGAAACAACAGGGGAAGCUGGUGAGUGUUGGAUGAGUGGAUCACAGCAUGCGCCAAAUCGCAAAUUGAUCAAUGCUCUUGUUGCUCCUUAUCUGAAGAAGAAGGUGCAAAUUGAGAGCUGCAUUGCACUGUCAUAACAUUUAUUGUAAUUUCAUUUGGAGAUUUUAUGGAUAAUGAUUUGGUAGACUUUAUAUGCCGUCUUCUUUCUUUUUGCAGUGAUAUGUUUGUAUUCAAUGUGCUUGUGCUUAUUCUGUGGUUUUUAAAGUAGGUGUUUUUAUGAUAAACUAGGUCUUGUGUAUUGUAUGUACUAUCUAGAGAAGAAUAUUGACUGGUUGCAGUCGAAAUUGGAACCACUUUUGAAAGGUAAGAAGAGGCCAUUUUCCUUCAUUCUAAUGCCAAUAAUGCUGUCAUGAGACUCAUAAAAAAUGUUAAAACAUUAAUGUUUUUGGUAUUUUGCAGAUCAUUAUCUUCUGUUUGAUUUUCCUGGCCAAGUUGAAUUAUUUUUUCUUCAUUCCAAUGCCAAGAAUGUUAUCAUGAGACUCAUAAAGAAGUUAAAUCUCAGGGUAUUGUUACAUCUUGCAUCUAUGAAGGGACUCAAAGAGUUGACAUGAAUUCAUCUUUGUUAUUUUGAUGCCAGAAUUGUGCAAUUCUCAGUUGGUUCCUUUCACAUGCAGUUGACUGCAGUGCAUCUAGUUGAUGCGCAUCUUUGCAGUGACACUGGAAAGUAUGUUAGUGCUUUGCUUCUCUCGUUGUCUACGAUGCUACAUCUGGAACUUCCCCACGUCAAUGUCUUGUCUAAGAUCGACUUGAUUGAGAAUUAUGGAAAGCUAGGUGUGGUUUUAAGUGUCUCCCUCCUACUUGUUUGUUUAGUUUGAAAUAUCAGAUAUUAUCACGAGCUCCUAUCUGCUACGUUUCCUCACCAAUCAAUUACUUUGGGUAUGUUGCAGCUUUUAAUCUCGAGUACUAUACGGAUGUGCAAGAUUUGUCAUAUUUACAGCAUGCUCUGGGUCAGGACCCUCGUUCUGCUAAGUACAGGUUUGAAUUCUAGCUGAAUCAAUGAUGCAAAUUAUGUCCAUUGCUAUUUUUGACUGUCGUUUCUAUCAUUUUCAAUUGUUACCUCCCCUUGCCAUCUACUGCCACACUGCAAUGCCUACACAAAUGUUAUGAAAUUUGUCAAUGGCAAUGCCAUCCUGUUUGUCCAGAGACAGCUCUUAGAUGCAAGUGAACAAUUUUUGGCUUUGGCCGUUGUACAGCCUUAGAUUUCAACUUGCCAUAUCUUGUCUCGGAAGUCAAAAGAAAGCGUAUAUGUUAGCCAAAUUUUAUUUGAAUUUAUUGAGUAACAAUGAAUGGUUCGGAAAAACAGUUCCUCUUUUGUUUUGAUCAGACUCAAUGAAUAAGUGUUUAAAAUGUGCCUGUCCUAGAAAUAUAGAUGUGUGGUUUCGCAAAAUUUUCUUGAUCUUAAGAAAGAGUUAUCUUGAAAAGAAGAUAACAUGGAGAAUUCAGCAACUAUACAGUCAUAUUGCGUCUGUCAACUUGGGUCAGAUGGUGUCGUUUGGAUGGAGAUGUUAGGUCCCAGAUGGUAUGCUUGUUAUCAAAUUCCAGUCUAAUUCAUUCAUGCUUUGAUGACAUAUGCGGUGCAGCUUCUUAUCUAAGACCUGCAUAUGUUCAGUCAUCAUUCAGUUCUGUAUUUGGCUGUCAUUCUUUCAAUGAAUUCAAACCACUUUCUGAAUACUUGCAAAUUCAUCCAGUGUUGUCAUUGAGAUUCCAAUAUGUAAAGGAGCAAUAGUUGCCCUUGAUAGUAUGCUUAUUGAUUGCCUCUUGCCUCACUCAGCCUAAGGAGUCUGGUUGUAUGGUGUUCUUGUAAUUUCAUUUGGAGAUAAGUAAUAUCUGUUGUUCAAAUGUAUUUUAUAUACAAGCAGUUAAUAAUUCUGCUUGCAGAAAGCUUACAAAGGAGCUGUGUGAUGUAAUAGAAGACUACAGUCUGGUCAAUUUUUCAACCUUAGAUAUUCAGGUCAUCAGUUUCUCUUGAAUUCUUUCUUGAGUUUCUUUGAAUUAUUUGUGAAUAAGAUCUUAGUUGGCUGCUCCUCUUCAGGAUAAGGAAAGUUUGGCAAAACUCGUGAAGCUGAUAGAUAAAAGCAAUGGGUACAUCUUUGCUGGCAUGGAUGCCAGGGCAGUUGAAUUCAGCAAGAUUGCCGUUCGCGAUGUGGAUUGGGAUUAUUACAGGUAUCCUUCUUUUCACCUAUUUUCAAUCUUGUGAUUCUCAUAUUCAUAAAACUUUCAUGGUUCAUUGUAUGCAUCUGCAUCUUCUAAUUUGUACGUUUGAGAGACUAAUUUUGCUGUUAGGUAGGCGUCAAAUUUGAUUCAUGCGUUUUUCAUAAAUUUACCAAAAUCAUGGAAACUUCUUUUUCCCAGAUAUUGUAUCCACACUUUUCCCAUGUAAUUCAGUCAGACAAGUUCUGCUUAACAAAGAUAUCUACAGUAGCUGAAGUGCAGGAAAAGUACAUUAAGGAUGAUGACGAUGUUAACUAAAAUGGGACACGAAGAUAUGUGGUGUGCAAACCGUAAGCAUGCCUCUUACUUUUGUGCAUGUUUACUUGCUUGUGAUUCAUGUUUGUUAAUCUAUUAUGCUCUUUUGUUGGGUUUAUAAAGUUUUCAAUCAAUCAAACAUUUGACUGAUUCAGACAGGACAAGCGGGGAAGAGGUGGUUUUAAUCAAACCACUACUAAUUAUGAUGUAUCUCGGACCUUUGUACAAUAUCAAGCGAUUUUUUUAGUUGAAUCAGCUGGUGUACACAAAUGUCGUUUAUUGAUUUUUCUCUAGUAUAGUUCGUAAUUUUGGUAACACAUCUACUCUAGUAUCGUUUGUAAUUACAAGAAACAAAGUAAUGAAAUUUAUCACUGCAUUCAUAGUUAUGCUUAAGCUCAAAGAUCACUGUGAAUAUCAUUUUGGGGCCUCUAUUUGUUCUAUAACAUGAUGUUGACACGUGUCAAAUUUUGAAGCUUGUGAUUAAAAUACUAUUCACAUAUAUAUUUUAAGUACCACUAAUAAUUAAAUAUAUUAAUAAAUAUGGGCAAUGGGGAUAAAAUAAAAUGGUUUUAUUUUUUGAAUUACUCAACUGCUUCAAACUUCUAAGAAGUAGAUUUACGAUGAGUGGAAUCUUAAAUUGAGUACGAGUUAGGGAUAACUUAUAAAAUUGGGAUACAAGCUUCAAAGAAAGUGUAUUACUAUUCAUAUGUAGAUUUCGAAUUAAGAAGAUAUGCCAGCUAAUUGUAUAAGAAUGUAAAAAUUGAUCACAGGCAUAAUCGCAAAUGAUGAAAUGAGCUACCUUGAUCAAAAGGUCAAGAACCUACCUUACUUCUCUUAGGGAUAAGUUGCAUCAACCGUUGUGAUAUUGAUAUUUAUCUUGAGCCAGUAAAAGUGAAAGCUUCCCAAUUGAAGGAAAGUGAAGAGAAGAUUCUAUGCUCUAAUUAUUAUUAUUAUUAUUAUUUGUUAGAAUGAAGUGCGAAGUGAGCACAUCAUGCAAGCUCAGCAGAUGUGAUAAGGUGACUUGUAACUCAGCUGGCACAAGAGACAAAGUGUAGUGGAGAAAAGUUUCCCAAUUGAUGGAAAGUGAAGGGAAGAUUCUAUGCUCUAAUUAUUAUUAUUUGACAAUGAAUUGGCAAAUAAAAACAAAAUAGCAGGCCUGUAAAGUAAUGAAGUGGAGACAAUGACCAUGUGAUUGAUUGGUAAAUAAAAACAAAAGAGCAAGCCUGUAAAGUAAUAUAAAUUAUAGUGUAUAUUCAAGUUAAAGUAAUGGAAACAGUGUGCAUCCACAAAAAAUUCUUUUAUCUCUCGUUGUCUUAUUCUUUUCUUUAUUUACGUUUUCCAGAAGUAAAGCCAUACAUGUGAUGAAGCAUAGAUAAGAAAGCUAUCGCCCGAAAUUCAUUUUGCACAAACACUUCAAUAUCCUUUUGAUCACUUUUGCAAACAUCAAUUUGUCUCCUAUUGUAUUCACCAUGGCUGAUGCAAUCGUUUCCACUAUCUUGGAGCAGCUGAUUUCCUUCGCUGCUGAAGAGAUAAAACAACAGGUGAUCGAAGUUACACCCCUCCUAUUACAAAUACUUCCAAUGAUUUUAAUUGGUUUUGUUUUUAUCAAAAACAUUAUAUAUUUUUGCUUUAUUUUAUUUAUCUGAUAGUUUUAUAUUUUGAAAUUUGAAUUGAAAUCAUGAAAUUUGGAUAGGAUUCACUAGAAAUAUGUACAAGACUCUCCAUAAAGUUUCAUAAUUUUCAUUCGGUAUGGGGUGGUGCAGGUGAAACUUGUGGUUGGUGUUGAAGAAGAAGUGAAAAGCCUUACCAGCCACCUUGAAGCCAUUCAAGUUGUGCUCGAUGAUGCAGAGGAAAAGCAAGUGAAGGAAAAAGCUGUUAGUCUUUGGCUGGGUAGGCUCAAGUAUGCAUCCUACGACAUUGAAGAUGUGUUGGAUGAGUGGAUCACAGCAAGACGCAAAUUGCAAAUUGAGGAUGGCGUUGAUGAAAAUGCUCUUGUUGUUCCUCAUAAGAAAAAGAAGGUAUGUCUCUGCUUUCCCGGCUCUUGUUUUGGAUUCAAACAAGAAGAAUUUGGUUUCAAACAAGUCUUUUUCCGUCAUGACAUUGCCAACAAGAUCAAAGAAAUGAAUGAAGAGCUACAUGAUAUUGCCACUCAGAAAGACAUGUUUAAUCUUGUUAAGAGUGGCAAUAAAAGUAGUGAAAGACCAAGGCGUGUACAGAGUACCUCCUUGAUUGAUGAGGAAGAGAUUUGUGGUAGAGUUGGUGAGAAGAAUGAACUCUUAAGCAAGCUGUUGUGUGAGAGUAGCGAGCAACAAAAAGGCCUCCAUAUCAUCUCAAUUGUUGGUAUGGGAGGCAUAGGGAAAACUACUCUUGCACAACUAGCUUGUAAUCAUGACGAGGUGAAGAGAAAGUUUGACAAAAUUCUGUGGGUGUGUGUAUCAGAAACUUUUGAGGAGUUUAGGGUAGCCAAAGCGAUCGUUGAAGCUUUGGAUGGUCGUGAAUCUCAUUUAGGUGAAUUCCAAUCUCUUCUUAAACAUAUUUAUGAAUCAAUUGCAGGGAAGAGCUUUCUUCUUGUCUUAGAUGACGUGUGGGAUGGAAAUUACUUGAAAUGGGAACCAUUCUACCGUUGUCUAAAGAAUGGUCUCCAUGGAAGUAAAAUUUUAGUUACUACACGUAAAGGGUCAGCCGCAUCCAUGAUGGGAUCCACAGAUAUUAUCUCCGUUAAGGAGUUAGCUGAAGAAGAAUGUUGGUUGUUGUUUAACAAGAUAGCAUUUUUUGAUCGGUCCAUCGAGGAACGUGAAAAAUUAGAACAAAUUGGGCAAAGAAUUGCAGGCAAGUGCAAAGGUUUACCUCUUGCAGCAAAGACAAUCGGGAGUCUCAUGCGUUCUAAACAAACUGAAGAAGAGUGGAAAAGAAUUUUAAAUAGUGAUUUAUGGAAAGUAGAAGAGAUUGAGAAAGAUGUUUUGUCCUCUUUAUUGUUGAGUUAUAAUGAUUUGCCAUCUAGAGUAAAAAGAUGUUUUUCAUAUUGUGCUGUCUUUCCAAAAGACUACGAUAUAAAAAAAGACAAACUAAUCACAUUAUGGAUGGCUCAAGGUUAUCUUAGUGUAGAACAAGACGAAGAGAUAGAGACAAUAGGUGAAGAGUAUUUUGGCAUCUUAGCUUCUCGCUCGUUUUUUCAAGAGUUUAAGAAAAGUUAUGAUAAUCGGAUUAUAGCGUGUAAGAUGCAUGAUAUGGUACAUGAUUUUGCCCGAUUUGUAAGUCAAAAUGAAUGUUUUUCGAUGGAAAUUAACGGUAGUGAGGAACCAAACGCCACAAACUCUCUUGAUGAGAAGGUCCGUCAUUUAAUGUUAAUCUUUAGUAAAGGGGCUUCAUUACCUGCUUCCACUCGUAGAGUUAAAAGAAUGCGUACCCUCUUAAUUAACUAUAGUAGAUCUGAAUCAUCUGAUCAUUCAUUAUUAAAUGGUGAGAUCCUAGAAGAAUUAUUUAGGGAAUUGAAAAGUUUAAGGGCAUUAGAUUUUGGCGGAUCGUACGACACACAUUUUUCUUUGACUCUGGAGAUUCCAAGAAACAUAGAAAAGCUGGUACAUUUAAGAUACCUUAAUUUGUCUCUUCAGAAAAUAGUGGAGCUACCGGAGACAUUAUGCGAGUUGUAUAAUCUAGAAAAGUUAGAUAUUAGUUAUUGUUAUAAGCUAGAAGAAUUACCUGAAGGGAUUGGGAAGUUAAUAAACAUGAAGCAUUUACUAAAUAAAAAUACUAGUUCUUUAACGUACAUGCCAGUAGGGAUUGGGAGAUUAACGGGUCUUAGGACCUUGGGUGAGUUCCACGUGAGUGCAGGAGGAGGUGUUGAUGGUAGGAAAGCAUGUAGGCUUGAAUCUCUUAAAAACUUGGAACGCCUUCAAGUAUGUGGUAUACGUAGACUGGGUGAUGUAUCAGAUGUGGGCGAGGCUAAGCGAUUAGAACUUGACAAAAAGAAAUACCUCUCUUGUUUGACCCUUGAGUUUGAUAAGAAGGAAAGAGGAGGAGAAAGGAGGAAGAACGAGGACGAUCAACUUCUUCUUGAAGCUCUACAACCACCUCUGGAUUUAAAGGAAUUAGAGAUAUGGUACUACCGAGGCAACACUGCUUUCCCUAGCUGGAUGACGUCAUUAACCAACUUAAAAAGUUUAGAUCUCUCUUUGUGCGAAAAUUGCGAGCAGCUGCCUCCUUUGGGAAAAUUGCAGUCCCUUGAAAAUCUCCACAUAUGGCGCAUGGCGAGUGUGAAGAGAGUGGGUGAUGAAUUUUUGGGGAUAGAAAGUGAUCAUCAUGACUCAUCUUCUUCUUCAUCAGUUAUUAUUGCCUUCCCCAAAUUGAAAUCACUUUCAAUUAACGAAAUGGAGGAAUUAGAGGAGUGGGAUUAUGGGAUUACAAGAACGGGAAACACCGUCAUCGACAUCAUGCCACGUCUUUCAUCCUUAACAAUAAUUCUUAGCCACAAAUUAAAGGCACUGCCCGACUACAUUCAUCAAACGACAACAUUGAAGGAAUUGCACAUUUUGGGGUGUGACCUUCUGGAAGAACGUUACCGCAAGGGGGAAGGAGAAGACUGGCCUAAGAUAUCUCACAUUCCCAACUUCGAGAUUUGGCGUUGACAAGUAAUUUCUUCUCUCACUCUGAUUUGAAUCAAACUCUAUAUCAGAAAUCUGCAAUACUUACUUUCUAAUAUUCUGAUUUUCAUAUCCUAUGAAUAUACGAUUUUUAAUUUGUGAGAUGGGUAACGUUACUGUAAAAGAUUAUUAAUGCAAUAUGAGUAAUUCUUUUGCAGAACAAGUGACCUACAUUUAGUUUGGCUUUGGAGUUGAAUAAUAACCUUUCAAGGUCCCGACAACCAAAAAACGAAGCUUAAUUUGCCACAGAUGGCACGUAUUGCCAUUAUUGACAAUUUUCUGCACAAGCUUAGGUUGAUGUCAAAACAGGUAAAUUACUGGCAUGCCUGACUAUUUUGACCAUUACAUGAUUCAUAAGUUUACAUUAAUUUUGAUUUUGAGUUGAGUGAUUAAUUUUCUAGGUUUGCUUACUUUAACUGGGUGACCAAUUUCUUGUAACUAAAUGUAUGAUGUGAUGCAGGAAGCAGGGCAGGGCAUGAAGAGAGAAGCUUAUUAGAGGAAGGAUUGCCAGUAACAGAAUCCAAAGAAAAAAGAAACCAUUUCGAGGCAGCAGUUGGCAGUUGGCAGUGAAUGGAGCCCCUUGAAAAAUUCCCCAAGCCGUUGCACUGCAAUUACGAUCAUCCUCGGCCUCAGGUAAUUUCUUCUCCUGCAUUUUUGUUAUUUGCUAUCAAGUGACUAUUUUAAGUAUGAUUGCAUUAAGCUGCUGCUGGGAAAUUUGAGGUUUUGAUGACUGCCCAUGCUAUUGUCAGAAGCUGCGGUUCUUUUCAUCAGCCUGAACCUGGACCUGCCGCUAUGGAUAACUCAGGUUUUUUUUUUUUAAUCAACAGCCAUCUUUUCCACUGUUUAGAAACUCUUAAGAUUAAACUUUAGUAAAGUUGUUUUAGUUAUCCAUGUAAUCAGGCUGAGGAUACUUAGCUGCCUAUUUAGGCAAAUGUUAGAAUUUAGUUUGUUUGCUGGGAACUGGUGUGGACUGGCAAAGGAUGAUGAGAUAGUUUUUUGAGUGAGUAAAUUUUGGGAGCUUGAGUGUAUUGGGAUUUGCAAUUACAAUCAUCGUCUGCCUCAGGUGAUUUCUUCUCCUGCUCUGUCAUUGUUUGUUCUCUAAUUCAAAAGCAUAAAAUAUUUCAAUCAAUUUUUAUGCCAGGAAUAUGCAAAAGUUUCUAAUAUUUUAUUUCCAUCUGUUACAAGAUCAAACUGAAGCAGAACUCAAACAAAAGUAUGCUACUUCUUGCGGAAAUCUUGCCUUUGUUCAGAUUAUGAAACCAUUUCCAGGCAGCAAAUUCAUCCAAAAGUUUGAAUAAGUUUCAUGGUUGGACACUGUUGCCUUCUUUUUCUUCUGGGGUGCAUUUAGGUGCUAUCAAGUGACAGCUGUAAGUAUGAUUGCACUAAGCUGCUGCUGGGAAAUUUGAGGUUUUGAUGGCUGCCCAUGUUAUUUUCAAGAAACUAUUGAUGUAAGAAGCUGUGGUUCUUUUCAUCAGCUUGAACCUGAAACUGUCGCUAUGGAUAACUCAGGUUUUUGUUAUCAACUAUAUCAUCUUUUUCACUAUUUUGAAACUCUUAAGAUUAAACUUUAGUAAAGUUGUUUCAGCUAUUCAAAUGAAAAACUCAUUGAUUUGAGACUGACUUCAUUAUUGUUUCUAAUUACAAUGCUAACGAUCCAGAUAAAAUAAUAUUUAAUCGGCGAAGGUGUCCCUUGGAAGUACAUCCUUCUUUUUCUUUUAUUAUAUAAAUUCUUGCAAUGAGCUUAGUGAAGCUGUUGUGCUAAUCAUGCCACUGCAUAAUUUGGCCCCUAAUGUGGGUACUCUGUUACAUUGUUCUGCAAAUUCUCCAGAAGUUAAAAUCAAUAAAUUUUCUAUUAGCUCUAGUGCUUUGACCUAAAUGCCAUUCUAUAUUUUGAUUACAAUGUUUUAACCUUUAAAUUAACUACCCCUAGAUGUUGGAUUUUCUAGAACUUCAAAAUGAUUAAUGGAGAAAGAUCCCAUUAUCGUUAUUGCUAUAAGAAAUUGAUUUAUGCAUCCAAAGAUACAUUAUAUAUUUCUGUGUCUCUAUUUGUAGAUGACAUUUAAGCAUCCAUAAACCGUCAGACAGAGGAAGGGGGUUCAGUGCAAAGAUUCUGUUGACCUAGGGUUGACUGCAUAAUGUCACUUGUUCGCAAUCUAUUAUUUAUUUUAUAUUUUGAAGAAUUUAAUGGGUAAUCCUAAUUGUUUGUUUUGGCAGGUAUGUGUUGUUAUCUCCUUCUAUCUAACAGUCGUACCUAAAUAGCAUAGUUUCAUCUGCGUUACCAUGUGAUGUACAUAAUUUCACAUUUGCCUCAGAUUAAGCUUAAUUUCCCACAGAAUAGAGCUGUCGCGACUGGACUUUUUGAUGUCCAAAGAGGUAAAUUAUUGGCAUGCCUAGAUAAUUUGGCCAUUUCCUAAUUCAUAAGUCUACAUUAAUUUUGAUUUUGAGUUGACUGAUUUCUUUUCAAGGUCUGCUUCCUUAACGGAGUGACCAAUGUUUUUCAACUAAAUUUAUCAUAUGAUGCAGGAAGCAGGGCAGGAUAUGAAAUGAGAAGCUCAUUGGUGGAAGUAUUGCCAGUAGCAGAACCCAAUGAAAAUGAAACUAUUUCAAGGCAGCAGUCGGCAGUUGCAAGUGAAUGGAGGCCCUUGACAAAAUUCUCAAGCGAUUGCAAUGCAAUUACGAUCAUCCUCAGCCUCAGGUAAUGUCUUUUAUUGGUACCCAACAAAAAUGCAAGGUCUGUGAGAAGACAGUUUGUCCAGUUGAGCAGUUAUCUACUGAUGGGGUUGUUUAUCACAAGUCUUGCUUCAAGUGCUCUCACUGCAAAGGCACACUCAAGCUAAGCAAUUACUCAUCCCUGGAAGGUGUUCUUUACUGUAAGCCUCACUUUGAGCAGCUUUUGAAGGAGUCGAGUAACUUCAACAAGAAUUUCCAAUUACCUGCAAAGUCAGCUGAGAAGUUAACUCCUGAGCUGAGAAGGUCGCCUAGCAAAGUUGCCAGCAUGUUCUCUGGGCCCAAUAAAAAUGUGCUUCUUGCAGUAAAACAGUGUGUCCGUGGGAGAAGGUAGCAGCGGAAAACCAAGCCUCUCACAAGACAUGUUUCAAGUGCUCACAUGGUGGUUAUUCCAUUAGCCCGUCAAAUUACGCAGCCCUAGAAGGCAUCUUGUAUUGCAAACAUAAUUUCUCCCAAUUGUUCAAGGAAAAAGGCAGCUACAACCACCUUAUAUCAAAUCUGCUUCCAUGAAGCGUGCUGCAGUCUCUGUUCAAGAAGCUUGAACAUGUUAUGUUAUCUUCCAUAAAUCUUAUUUGGCGUGGGUUUUCUCUGGCUUGAGGGUGUGCUGCUUUCUAUUUUGAUCCCUCUUGUUUUUUUUGCGGGGAACUACCAAACCUUCGGUUCCCUCUGCUUCUUUGGAUCAUCUUUGUUGGGACAAAUUUCAUGUAAUUAGAGAUACUGAUUUAUGGGAGGCAUAAUCCCAUGGUCGUAAAUUGACCAUUUUCUGGCAAUGUUCUUUUUAAAAAGAGAUGAGCAGUUGUUUAACAAAAAAAAUAUUCGGCCUUCAUCAUUGUAUGUUACCAAACUGCUAUGUAUAGCUGCUAACUAUGAGCAUCCGAAAAUAUGGUGCAUCGUGAUUCAUGUAGUGCAAUAUGGCUACCAACGCAUCCUAAAUGGAGUAUUACUCAGUUAGUCAGCAAAAUAAGACAACAUAACAGAUAUUAAAAAAAAAACUACAUUAAUAAGUGGGCAAGAUCAUGCCAGUUUAACUUUUCGCGCGUCGCUGCUGGAGAUAAUCAAAUCGGGGCAGAGAAAAGGAGAAUGGAAUCAGAGGCUAAGAUUAAUAAGUGGGCUUCUGCUUGCUUUGCGCCUCUUUCUUAAACGAUUGGUAGACUGCUGCUUCCACCGAUUAACCGGGACUUCAACCACUGCUUUUACUGCCUGCCAUCUUGUUGUUUGUCGAAGGGAUGAAUUCAAGUCGAAAAGAGAAAGCGCGCUGAAAAAGAUAAAUCACUAGUGGUUAACUGCUGACUCAGCCAAGUGUUGGCUUCACUUGAUUCACCGAUUGAGGUUAUUUUGUCUUCUAUCUAAUGCAGCGAAGAAGCUUUGCUGCUUAACAUGCUGCAAUGCAACUUUAUCCUUUGAAGUUCACACUCCAGGGCUGCGCACUUUAUGUAAUCCUAUGAGUAAAAAGAAUUUGUUUUCAAAUGUGAAAAAAGAAAAUGUAAGGUAGUAACUAAAUAUAUUAUAGCAUCAAAGCAAGAUUUGAUAUGAAUUUAGUACAACAAAGAACAUCAAAUCUGUGAUUCCUUGUCUAAUGUCACCAUCGAGCAACAAAUUUAAAAGCCUACCUAUCAAAUACACGAGGCAAUAAACGGAGAAAAAGUUGAAUUACAAGAACAAGUUUACAAUUCUUGUCAAUGGUUAAUGAUUUGUGAACUGCAUAGCAUUCAAGAAUCCAAUUUCAAUACAACAACCUAAAAGAUAAACAGAUGAUGAAUUUUAUGAGAUAAAGAAGGAGAUCGUGUUUUAUCGUAUCUCUAUUUUCUUUCUUUUUAAAUUUAAAAUAAGCUUUUCAACCGGUUUGGUAACUGGUUAUAAUAUUUUUUAAAAUAAUUAAAUAUUUUCAUUAUUAAAAAUAAUGUGUACCGUUGAUUACAUCUAACGGUACAUAUUUCUUACACUACUAAUACCGUAAAAAAAAAAAGGCAUCAUAGAAGGACCCUUAAAACAUUUUCAUUUGAAAUUAUUUGGUGUAGUCAAAAAGUUAAGAAAGAAAUAGUUGUCCCUUUGGUCAUUUCACAAAAAUGAAAGCCCCAUAUAACAUGGACUUGAAUGGAAGCCCAAUUGUUUGUGUUUGAUUUCAAGCUUUAUCGGACCUUUGGACCUGGAUACUUUACUGCGGCCUCUAAGCCCUAUAAAUUUUUUUUUGGGAUAAAAGGUGCUUCAAUGAAAAAGCACUUUAAAACUUUGGAUUUUGCCAAAACUUCAAAGCGGUUGGUCCAGUUACGGUGUGUUAUGCUAACGGGUUUAAAGGUUCCGAUCCAAUGAGUUAGGGUGGAAUAUGAAUAUAUAAAUUCCAUAGCAUGUAAGGACUAGGAUUUGUUUGUUCAUAUCAAGAAAAAAAAUCUGAAAAUUUGAUGAUCAGAAGAUAAAAACACUUAAACACGUUUAUUACAGAGAAACAAACGACAACAUGAUACUAGUAGUAGUUAUUCUUUUCAUCCGAUAUAUUACAUGGUAAUAUCACUACUCGUUCCACUGGUUUCAUAUACACCAUCGAUCAGCAACAUGAUAAUUUUGUGUCAGUUCAUUUUGUUUGUAGGAAAGAGCAGUGUAUUUAUAAUAAAAAGAUUUUAAAAUAUAAAUUGCAUAUUUGUUUAUUACUGUUGUUUGGUCUAAUUUCUUAUGUAGAAUUGCUUGUCAUUCUUUGGACGUUAUUGGUUAUAUUUUUGUCAGACUUGGCGUAUAUAUUCACAUACAUUUUAUUUUGUCAUUUUUUAGAACAUUUUUACACGCCAUAUUAUCACUACUCUUCUCUGUCUGAAUAAGAAGAAAGCAUCAACGGAGGUGUAUUACCACUGUUUCUUACUCAGUUAUCAUCAACGGAGUACCAAGAGGCUUGAUUUUUCCUGAAAGAGGACUUAGGCAAGGGUGUCCACUCUCCCCAUACCUGUUCCUUUUAUGUGCUGAGGUCUUUUCCAGCUUGCUGUCCCAGGCAGAAAGAAAUUAGCAAAUUAAGGGCUUGAGAUUCACUAAAGAUGUUACUAUCUCCCAUCUCCUCUUUGCGAAUGAUAGUCUAAUUUUCACAAGAGCUGCAGUGGCUAAUUGCAAGCAUCUAAAAGGUCUAUUUGAUACUUAUGCGAAGGCAUCGGGGCAUAUUUUUAACUUUGAAAAGUCAUCUAUGUUUUUCAGUGGUAAAAUUUUUUAGGGGCAGAUUUCAGCGAUCAAGAGUAUCUUCAAGCUUAAGGUGGUUCCUGUUGUGCAAAUUUUAAUGAACUCGCAAGCGCACGAAUCUAUUGUAGUAUAGAUCAAUGGUGACGAGUGUCGAUCCCACGAGGAGGUGGAUUUUAAUUAUAUGUAGAAUUAAUUUUGUAAAUGGGUGGUUGGAAUUGUAGUGGAAAUGAUUUGGAAUAUGCUAAAACUUAAAUUAAAAUGGCGAGAAUAAAUUAUGAAAUUGGAAUUGCAAUGGCGAGAAUAAAUUGAAGUGAAAUCUAUUGAAAUAACGUACUUGGGUAUCCGGAUCCGUAUCAACAUGCAUCAUGGGCUAAAUAAUCCGUAUUAAUGCCAAUUAAAUCAUGAGGGGGGAAUCCACACCUCAUGAACCACGCUCUAAUCAAUAUGGUGCUAAGGGCUUAUCGUGCCAAAUAAUAAUAACCUUAUACUAGAGAGCCGGUGUAACCAAGGCGGUAUCUAGACAAGAUUACUAUUAUUUGUCGACGAAAAGUCAAAACAUCCACAAAAACUAGAGGGGAAGAGAAAAUAAAUUUACCAAAUUAAGCCCAUGAAAAUAAUCCUGUGUGAUGCAUGCACCGUACGCGAAAUUUUUCGUCCACUGAUAUGCUGCCACGUCACCAUCAACAGUACAUAAGAAUUUUAGUCCAACAGGAUCGUGACACCUCAUCAGUCAAUGCCACAUCAUCGGUCAAUGCCACGUCAUCGAUCCGUCUAUGUGAACAGUGUCGUGAACAGUAACGUAGACAGUACCGUAUACGUGAAUAGUACCGUACAUGUGAAUAGUGCCAUUUUUCCUUUUAUGCUCCUCCUAAGGUUUUCGACCGUCCUGAGUUCAAAAGUGAUGUCCGUUUUGCUGUCUGAUCUCUCCUUUAUUGUGAAAUGACUAUAAUGCCCCUAAAAUACAUAAAAUACUUAAUUAAAAUAACACACACGUAAUUACAUCACAAAAAGGUUAAAUACAUAAAAGUAAGGGUUGUUAGUAAGACUUGAAAUGUAAAAUGAUGGUUUUCUCCUUUAUAAAUAUGCAUUUUCUAAUACUCAACACACCCCCCAACCAGCUUAUUGCUAGUCCCUAGUAAAUAAAGCGAAAACAAAAUUCAAAUUCAAAAUAUUUUUUUAGAAACACUCGUGUUUAUUCAAUCAGAUUAAUGAUAGCAAUCAAAUAAAAGUAUAAGCAUUAUCUCCAGUCUAAAGCAAUAUCACACCCAUAUCAACCAUCCACAUGAAUCGGCCCAGUAGACUUUGUUAUAGCUACUUUCAAGAAUGACAUGUUAAACCCCAAAAUCUCACUGGAAGUAGUGACACUCUCACAAAGAAAUUAAAACCCAAUAAACAUAGUCACUCCAAUGAAUAGUAAUUGAGAGAGAAAAUAAUAAAGAAAUGAUAUCACAUGCUCUCACCAAGAUGAAAUAAAUAUGCCCUCAGCUUAGAAAUAAUACGAUCUCAAGUCAAAUAAAAUGUUAGUCAACCCACUUUAUUUAUCUUCUUUUUUUUUUUAUUAUUAUGCAUCACUACAUCUUUUUAGCCCAUAUAACUAGCUUCUACUUCAAACUAUAGUUCCCUAAAAUCAAGAAGGACUUUUAUUAGGACGUAACGUAGGCUAGGGAUAUGGCUAACAAAGAAAGGAAAUAAGGAAAACAAAGUGUAUGUUUGAGAAAAAUGCAGAAAUAUAUAUAUAUAUAUAUAUAUAUUUUUUUUUUUUUUUGAAGUUGCAAGGUGGAUUUCACCUAUUAUUGUUAUUUUAUUCUUUUGAAACAACAACUUUUGUUUUUUUGUUUUUUUUUUAUUUUUUGUUUUUUUUUUUGCUUUUAUUUGGCAUAACUUCACUGAACAACAUAAUUAUUUACAUUUUCUCAAACAUAAAUAGGUGAUGGAACUUAUAAGACAUCGAGUAAUACUCCAAAUCGGAGUGAGUCAAGAUGAUAAGUUGACAAAGAAAAGGUUUUAUUUAUUUAUUUUUUUUUAAAGGCUCAAAAGGGGUAACUAUGGAUAUUUAAUAAAAGGGAUGGCUAGAAAGGCUCAAACGGAUCAAAGAUGGCCUUUCCAUCGUCUUUUAGGGCUCUAAAUAAUUAUCCAUAUCUACUAGUUAGAUGGGCCUCCCAAUGUAGCAACACACAUUUUUUUUUUUUUUUUUUAAUUUUACCAUUUUUUUUAAAGGGUUAACUCAAAAGAAAUCUAGAGAUCGUGUAUAAAAUAAUAAACUGCUAAGCUGUAUAGAAAAUGGGCAAAAGGGUUACUCUCCAAGAAAAUGAUAGGCUCAACAACUCACUUGACACUUAUUUAUGACAUGUUCAUUCCUUCAAGCAACUCAUAUUUGUCUCCGACAUCAACAUGUAAAGUAGCAAACAUAGCGUAACAUCACUUAAGACCAAAGAUAAUACAAAUACUAAAAUUUGAAAUUAAUCAUGUCAUCCAAUGUUAAAACAAAUAACACAAAUUUUUUUUUUUUUAAACAACAUUCUACCCCCCAACCUAUUCUAAACAUGAAAAGAAAAUAUGCAUGCAGAAAUGUGAAAAUGAUGUAGAAAAAUUAAUUAGAAAAAGAUUUUUUUUUUUUAAAACUAAGAAGAUGCGUUUCUAGAGGCACUACACUCCAUAUUCAGCCAUCUUCGACUCAAAAGUUGGAAAAUGUAUAUUUAUAGAGGAGAAAAUAAAAAGAAGAAGAAAAAUGAAGUAGAAAAAUUAAUUAGAAAAAGAAUUUUUUUUUUCGAACAAUGAAGAUGCGUUUCUAGAGUAACUACACUCCAUAUUCAGCCAUCUUCAACACAAAAAGUUAGCAACAGUUAGUUUCUACAACAAAAAAUUAGUAAAAACUUAACCAAGAUUCCACAAUUGUCGACUAUUCCCUCCCCCCAACCAGAACGAAACAUUGUCCUCAAUGUUUGAAAGGAAAGAAGUAGAGUUUAGAAGACAUCACCUGGGUGGUGCAACACAGAAGAAUAUAUUUACAGGCGGAGAGUUAAAUCUAAUUUGUACUUCUUACUGCGGCUACUGUUACCAUCAUUAGUUGGUCGCUCCAACACAAAGGUCCAGGGGUCUGGCUCCGGUUUAUAAGCUUGUAACAUAUCAAGUAGCUCAUUAGCAGUGUGAGCACAAAUAAAGAGUUUUUUCACAUUAGAAUGCGAUAAAGUCAUCAUAAAAGUUAUUGACAUUUAACAAACCAAUAGGUUUCUGGUGGAUGUGCAGAUGGGCCCAAGAUGCUAGUGUCAUAAAUGCUUCUAGUGUUGCAAGAUCUCCUGGAAGGAAAAUAAAAGCAUCAGCAUGAUUAAGCAUUUCAGUUAUUCUUUCUUGCAUACCUGAGACGACUAACUCUUCUCCAGUUGAUGAGUCAGACGAACUGCCCAAUGGUUUUAGGACUCUUGGGAUGAUGCCUAACACUUGACUUCCUCUGAUAAAAGCUGCUUCUGAGACCAUUUUUGAUAACCCUCGGUUACCUCCUCCAUACACCAAGUGUAAUUUUCUCGCUGCUAUGCUUCGACCAAGAUCUAUGGCUGCCUCCACAAACUCUUUAUGUUUGCCACAGGUAAAUCCAGAAAGCACACAAAUGUUCUUGAAUUGUCUAAUGGGAGUAGCUGCCAUUGUGAUACUUCUCAAAAACAAUUUGUGAGUGCUUGACAAAAGAUAAAUCACAUUUAAGAAUCUUGGUGACAGUGGAUCACAACUGUGAAUGAGGUAACAUGUCAGUGUCAAAUAACGCGUAAAGCACGUGGCUCGCGAGUCAAAAAGGAAACAAUAAAAAAAAGAAAAAGCAAACAGUAACAAAAUUAUUAAAGACAAAAAUAAAACAACAGUGAAAUGAAAUAAAAUAACAGUAAAGUAAAAGGAUAUUUACACGUAGUUGCGACUGUGGCUCACAUCUUCCUCUGGUUUUACGUCCAGAAACGGCUUGAACGCCCUCUAUGGGUCGAGGAUAGGCUUCCUAUCCAGUUUUCUUAUAAACUGGCAAACAGGGUCGUUUAUAGUCAGAUUCCCGAGACUAUAUCGUGCAUGCUCUUUCUGGAAUAAUGGCCAUAACUGGAGAACCGCUCCUUGCACAUAUCCACUAGGAUGCGUUUCAAGAGACAAAAGGAUAUCAUCCAAUGACUCCUUAUUCAAGCCAUCCCUAAUGAAUUGAAUCUUAUAUUCCCUGUUAUCAGACACCAUUCCUAAAGAACAUGGGUUUCUAUCGCAACUCAUUCUGGCACACUUAUGACAAGCAACAGAAAUUCUUCGAGCUCGUCGUUUUCUUCCAUAAUUUCCUUUACCACAACCAGGCAUGAAUGCAAUAAAUUUUGGAGGAAACUCACCUGCCGAUCGUACUUUAGCCUCGAUUAACCAACGGAUGUCAGCAGGUAUGUUAUUCCUCAUGAGUAAUCGCAUGCGUUCGGAUCGAGCUUUAUAGAUCGUAAGGAGGGCAUUCUGAGGAAGUGAAGGGAAUCGCUUGUGAAGCUUCGCUAGAAUCUCGUUUCUGUUCAUACUUUCACCUCAGAAUGUCAGUUAUUAUGGGAAACUGAAGUAACCGACUUGAUUGUCACGGAGUACCGUUAUCCGCCACUUCACCGGGGUAACAAACUAAAGCACAUAAACAGAAAAACAAAUCAAAACACACAAAGAAAAUUAAAAUCGUCCUCUUAUUGAAUUUACCUCAAGCUCCAACUGGAUGUCGUAAACACUUCUCUCAAUGUCUCUGAGUUGGCGUUCUAAACCCUCAACAUAGGCUACUAACUCUGGUGGUUGUAGAGCCCAAAUGCGUUGUGUUUUACAAAAUUGAAUCUGCCUUUUGAGAUGAGUUUUGAUACGUUGAAGUGGUUUAAGAAUGUUCAGGAGGAACGGUCUAAGUAUGAGACUCAUGAUUAAAAAUGAUAAGAGAAAACUUAAUGGUAAAAUAAACACACUUAUGCAAAAACAAUUUCAAUUAGCAAAAGAAUAAUAAUAAAAAGAAAGAAAGAAAAAUCAAAUCAACGAAAAGAAAAAAAAUCAAUUCAAAUUUGGUGGGUCACUCAAAUUUAUUUCGGUGUCUUCUCUAUGUGGUUGGUACUCAAGAUAUGGCUUUAAUCUUUGACCAUUAACUUUAAACGUGACACCGUUCUUUGGGUCCUUAAUUUCAAUUGCCCCAUGUGGAAAAACAGUAUGAACAAUAAAGGGACCAGACCAUCGAGAGCGUAACUUACCUGGGAAUAGGUGCAAGCGAGAAUUGAAUAAAAGCACUUUCUGACCUGGAGUGAAAGAUUUUCUCAUAAUGUGCUUGUCAUGAAAGACUUUCAUUCGUUGCUUGUAAAUUUUGGCAUUUUCGUAUGCAUCAUUGCGAAUUUCUUCAAGUUCUGCCAGCUGUAAUAUUCUUUCUGAGCUGGCUUGUUGCAUGUCAAAAUUGAAUUUCUUGAUGGCCCAAUACGCACGAUGCUCGAGUUCCACAGGUAGGUGGCAAGCUUUUCCAUACACUAGCCUGUAGGGUGACAUCCCAAUCGGGGUCUUGAAAGCCGUUCUAUAUGCCCAUAAUGCAUCAUCAAGUCUUAAUGACCAAUCUUUCCUGUCUGGCCUCACCGUUUUUUCUAAUAUGUGCUUUAUUUCUCGAUUGGAUAUCUCAACUUGGCCACUGGUUUGCGGAUGAUACGGGGUCGCCACUUUGUGUGUGAUUGAAUACUUUGUCAAAAGAGCCUUGAAUGCUUUGUUACAAAAGUGGGCACCACCAUCACUGAUUAUCGCUCGAGGGAAUCCAAAGCGUGAAACAAUGUUGCUUUUCAAAAAUCCUAUCACCACUUUGUGAUCAUUGGUUCUGCAUGGAAUUGCUUCCACCCAUUUCGAUACGUAGUCAACACCAACCAAUAUGUAUUGAUGGCCAAAAGAAGGGGGAAAGGGUCCCAUGAAGUCGAUACCCCAUACGUCAAAAAUCUCAACCACUAAAAUUGGAUUUAGUGGCAUCAUGUUCCUUCGUGUAAUGCUCCUCAUUCGUUGACACCUAUCACAUGAAGAACAAAAAGUGUAAGCAUCUCGAAAUAUAGUUGGCCAAUAAAAACCACAUUGUAAAACUUUAGUCACGGUUUUCUUAGCACUGAAGUGGCCUCCACAAGCUUGUUCAUGGCAGAAUGAAAGGAUAUUCUGAAUUUCACUUUCUGGGACACAUCGUCUAACAAUUUGGUCUGCACAAUACUUGAACAAAUACGGGUCAUUGUUGAGUGUUAGAAAAUGCAUAUUUAUAAAGGAGAAAACUGUCAUUUUAUGUUUCAAGUCUUACUAACAACCCUUACUUUUAUGUAUUUAACCUUCUUGUAAUGUAAUUACGUGUGUGUUAUUUUAAUUAAGUAUUUUAUGUAUUUUAGGGGCAUUAUAGUCAUUUCACAAUAAAGGAGAGAUCAGACGGCAAAACGGACAUCACUUUUGAACUCAGGACGGUCGAAAACCUUAGGAGGAGCAUAAAAGGAAAAAUGGCACUAUUCACAUAUACGGUAGUAUUCACGUAUACGGUACUGUCUACGUUACUGUUCACGACACUGUUCACAUAGACGGAUCGAUGACGUGGCAUUGACCGAUGAUGUGGCAUUGACUGAUGAGGUGUCACGAUCCUGUUGGACUAAAAUUCUAAUGUACUGUUGAUGGUGACGUGGCAGCAUAUCAGUGGACGAAAAAUCUCGCGUACGGUGCAUGCAUCACACAUGAUUAUUUUCAACCAAACCGCGUUACUGUUCAUCCGGGUCAAACCGUGUUACUGUUCAUCCGCGUGGUCAAACCGUGGACUGUUGACUGAUGACGUGGCGCAAUCCUGAGCGUCCAAACUGUUUUUAAUCCGAUGGCCAUGAUUUACUCCAUGUAUCUAUAAAAAGGGGGCCUCCCCCCCAUAAUUUGAUAUCUCUGAAUCCAUUUUUGGGAUCCAUUUUCUGUAAUUCCUUCUCCAUCUUGUAUUUUCUUUGUAUUUUAAUAAAUUCCCUUUUUGCCCCUAGUUCAAUUAUGAGUAGCUAAUUUCUUUUCAAGCUUGGGUUGAAGGUGAAGUCUCAACAUGUGUCAUGGGCUUUAUUUGGUAAAUUUAUUUUCUUUUCCCCUCUAGUUUUUGUGGAUGAUUUGACUUAUCGUCGAUAAAUAAUAAUGAUCUUGUCUAGAUACCGCCUUGGUUACACCGGCUCUCUAGUAUAAGGUUAUUAUUAUUUGGCACGAUAAGCCCUUAGCACCAUAUUGAUUAGAGCGUGGUUCAUGAGGUGUGGAUUCCCCCCUCAUGAUUUAAUUGGCAUUAAUAUGGAUUAUUUAGCCCAUGAUGCAUGUUGAUACGGAUCCAGAUACCCAAGUACGUCAUUUCAAUAGAUUUCGCUUCAACUUAUUCUCGCCAUUGCAAUUCCAAUUUUAGAAUUUAUUAUCGCAAUUUCAAUUCCAAUUUUAGGAUAAUUUAAAUCACUUCCACCACAAUUCCAACCACCCAUUUUGCAAAAUUAAUUCUAUACACAAUUAAAAUCCACCUCCUCGUGGGAUCGACACUCGUCACCAUUGAUCUACACUACAAUAGAUUCGUGCGCUUGCGAGUUCAUUAAAAUUUGCACAACAGUCAUCCCAAAAGAAAUUCUUUAUUUCUACAAAGAAUUUAGCCUUGUCUUGCUUGGUCCAAUGCUCUGGAAAUUUACCUGUAACAAGAUAAUUAACUAUAUCAGCAUACCAAGGUAAUACUUCCACAUUCAUCAAUUGUUCAUCUGGAAAUGACUCAUUCAAUAUUAAUGGCUCUGUAAUUGUGUCAAAAUGGAGACGAGAGAGGUGGUCCGCCACAACAUUCUCUGUGCCUUUCUUAUCUUUGAAUUCCAAGUCAAACUCCUGCAAAAGUAACACCCAACGAAUUAGUCUAGCUUUUGCAUCUUUCUUUGUGAGAAGAUAUUUAAGAGCAGCAUAAUCUGUGAAUACAAUUAUUUUACAACCAAUGAGAUAAGAUCGAAAUUUUUCUAAUGCAAACACUACUGCUAGCAUUUCUUUUUCAGUAGUUGAAUAAUUCAACUGUGCAUCAUUGAAUGUCAUACUAGCAUAGUAAAUAACAUGGGGAAUUCGAUCAACUCUUUGUCCUAAUACUGCUCCUACGGCAUAAUCAGAUGCAUCACACAUUAGCUCAAAUGGUAAGCUCCAGUUUGGGGCCUGAAUGAUGGGUGAUGAUGUCAACAACUGUUUUAAUUUUUCAAAUGCAACAAGACAUGAAUCAUUAAAGACAAAAGGUACAUCCUUAGCAAGUAGAUUGCAUAAGGGUCUAGAAACUUUGCUAAAAUCUUUAAUGAAACAUCUAUAAAAACCAGCAUGCCUAAGGAAAGAUCUUACUUCUCUGAUUGUUUUGGGUGGAGGAAGAUUAGAAAUGAGAUCCACCUUGGCUUUGUCAACCUCAAUACCUUUGCUCGAAAUGAUGUGACCGAGAACAAUACCUUGUUUUACCAUAAAAUGGCACUUCUCCCAAUUUAAGACUAAGCUCUUCGCGGUACAUCUCUGCAGAACUAGCGUUAGAUGAUGUAAACAUUGAUCAAACGAGUCACCAAAGAUAGAAAAAUCAUCCAUAAAGACUUCAAGGAAUCGUUCAACCAUAUCAGAAAAAAUGCUCAACAUGCAUCGUUGAAAUGUAGCAGGUGCAUUACAUAAUCCAAAUGGCAUUCUCCUAUAUGCAAAAGUGCCAAAAGGGCAAGUAAAAGUAGUUUUCUCUUGAUCUUUUGGUGCUAUGGGAAUCUGAUUAUAUCCUGAGUAGCCAUCUAGAAAGCAAUAAAAUUCAUGGCCUGCUAAUCUAUCAAGCAUUUGAUCAAUAAAUGGUAAAGGAAAAUGGUCUUUACGUGUGACAGAAUUCAACUUUCUAUAAUCAAUGCAUACACGCCAUCCUGUAGUUACUCUAGUUGGUAUCAAUUCAUUAUCAGCAUUGGUAACUACUGUGACUCCUGACUUUUUGGGGACAACUUGUACAGGACUGACCCAUGAACUAUCAGAAAUUGGGUAAAUGAUACCUGCGUCUAAUAGCUUAAGGACUUCUGUUCUAACAACUUCUUUCAUAUUAGGAUUUAACCGACGUUGCAUUUCCCUAGUAGAUUUAGCAUUUUCAUCAAGGUGAAUGUAAUGCAUGCAGUCUACUGGAUUUAUACCUUUUAUGUUCGCUAUGGUCCAUCUUAAUGCUCCUUUGUGCUAUUUAAAACAUCCAACAACUUACCUUUUUGUUCGUCAUUUAGGGAUGAUGAGAUGAUUACCGGCAGAGUACUUUCUUCUCCCAAAAACGCAUAUUCCAAUGUGUUGGGUAAUGGUUUGAGCUCGAGUUUCGGUGGUGAUUCUGAUGAUGGGAUGAGUUUCUUCUCUGAUGGUGCUAGUUGUUCAACUCUUGACUUCCAUUUAUUAGUGUCCAUGGAUGGUGCUGAGUCAAGUAGGGCGUUGACCUCAUCAACUGAUCUGUCAAUAUCAAAAUCCAAACCAAAGUGAGUUAAACAUGUUUAUAAAGGAUCAUCACUAAGGUUUGAAAGAAAAGUAUUAUCAACUAUUGUUUCUAUUAAAUCCACAUCAACAAUUCCAUCAUCUGCACUGUGAGGUUGUUUGGCAAUGUUGAAGAUGUUCAGCUCCAUAGUCAUGCUGCCGAAGGACAACUGCAUAUUUCCAGUCCUGCAUUGAAUGUGAGCAUCCGCAGUUGCCAAGAAAGGUCGACCUAGAAUAAUAGGGAUGUGCUUCCUUGAAUCCUGUAUUGGUUGAGUGUCAAUUACAAUGAAAUCAACAGGAAAAUAAAACUUGUCUACCUGGAUAAGCACGUCCUCCACAAUACCACGAGGUAUUUUCGUGGACCGAUCUGCAAGCUGUAACACCACUGGAGUUGGGUGUAAUUCUCCCAGUCCAAGUUUCACGAAUACAGAGUAAGACAAAAGAUUUACACUAGCUCCUAAAUCCAACAAAGCAUUCUCAAUUGUGUGGUUCCCUAUACUACAUGAGAUAGUGGGGGAGCCUGGGUCUUUGCAUUUUAAAGGAAUUUUAUGUUGGAGUAUAGAACUAACAUUUACUGUUAAAAAUGCCUUCUUUUGAACAUGCAUAUUUCUCUUUUUAGUACAAAGGUCUUUAAGAAACUUGGCAUAAGAUGGAACUUGCUUUAUAGCAUCAAGUAAAGGGAUGUUAACACUUACCUGUUUGAAGAUUUCGAGAAUCUCACCUGUGGAUUUUCCCUUCUUUCCUUUCGCUAACCUCUGAGGAAAUGGAGCUUUGGGAACGUAUUCUCGUGGGUUGGUUUCUUCUUUUUCCUCCGGUGGUGAGUCCUCAACAUUCACAGGUACAAUUUGAUUUUCUUUUGUCACCGGCAUCUCCACUUUGUUGUCGACUUCCUUUCCUUUUCGCAAGGUCAUGACUGCUUUGACCUCUCCAUGCUGUUGUGGUGAACUGGUACUUGCUUCAUGUACUCCUUUAGGAUUAGGCACUGGUUGACUUGGAAAUUUACUUUUCUCAACAGUAAUUGCCAAGGUCUGAACUGAAGAAGCAAGUUGUCCCACCAUCUUCUCGAGGCUUGAAACUGAUUGGGCUUGUGAGUUGAAGCCCGCUCUCAACUCAUUUCGUAGUCCAUCAAUAGUGCGGUUCUGUUGCUCAAUCGUAGAGUGAGUAACAUUCUUGAGAUUUUGGAAUGAAUCCUCCCAUGGUCUGGGUUGAGAGUAGUUCUUGUUCUGAUUGUAUGGUCUGAAUGGUGGCUGAGAGGCUUGAGGAUUUUGAGGAAUUUGUUGCAUUGGUGGAGCUGGAGCUGCUGGUCCAUUCUGUUGGAAUCCUUGAGACCAUGAAAAAUUGGGGUGGUCUCUCCAUCCAGGGUUAUAUGUGUUGGAGUAUGGGUUGUAAUUAGAUGGCUUUCUCAUUACACCUAUGGCAUUGGCUUGAUCUGGAUAUGAGUCAGGGUCACGUGAUUCUGUUGAUUUAGCAGUCGAUAACGAUGUUAUUUGUCGAGCAAGACCUUCAACCAUCUCCUUGACUUCUUUGAUUCCCGAAGUUGACUCGCCAAUGUGAACCUCAUUCACUCCUUUAAUCCUUCUAGUAUUCCUGAGUGAUCGACUCCGUUGUUGGGAAUUGUCCGCUUGUCGCUGGAAAAACUCCCAAAUUUCUGAUGCACUUUUUGACAUUAGCUCUCCUCCACUUGUUGCCAUUAGCCAUUCUUGCACAUUCGGCAAUAAUCCCUUCAAAAAGUAUUGGUAUUGGUGCCAUUUCUCGUACCCAUGAUGUGGACACUUCAAGAGUAGUCCAUUGAAUCGCUCCCAAGUUUCGAAAAACUGCUCGUCCUCUCUUUGUGUAAACUCUGAGAUUUCCCUGCGAAUAGAAUUGGUUUUAUGCACUGGGAAAUAUUUAUUUAGAAAUUUUGUAACCAUUUGUUCCCAUGAUGCAAUGCUAUUAGCAGGCAAAGUAUUUAACCAUGAACGAGCUCUAUCCUUUAAAGAAAAUGGGAAUAAUCUAAGUUUAACAUCAUCGUCUGAAAAAUUUUCAUAUUUAAAAGUUUGACAAAUGGCAUGAAAAUCAUUCAGAUGAUUAUAUGGGUCCUCAUUUUCUAGGCCAUAGAAUGUGGGGAGACAAUUUAGCACACUAGGUUUUAAUUCAAAACUCCUAGCAGCUACAUUUGGGUAUCUUAUGCAUGAUGUGCUCAAAUUAGCUAAGGGACUAAAAUAAUCCUUAAAUGGCCUCUCCUGUGGUGCUUGUAAAUCCAUUUUAUUUUUAAAUUGUUUGUGUGUGCGAAGUGUUUUUUCUAAUUCAAGGUCUAUAGGUUCAAGAUUUGGUAAUAAUGACCUACGACCAUGCAUGCAAAACAAAUAAAAUAAAAAUAAAGAUGGGAAUAAAACGAAUAAAAAUAAAGAAAAAUGAGAAAUUACGAUACUAACCUUAUUGCGCUGUUACAACUUUUCUAUAAAAACACACUAAAACAAAUACGUGAAAUAAAUUAACUAAAAAUAAAUUAAUUAAAAAAAAUUACAAAGAAAAAUAACUUAAAAAUUAAAUUGCAGAAUUGUAAAGAAUAGAGAAAGAAAAGAAAUUAUUACCUCUAAUUGCAGAUUCACUUUUUUUUUUCUCUUUUUUUUUAUAAAAAAAUACAAGAAAACAAAUAAAAGAAAUUAUUCACAAAAAUUAAUUCUAUGAAUUAAAAUUACUUACCUCCCCGGCAACGGCGCCAAAAACUUGUUGUGCAAAUUUUAAUGAACUCGCAAGCGCACGAAUCUAUUGUAGUAUAGAUCAAUGGUGACGAGUGUCGAUCCCACGAGGAGGUGGAUUUUAAUUAUAUGUAGAAUUAAUUUUGUAAAUGGGUGGUUGGAAUUGUGGUGGAAAUGAUUUGGAAUAUGCUAAAACUUAAAUUAAAAUGGCGAGAAUAAAUUCUGAAAUUGGAAUUGCAAUGGCGAGAAUAAAUUGAAGUGAAAUCUAUUGAAAUAACGUACUUGGGUAUCCGGAUCCGUAUCAACAUGCAUCAUGGGCUAAAUAAUCCGUAUUAAUGCCAAUUAAAUCAUGAGGGGAGAAUCCACAUCUCAUGAACCACGCUCUAAUCAAUAUGGUGCUAAGGGCUUAUCGUGCCAAAUAAUAAUAACCUUAUACUAGAGAGCCGGUGUAACCAAGACGGUAUCUAGACAAGAUUACUAUUAUUUGUUGACGAGAAGUCAAAACAUCCACAAAAACUAGAGGGGAAGAGAAAAUAAAUUUACCAAAUUAAGCCCAUGACACAUGUUGAGACUUCACCUUCAACCCAAGCUUGAAAGAAAAUUAGCCACUCAUAAUUGAACUAGGGGCAAAAUGGGAAUUUAUUAAAAUACAAAGAAAAUACAAGAUGGAGAAGGAAUUACAGAAAAUGGAUCUCAAAAAUGGAUUCAGAGCUAUCAAAUUAGGGGGGGGAGGCCCCCUUUUUAUAGAUACAUGGAGUAAAUCAUGGCCAUCGGAUUAAAAACAGUUUGGACGCUCAGGAUUGCCCCACGUCAUCAGUCAACAGUCCACGGUUUGACCACGCGGAUGAACAGUAACACAGUUUGACCCGGAUAAACAGUAACACGGUUUGGUUGAAAAUAAUCCUGUGUGAUGCAUGCACCGUACGCGAGAUUUUUCGUCCACUGAUAUGCUGCCACGUCACCAUCAACAGUACAUAAGAAUUUUAGUCCAACAGGAUCGUGACACCUCAUCAGUCAAUGCCACAUCAUCGGUCAAUGCCACGUCAUCGAUCCGUCUAUGUGAACAGUGUCGUGAACAGUAACGUAGACAGUACCGUAUACGUGAAUAGUACCGUACAUGUGAAUAGUGCCAUUUUUCCUUUUAUGCUCCUCCUAAGGUUUUCGACCGUCCUGAGUUCAAAAGUGAUGUCCGUUUUGCUGUCUGAUCUCUCCUUUAUUGUGAAAUGACUAUAAUGCCCCUAAAAUACAUAAAAUACUUAAUUAAAAUAACACACACGUAAUUACAUCACAAAAAGGUUAAAUACAUAAAAGUAAGGGUUGUUAGUAAGACUUGAAAUGUAAAAUGAUGGUUUUCUCCUUUAUAAAUAUGCAUUUUCUAAUACUCAACAGUUCCCAAAUAUGAAAGAUGCUUAGGCCUCCCAUCCAUGAUAGGCCGGAAGAAGAUGAGUUUUUUCAAGGAUGUCAAAUUAAAGGUUUUAAGAAAAAUUUCCAACUGGCACCAUAAAAUGUUCUCUAGUGGUGGAAAGGAAGUUCUUUUUAAAGCAGUCGCUCAAGCCAUCCCAGCAUAUGCCAUGAGCGUUUUCAAGCUCCUGAAGGGGCUAUGUGAAGACAUCCAAAGAGUUAUAGCCAAAUUUUGGUGGGGUUCGAAUCAAGAUAAGCAAGCAAUACACUGGUCGAGAUGGGAAAAAUUAAGUUGUGCAAAGAGUAGAUGGGGGCUGGGAUUCAGAGAUUUUACCAGCUUCAAUCAAGCAAUGGUGGCUAAACAAGGUUGGAGGCUGCUUCAGUUCCCGGAUUCCCUGGUAUCCAAGUUACUGCAGGCCAAAUACUACAGGAACUCCUCAUUCUUGAAUGCAAAGGAAGGUUCUAAUCCUUCUUUUAUCUGGAAAAGCAUCCUUUGGGGUAGGCUAGUUAUAAAAAAAAGGGCAAGAUGGCGAAUUGGGAAUGAGAGCAAUAUUCGGGUGUACAAAGACAAUUGGCUGCCAAGAUUGGAUACUUUCAAACCGAUAUCCCCUCCAACAUUGCCCAUGGAAACAACAGUGGCCAAGUUGAUAACUGAGGACAGCCACUGGAAUGAAGCUAAGCUAAAGCACCACUUUUUCGAGGAGGACACAGAAGCAAUACUCAAAAUUUCCCUCCCCCCAAGCCAUAAAGAGGAUUCCUUACUAUGGCAUUUUGACAAAAGAGAGGCAUACACUGUAAAAAGUGGCUACCAGGUGGCUCUCAAGCUUAAAUUCCCAAAUCAGGCCAGCAGCUCAGCCAGCCCCCCCCCCAAGAUGGAAUAAUCUGUGGUCUCUUAACUGGCCUGAAAAAAUCAAAAUCUUCAUGUGGAGAGCAUCCAAAAACCUUUUUCCAACAGCUGAAAACUUGUGGAAAAGAAAAUGUCUCCAAGAUCCAAUUUGCAAAAGAUGCUGCAGAAGUGUAGAAACCACUUACCAUGCUCUGCUAGAGUGUAAAGCAACGAAGAAGAUCUGGAAUCAUGCUCCUCUCCAGCUGAUAAGAAGCUACGCAGAACUAAUCGUGUAGCCAAACCCAACAGCAAGUACAUGGAAUAUGCAUGGGCACGUCAUUAGCCAUGCAACGUUUGAGAUGAUGAUCUGGAGCUGACUUCUUCAAAUUAACCGUUGCUUAUUUGGAGGAGAUCUUUCAUGCAAGUAUUUGUUUUGGUAUAUUUUGGAAUAAUAGUCAGGUUGUUGAGAUGUUGUUAACGACUUGAUUUAGUUAGCUUUGUUCAAGCCUUGUUUCACGGCUAAGGAAAUUAGUUUUGUAUUAGACUAUAAAUAAGCUCUUUUAUUCAAUAAGAAGAUCAUCAGAUUUUUAUUCCAAAAACAUUAUUUGUGGUAGUUCUCGCCCAAAGAAGAACAAGCAAUUUACUUUGUCAAUUCUGCUAGUUUUGACUGGGACCUCUAUUAGUGGUAUCAGAGCUAGGUUAGGAUGGCAACCAACAAAGAGCGUAUCGAGCGAAUAGAAACAGAGGUCGGAGAUAUACAAGACAAGAUGCAACAGUUGGAGUUGGGGAUCAAUGACAAAUUGGCACACAUUGAGGCAACAUUAAGCAAGCUUGCGGACUCAAUCAAUACUUCAAGAGGGUUGCCAAGUAUCAACAACAAUACUGCAUCUUCACGACUGGGCCGAGAAGUCAGUACAGGAGGGCCUCAACAUUUCCAAUCCAAGGUAGCAAAACUAGAAUUCCCUCACUAUUCGGGCGACGACCCCACCGAAUGGUUCAAUCGUGCAAGUUAGUUCUUCGAAUAACAGGAAUCAACAGACGAUCAGAAAGUGGUUCUAGCGUCAUUCCACUUGGAGGGGGAAGCAAAUCAGUGGUGGCAGUGGCUUCGAAGGUCUUAUCAAGAUGAAGGCAAAGUCGUGACUUGGGAGGUGUUUAUGGAGGAGUUAUGGGCAAGGUUUGGACCGACAGACUGUGAAGAUUUCAACGAGGCUCUCUCACGGGUUAAACAAACCGGUACUCUCCGUGACUACCAGAAGGAAUUUGAACGACUCGGAAACCGUGUUCAAGGCUGGACACAGAAGGCACUUGUUGGAACAUUCAUGGGAGGGCUUAAACCAGAGAUAUCUGAAGAAAUUCGGCUGUUUCGACCGAGGACUCUUAAGGAAGCAAUAAGCUUGGCAAGAAUGAGAGAUGAGCAACUGACCCGACAACGGAGACUGUUGAGAUCACCAAUCCUCACUCGUUCACCAACGGCUCAAGUCACCAACCAACGUGCUUCACCAACAGUACCCUUUAAGAGACUUUCUUGGGAGGAGAUGCAAAAACGCAGGUCACAAGGAUUAUGUUUUAACUGUAAUGAAAAAUUCUCUGCAGGUCAUAAGUGCAUAAAGGCGCAAUUGUUAAUCUUAGAAGCAGAUGAUAACGAAGAGUCCACGGAAACAACGCAACAUGAGUAUGAGACGGAAGAGCACGACAAACCUAAAAUAACAUUCUAUGCUUUGGCGGGUUAGGCUGCUCCUCAGACAAUGCGAGUGAAAGCUAAGAUUGGGCCACACGAGAUUAUUGUACUAGUGGACAGCGGCUCAACGCACAAUUUUAUCAACUCGCGUUUGGCUAAUAUGCUUCAGCUCCCAGUUCAACCGACAUCAGCAUUUCCAGUAAAAGUGGCCAAUGGAGAGAAAGUUAUUUGCCAGGGGAAACAUGACAAGGUACAUGUUUUAAUUCAGGACAUCCCUUUUGAACUUACUCUCUACUCAUUGCCGAUUACAGGACUCGACGUGGUGCUUGGUGUCCAAUGGCUUGAAAGCUUAGGGUCGGUGGUUUGUAAUUGGAAACAAUUAACAAUGGACUUCGAUUGGGAUAAUGCUAAGCGAAGGUUGCAAGGGCUGGAUCCACAAACAAUUCAAGCUACAACAUUAUCUGAAGUUGCCAAAGAUAUGAAACAAGGGCACAACGUGUUUGCUAUAUGUCUCUAUUUAAACAAUGAGGAAUCAUAUACAGUAGCACCGGCCAGCAUGAGGAGUUUGCUAGAGGAAUAUUCCGAGCUGUUCGUGGAACCCAAACAACUCCCACCAACACGGGAAAUCGACCACCAAAUCACUCUUAAAGAAGGAACAGAACCAAUUAAUGUGAGACCCUACCGGUACGCUUAUUUCCAAAAAGCGGAGAUUGAGAGACAAGUGAACGAAAUGCUGUCUUCCGGGCUCAUUCGACCAAGCACCAGCCCCUUCUCAUCACCGGUACUCCUAGUAAAAAAAAAGAUGGCAGUUGGAGGUUUUGUACUGACUACAGAGCACUCAACAAGGCCACAGUAAAAGACAGAUUUCCAAUACCAACAGUAGAAGACAUGUUAGAUGAAUUGCACGGUGCAACAUUCUUCACCAAACUAGACCUCAGAGCCGGCUACCAUCAGGUACGGCUAAACUCAUCAGAUAUACAUAAGACGGCUUUUCGCACACACAAUGGCCAUUAUGAAUAUCUGGUCAUGCCAUUCGGCUUAUGCAAUGCUCCCUCUACUUUUCAAGCAAUUAUGAAUGCUAUUUUUCGGCCCCAUCUUCGGAAAUUUAUAUUGGUAUUUUUUAACGACAUCUUGAUUUAUAGUCCCACGUGGGAAUGUCAUUUGAAACACGUUAGACAGACCUUGGAAAUUCUUAAACAACAUCAAUUUUUUGUCAAGGCUAGCAAGUGCAAUUUUGGCCAGCAAGAACUUGAAUAUUUGGGACACAUCGUCACUUGCCAUGGUGUGAAGGUGGAUGAACAGAAAAUUGCAGCAAUGGUGUCAUGGCCAAAGCCACGGAAUAUUACAGAGCUAAGGGGAUUUUUAGGCCUAACAGGGUAUUAUCGCAAGUUCGUUCGUGGGUAUGGCCUGUUAGCCCGGGCCCUAACCAAUCUUCUUAAGAAAGGACAAUUCGGGUGGAAUACUGAAGCUGCAACAGCAUUUGAGCAAUUGAAACUUGCCAUGACUCAAACUCCAGUACUUUCUAUGCCUAAUUUUAACGAUGUUUUUGUUAUUGAAACUGAUGCGUCCGGUGAUGGCAUAGGAGCAGUACUGCAGCAAAACGGAAAACCAAUAGCUUACAUGAGUCGAGCGUUGGGUAUAACAAAAAAGACUUGGUCGACAUAUGCGAAAGAGAUGUUGGCAGUGGUAGAGGCGGUCAGAUUUUGGAGGCCUUAUUUACUGGGACAACGAUUUGUGAUACAAACAGAUCAAAAAAGCUUAAAAUAUCUCUUGGAGCAGAAGAUAGCAACUCCUGAUCAACAGCAAUGGAUGGUCAAACUCAUGGGUUACGAUUACGAAAUCCGAUACCGCCCCGGCAAGGAAAACGCUGCUGCCGAUGCACUCUCUAGAAGAACUGACAGCCCAACUCUUAAUCAUCUUUUUGUACCGCAGGUGUCACUAUGGGGAGAAAUUAAAAAGGCUAUGCAUGAAGAUGAUUAUCUAAAGAAGAUUGCACAGCAAGUUGAGACUCAACCCGACGGCCCUUACACGGCAAAAAACGGCCUCAUAUUCUUCAAAGGCAGGGUAAUAGUUCCGCGAAAGAUGCGUGACUUAUUAUUAUUUGAGGCCCACAAUACGAAAAUAGGAGGGCAUUCCGGAGUCCUUCGCACUUACAAACGCUUAGCGCAGCAAUUUUAUUGGCCCUCAAUGUUUCAAUCUGUUCAUGAUUAUGUAAGUAAGUGUGUUGUUUGCCAGAAGACGAAGAGUGAAACGCUACAACCAGCAGGGCUUCUUCAACCGUUGCCUGUUCCUUGCCAAGUGUGGGAGGAUAUUUCUUUAGAUUUUAUUGAAGGGCUGCCUAAUUCACAAGGAAGAGAUACAAUAUUUGUGAUAGUCGACAGGCUCAGUAAAUAUGCAUUCUUCCUUUCCUUAUCUCACCCAUUUACCGCUAAAUCUGUUGCUGAAAGAUUUGUUGACGGAGUGGUAAAACUACACGGCAUGCCCAAGAGUAUUGUAAGUGAUCGGGAUCCAAUAUUUAUUAGCAAAUUUUGGAGUGAAUUUUUUACACUGUCAGGCACACAAUUAACGAUGAGUUCAGCCUAUCAUCCGCAAACGGACGGCCAAACAGAGGUUGUUAACAGAUGUCUGGAGCAAUAUUUACGCUGCUUUGUCCACCAGUGGCCACGCAAGUGGAACAUGUAUCUGUCGUGGGCUGAGUUUUGGUACAAUACCACUUUUCAUGUAUCCACCGGAAUGACCCCUUUUCAAGCUCUCUAUGGCCGGCCUCCACCUUCUGUCCCCAUGGAUUCGAUCGGGUCUUCACCGGUUCACGAAGUCGAUCACGCCUUACAGACCAGAGAUGAGUUAUUGCGGCAACUAAAAUCUAACCUUGCUGCAGCGGCUAAUCGAAUGAAACAAACGGCCGACAAGAAAAGGAGGGAUGUCGAAUUCAAAGAAGGAGACAUGGUGUACUUGCGCUUGCAUCCGUACCGGCAAUCUUCAGUUUUUAAACGUGCACAUCAAAAAUUAUGCAACAGGUAUUUUGGACCAUAUCAAAUAAUUCAAAAAGUGGGGCCUGUCGCUUUUAAGCUCCAGUUGCCAGAAGGUGCCAAGGUCCAUUCUACAUUUCAUGUUUCAGUACUAAAAAAAGCAGUGGGAGAUUCGACAGAGAGCAGCACGGAGUUACCUCCUAUAGAUGAUGAAGGUGUGCUGGUUUUGGAGCCUAAAUCAGUUCUGGACACUCGGUGGCUUAAAAGAGGUGGUACUGUUAUUGAGCAAAGUCUGAUUCACUGGAACAAUCAACCAAUGGAAGAGGCCACUUGGGAAGAUACUGUCGUCAUUAAGCAGCGGUUUCCUUCGCUGACCCUUGAGGACAAGGGUCCUCUUUCAUGGGGGAGUGAUGAUAAGAAGCUACGCAGAACUAAUCGUGUAGCCAAACCCAACAGCAAGUACAUGGAAUAUGCAUGGGCACGUCAUUAGCCAUGCAACGUUUGAGAUGAUGAUCUGGAGCUGACUUCUUCAAAUUAACCGUUGCUUAUUUGGAGGAGAUCUUUCAUGCAAGUAUUUGUUUUGGUAUAUUUUGGAAUAAUAGUCAGGUUGUUGAGAUGUUGUUAACGACUUGAUUUAGUUAGCUUUGUUCAAGCCUUGUUUCACGGCUAAGGAAAUUAGUUUUGUAUUAGACUAUAAAUAAGCUCUUUUAUUCAAUAAGAAGAUCAUCAGAUUUUUAUUCCAAAAACAUUAUUUGUGGUAGUUCUCGCCCAAAGAAGAACAAGCAAUUUACUUUGUCAAUUCUGCUAGUUUUGACUGGGACCUCUAUUACCAGCCCAAUUUUCAGAAUUCUCCAAACCAGAGCAUCCUCAGCAUCAUCCAAAAUAUGCCCUCCAAUAUGCGGAAGUCUAAUUUCGAUCUCUUGAUCUCUCUAUGUUGGGUGGCUUGGUAUGCUCGAAACAAGUUUAUUUUCGAAGGUAAGAAGAUAGACCCAAGGCUCUCUGUAGCUAAAGCUGAAGCAGUGAUUGAUGCUUUCCAAAGAGCUAGGAAGCCUGGAGCCACUCAUAUCCAUAACAGCAGCAAAGUACCUCAGCAUAAGUGGAAUCCCCCUCCGAAGAAUGUUGUCAAGGUUAACGUGGAUGCAGCCAUCAACAGCAAGAGUCAAAUGGCAGGCUUAGGAGCUGUAAUUAGAGACUCAAAGAACAAAUUUGUAGCUGCAGGCAUCAUGCAAACUGGUUUGAAGGAGCAUGUCAACUAUGCAGAAGCUGAAGCCAUUGUAUAGGGUUUAAAGCUAGCUAGAAGGGCAGCUCUUUCCACUUUGAUCAUAGAGUCAGAUUGCCUAGAAGUGGUUGAGUUAGUAAACAACAUAAAGAGCAACAAAACAGGACAAUGGUGGAUAAUUGAAGAGAUCCAGAACUAAAAAAGUGAGUUUUGUAAUGUAAUUAUCAAUCAUAUCCCUAGAACCUAUAAUGUUUGUGCUCAUUCCCUAACAAAACUUACUGUGGGAGCAAAUACGCCUGCUGUCUGGUUAGACCAUAUUCCAACAGAGGUGAUGAAUGUUCUGAUUUAGUGUUGUUUUUAAUGGAAAGGAUUACUUUCUUCAAAAAAAAAAAAAGAAUAAGAAGAAAGCAUAAUGCGACCCUCCAACAGCUUAAUCUAUGGAAUUAUCGUGUUUUGUAAGUUAGGGUCCAAUGGCGUUUUGGCACAUCAUAUGAUAGACCACUAUAUUGCGUUGCUUUACAAAAGAUUAAUAUUUUUAAAAUUAUUAGGUAAGUUUAGGCUCAGUGGCACUUUAACUCAUGAUAUGAUAGUCCAGGUUUUCGAGGACCACUAUAUUGUAUUGAUUUAAAAAAAAAUUAAUAUUUUUUAAUAUUAAUAUUCUAAAUUAUAUUCAGUUAAAAUAUUAAAUAUUAAAUACAUUCUUAAUAUUAAUAUUCUUAGACGAAAUUCUUUUGCUGGCUUAAGAAUAAAAUAUUAAAUAAUUUUAUUUUUCUUUUAUUGUGUAACGUGGACCCAAAAAAAAAAAGGAAAUGAAUUUAAUAAAACCUUCAUUCCGCCACCAUCCAUGUUAAUUGUUUCCAAAUUCCAACCUCCGUACUCUCUUGAGGAGUUUCCCAUUCAUCAAUUAUUAUUUUUUAUAAUCCAUACCAUCCUGAUAUAAUUAAACACCAUUAAUAAUGUACCAGCCUUUAAAUAGUAAUUAAUUUAUUUAUCUAAUUCACCAAAUGUUUUUUCCGGUACAUAUCUCCAUUGGUAUCAAGAAGAAGCAGAACCCAAACAAAUGUUUCUUGCAUCUUCAUAUUUGUGCAAAUUCAUCCUUUCAUUGAGAAUAACCAUUUCCAGGCAGCAGUUGGCAAUCAAUUCAUGCGCACGUCGAUGCUAUUCAUAGAUAUUAAAGACAAUGAUGAACCAAAGGUGAUAAAUCAUAAAUGCAUAAUUACCAAACCUCCAUCCUUCUCUCAUUAUGAUUUGAUUUUAAAUGAAUUAUUGCUUGGUAACAUUAUUUCCAACCAUUGCAAGCCCUUUUUUUUUUUUGGGAGAAAUUUCAAUUGAAAGUGAAACCUUUAGACAUUUACCUAAUGAAGUUAGUUAAUCGGGAGGGUGGAAAAAAAAAAGGUUGACGCAAGUCAAUACACAAUAAUUAAUUAAAUCCGGAGUGACUAAAACAGAGCCACGACUUUUUCAAAAAUAUCUGCAUUCAUCACUUUCUCCUCGUUUGUUGUCAUCCAAAAUUAUUCACCAAUACCAUGGCUGAUGCAAUCGUUUCCACUAUCUUGGAGCAGCUGAUUUCCUUCGCUGCUGAAGAGAUAAAACAACAGGUGAUCGAAGUUACACCCCUCAUAUUACAAAUACUUCCAAUGAUUUUAAUUGGUUUUGUUUUUAUCAAAAACAUUAUAUAUUUUUGCUUUAUUUUAUUUAUCUGGUAAUUUUAGAUUUUGAAAUUUGAAUUGAAUUUAAUUAAAAGGUCAUGUAGUAACCACUUAUUUUUAUUUUAUUUCAUUUAUAUUCUCAAUAACUAACCAUAUUUUGGUAACUUAAUAUAACUCUCGUACAUAAGAAAUGAUCAAAACCCACAAUUUUAACUCUGUAUAAAUAUUCAACGUUGAGUCAUUAAUUCUCAACUCAGCACUGAAUCCCAAAGCUAUUACUUAGACUCUAUGAAAAAAUUCAUAGUUUUCUUACAUUCUUUGAGUUUGGUAAGUGAUUUCGUAUAAUUUCUUUUCAAGUUAAAUUUUAAUUUGGUUUAUGAUAUAGUCUCUGUGCCGAAUUGUAUCUUUUAUGAUUCUUGGAUUUUGGGCUCCAACUUUUUAGGAUUUGAUAGUCAUAUUUUAUGCCAUGCUCAGAUUGAUUUUCAUGAUUUUUAGUAGCCGUUAAGUGACUUACAAUUUGACGAAAGUUUGAAAGGAAAAAUGUUUCAGGAUUAUGUUUUAAUUGACCUUUUAGUAGAAAUAGGAUGCUUAUAACUUAAUGUGGAUGGUUCGUAAAAUCAUGAAAUUUGGAUAGGAUUCACUAGAAAUAUGUACAAGACUCUCCAUAAAGUUUCAUAAUUUUUCAUUCGGUAUGGGGUGGCACAGGUGAAACUUGUGUUUGGUGUUGAAAAAGAAGUGAAAAGCCUUACCAGCCACCUUCAAGCCAUUCAAGUUGUGCUCGAUGAUGCAGAGGAAAAGCAAGUGAAGGACAAAGCUGUUAGUCUUUGGCUGGGUAGGCUCAAGUACGCAUCCUACGACAUUGAAGAUGUGUUGGAUGAGUGGAUCACAGCAAGACGCAAAUUGCAAAUUGAGGGUGGCGUUGAUGAAAAUGCUCUUGUUGUUCCUCAUAAGAAAAAGAAGGUAUGUCUCUGCUUUCCCAGCUCUUGUUUUGGAUUCAAACAAGAAGAAUUUGGUUUCAAACAAGUCUUUCUCCGUCAUGACAUUGCCGACAAGAUCAAAGAAAUCAAUGAAGAGCUACAUGAUAUUGCCGCUCAAAAAGACAUGUUUGAUCUUGUUAAGAGUGGCAAUAAAAGUAGUGAAAGACCAAGGCGUGUACAGAGUACCUCCUUGAUUGAUGAGGAAGAGAUUUGUGGUAGAGUUGGUGAGAGGAAUGAACUCAUAAGCAAGCUGUUGCGUGAGAGUAGCGAGCAACAAAAAGGCCUCCAUAUCAUCUCAAUUGUUGGUAUGGGAGGCAUAGGGAAAACUACUCUUGCACAACUAGCUUGUAAUCAUGACGAGGUGAAGAGAAAGUUCGACAAAAUUCUGUGGGUGUGUGUAUCAGAAACUUUUGAGGAGUUUAGGGUAGCCAAAGCGAUCGUUGAAGUUUUGGAUGGUCGUGAAUCUCAUUUAGCUGAAUUCCAUUCUCUUCUUCAACAUAUUUAUGAAUCAAUUGCAGGGAAGAGCUUUCUUCUUGUCUUAGAUGAUGUGUGGGAUGGAAAUUACUUGAAAUGGGAACCAUUCUACCGUUGUCUAAAGAAUGGUCUCCAUGGAAGUAAAAUUUUAGUUACCACACGCAAAGGGUCAGUCGCAUCCAUGAUGGGAUCCACAGAUAUUAUCUCUGUCAAGGAGUUAGCUGAAGAGGAAUGUUGGUUGUUGUUUAAAAAGAUAGCAUUUUUUGAUCGGUCCAUCGAGGAACGUGAAAAAUUAGAACAAAUUGGGCAAAGAAUUGCAGGCAAGUGCAAAGGUUUACCUCUUGCAGCAAAGACAAUAGGGAGUCUCAUGCGUUCUAAACAAACUGAAGAAGAGUGGAAAAGAAUUUUAAAUAGUGAUUUAUGGAAAGUAGAAGAGAUUGAGAAAGAUGUUUUGUCCUCUUUAUUGUUGAGUUAUAAUGAUUUGCCAUCUAGAGUAAAAAGAUGUUUUUCAUAUUGUGCUGUCUUUCCAAAAGACUACGAUAUAAAAAAAGACGAACUAAUCACAUUAUGGAUGGCUCAAGGUUAUCUUAGUGCAGAACAAGAUGAAGAGAUGGAGACAAUAGGUGAAGAGUAUUUUGGCAUCUUAGCUUCUCGCUCGUUUUUUCAAGAGUUUAAGAAAAGUUAUGAUAAUCGGAUUAUAGCGUGUAAGAUGCAUGAUAUGGUACAUGAUUUUGCCCGAUUUGUAAGUCAAAAUGAAUGUUUUUCGAUGGCAAUUAAUGGUAGUGAAGAACCAAACGCCACAAACUCUCUUGAUGAAAAGGUCUGUCAUUUAAUGUUAAUCUUUAGUAAAGGGGCUUCAUUACCUGUUUCCACUCGUAGAGUUAAAAGAAUGCGUACCCUCUUAAUUAGCGCUAGUGGAUCUGAUCAUUCAUCAUUAAAUGCUGAGAUCGUAGAAGAAUUAUUUAGGGAAUCGACAAGUUUAAGGGCAUUAGAUGUUAGCCAGGUGUCUUUGCCUACAGAGAUUUUAAGAAAUAUAAAAAAGCUGGUACAUUUAAGAUACCUUAAUUUGCGUUUUCCGAAAAUAGUGAAACUACCGGAGACAUUGUGCGAGUUAUAUAAUCUAGAAAAGUUAGAUAUUAGUUAUUGUUUUAAUCUUAAAGAAUUACCUGAAGGGAUUGGGAAGUUAAUAAACAUGAAGCAUUUACUAAAUAGAGGUACUAAUUCUUUAAGGUACAUGCCAGUAGGGAUUGGGAGAUUAACGGGUCUUAGGACCUUGGGUGAGUUCCGCGUGAGUGCAGGAGGAGAUGUUGAUGGUAGGAAAGCAUGUAGGCUUGAAUCUCUUAAAAACUUGGAACACCUUCAAGUAUGUGGUAUACGUAGACUGGGUGAUGUAUCAGAUGUGGGCGAGGCUAAGCGAUUAGAACUUGACAAAAAGAAAUACCUCUCUUGUUUGAGACUUCGGUUUGAUAAGAAGAAAGAAGGAGGAGAAAGGAGGAAGAACGAAGACGAUCAACUACUUCUUGAAGCCCUGCGACCAUCUCUGGAUUUAAAGGAAUUAGAGAUACAGUUCAACCGAGGCAACACUGUUUUCCCCAGCUGGAUGACGUCAUUAACCAACUUAAAGAGUUUAGGUCUCUCUUUGUGCGAAAAUUGCGAGCAGUUGCCUCCUUUGGGAAAAUUGCCAUCCCUCGAACAGCUCUUCAUAUCGUACAUGUCGAGUGUGAAAAGAGUGGGUGAUGAAUUUCUGGGGGUAGAAAGUGAUCGUCAUGACUCAUCGUCAUCUUCAUUAGUUAUUAUUGCCUUCCCCAAAUUGAAAUCACUUAGAAUUGAGGGAUUGAUGGAAUUGGAGGAGUGGGAUUAUGGGAUUACAAGAACGGGAAACACCGUCAUCAACAUCAUGCCCCAUCUUUCUUCCUUGGUAAUUGAUAGUUGCUACGAAUUAAAGGCACUGCCCGAUCACAUUCAUCAAACGACGACAUUGAAGCGAUUGUGGAUUUUGAAUUGUGGGCCUCUGGGAGAACGUUACCGCACGGGGGAAGGAGAAGACUGGCCUAAUAUAUCACACAUUCCCAACAUACAUAUUCGUUAAGAAGGAUUUGCGCAUUUGAGAUUUGGCGUUGACAAGUAAUUUCUUCUCUUACUCUGAUUUGCUUUUGUUGUUGUUUUUAAUCUAGUUAAGAAGUGUAAAUAGCAUUUUGAAUCAAACUCUAUAUCAGAAAUCUGCAAUACAUACUUUCUAAUAUUCUGAUUUUCAUAUCCUAUGAAUAUACGAUUUUUAAUUUGUGAGAUGGGUAACGUUACUGUAAAAGAUUAUUAAUGCAAUAUGAGUAAUUCUUUUGCAGGACAAGUGACCUACAUUUAGUUUGGCUUUGGAGUUGAAUAAUAACCUUUCGAGGUCCCGACAAACAAAAAACGAAGCUUAAUUUGCCACAGAUUGCACGUAUUGCCAUUAUUGACAAUUUUCUGCACAAGUGAUCGAGGGUGAGGUCCUGUCCUGAAUAAAGCUCUCGUGACUGAACUUAGGUUGAUGUCAAAAGAGGUAAAUUAUCGGCAUGCCUGACUAUUUUGACCAUUACAUGAUUCAUAAAUUGAGUGAUUACUUUUCAAGGUUUGCUUACUUAACCGGGUGACCAAUUUCUUGUAACUAAAUGUAUGAUAUGAAAUGAGAAGCUUAUUAGUGGAAGGAUUGCCUGUAACAGAACCCAAAGAAAAUGAAACCAUUUCAAGGCAGCAGCCGGCAGUUGGGAGUGAAUGGAGGGCCUUCACAAAAUUCUCAAGCAGUUGCAAUGCAAUUACGAUCAUCCUCAGCCUCAGGUAAUUUCUUCUCCUGCUUUGUUUUUAUUUGUUACCUAAUUAAGAAGCAUUAUUUGUUUUUAUUUGUUACCUAAUUGAAGGACAAGUGCUGAAGAGUGGGAAUGGUGCUAUAUUGGGGAAUAAUGCAGGAGGAGGUAAAUUAUUGGGAGUUUCUUCAACCUUGUUUUCUUUGAACCAGCGCCUGAUCCACAAGACUCCGUUAAUUUGGCUUUUGAUCGGCUGAUUGAUAAAUUUUCAAUUUCUUUUGUGAUAAAUGUAUAUGUGAAGCAGGCAGCAGGACAUGACUGUGGAAAAGAGAAGAUCUUAGUGAAAGCUGAGACUCAGAUAUUUCUACAAAGUAUGUGUUUUGGCUGAUUUAUCUAAUUCAUGAAAUUUUAUUUCCAUCUGUUACAAGAUCAAACUGAAGCAGAACUCAAAGAAAAGUAUUCUACUUCUUACGGCAAUCUUGCCUUCGUUCAGAUUAUGGAACCAUUUCCAUGCAGCAAAUUCAUCCAAAAGUUUGAAUAAGUUUCAUGGUUGGACACUGUUGGCUUCUUUUUCUUUUGGGGUGCAUUUAGGUGCUAUCAAGUGACAGCCGUAAGUAUGAUUGCACUAAGCUGCUGCUGGGAAAUUCGAGGUUUUGAUGGCUGCCCACGUUAUUGUCAAGAAACUCCUCAUGUAAGAAGUUGUAGUUCUUUUCAUCAGCUUGAACCUAAAACUGUCGCUAUUGAUAACUCAGGUUUUUGUUAUCAACUAUAUCAUCUUUUUCACUGUUUUGAAACUCUUUAAGAUUAAACUUCAGUAAAGUUCUUUCAGUUAUCCACAUAAUCAGGCUGAGGAUACUUUAGUAAAGUUGCUUCAGCUAUUCAAAUGAAAAAUCUCAUUGAUUUGAGACUUCCUUCAUUAUUGUUUUUGAUUAAAAUGCUAAGGGUCCAGAUAAAAUAAUAUUUAAUUGGUGGAAGGUGUCCCUUGGAAGUACAUCAUGAUUAGCUGUUGUGCUAAUCAUGCCAAUGCAUAAUUCGGCCCCUAAUGUGGGUACUCUGUUACAUUGUUCUGCAAAUUCUCCAAAAAAGUUAAAUCAAUAAAUUUUGUAUUAGCUAGAUUAGCUCUAGGUUGUGAGGAGUCUGUCAUAUGGGAGAACCCAUUUCCAGAAAAUAUCUGGUAUUUGUUCCAGUCUUCUAAUGAAUGAAAGUUAUGAUUCCUUUUCAAAAAAAAAAAAGAAUUUUGUAUUAGUUCUAGUGCGUUGACCUAAAUGCUAUUCUAUAUUUUAGUGCCUUAAUUCUAGAACCUUGGCUCCUGCCAGAGCAUGCGGAGAUAAUGGUAGGGAGAGUGUUUGUGUAUUUUAACCAUGAUAAAGCUAAUGUUCCCAAUGAUUUCUGCUGGUGAGACUUGUGAAGAGGGUGAAUGAGGCAACUGCUAAUAUUCCUGGGUGGGAUACAGUAACUAGAGGCUGAGAUCAGGUGGUGGAAUUUUUUGUUUGAUCGAUGAUACCAGAAUUGUCCACAAAAAGUUUGUUGAUACAAAUUACAGGUGAUAGAAAGAGGUAUAGGUGGAGAAGAGAAAUCUGCGAGUCAAAUUAGGGAUAAUUGAUUUGCUGAUGCAAGUUACAUUGAAUAAUAAUAAUAACAAUUGCAUGAAGAUCCCUUAUUAAUCUUGUGUUCUCCUAUCUUUUACAUUCAGCUGGUAUACUUAAGCCUUGCUUGUGGAAUGUUUUAACCUUUAAAUUCACUACCCCUGGAUGUUGGAUUUUCUAGAACUUCAAAAUGAUUAAUGGAGAAAGAUCCCAUUAUCGAUAUCGCUAUAAGAAAUUUUAUUUAUACUUCCAAAGAUACAUUAUAUAUUUAUGUGUAUCUCUUUAUACAUGACAUUUAAGCAUCCAUAAACUGUCAGACAGAGGAAGGGGGUUGAGUGUAAAGAUUCUGUUGACCUAGGGGUUGCCUGCUUAAUGUCACUUGUUAGUGAUCUAUUAUUUAUUUCAUAUUUUGAAGAAUUUAAAGGGCAAUCCUGCUUGUUUGUGUUGUUAUCUCCUUCUAACUUACGGUCGUACCUAAAGAGCAUAGUUUCAUAUGUGUUACCCUGAGAUGUACAGAAUUUCACAUUUGCCUCAGAUUAAGCUUAAUUUCCCACAGAAUAGAGCUGUUGUGACUGAACUUAGGUUGAUGUCAAAAGAGGUAAAUUAUUGGCAUGCCUAGAUAAUUUGACCAUUUCCUAAUUCAUAAGUCUACAUUAAUUUUGAUUUUGAGUUGACUGAUUUCUUUUCAAGGUCUGCUUACUUAACGGAGUGACCAAUGUUUUUCAACUAAAUUUAUCAUAUGAUGCAGGAAGCAGGGCAGGAUAUGAAAUGAGAAGCUCAUUGGUGGAAGUAUUGCCUGUAACAGAACCCAAAGAAAAUGAAACUAUUUCAAGGCAGCAGUUGGCAGUUGCAAGUGAAUGGAGGCCCUUGCCAAAAUUCUCAAGCGGUUGCAAUGCAAUUACGAUCAUCCUCAGCCUCAGGUAAUUUCUUCUCCUGCUUUGUUUUUAUUUGUUCUCUAAUUAGGAAGCAUAAAGUAUCUUGAAUCAUUUUCUGUAUCUGGAAUAUAUGCAAGAGUUUCUAAAAUUUUGAUAUGAGUGUAAUGAUGGUAAUUUCUGUUUUCUGUCUGUCAUCAAAUGUUAGAAAACUUUCAUUGAGACCCUUGAACCGAGUCAUUUUUGACAAGUGAAGUGCUGAAGAGUGAGGAGUAAGAAUGGUGCUAGAUUGGGGAAUAAAGCAAAAGGAGGUAAAUUAUUGGCAGCUUCUUCAGCCUUAUUUUCUUUGGACCAGUGCCUAAUUCACAAGUCUCCGUAAUUUGGCUUUUGACCAGUUGAUAGAUAAAAUUUUAAUUUCAUUGGUGCUAAUGUACCCGUGAAGCAGGCAGAGAAGGACUGUGGAAAAGAGAAGGUUUUUAGUGAAAGCUUAAACUCAGGUAAUUCUAAAAAUUAUAUGUUUUGGCUGAUUUAUCUAAUCAGGAAAUUUUAUUUCCAUCUGUUACAAUAAAACAGAAACAGAACACAAAGAAAAAUAGUCUACCUCUUGUGGCAAUCUUGCCUUCAUUCAGACUAUGAAACCAUUUCCUUUCACCAAUUUCUUCCAAAAGUUUGAACACGUUUCAUGGUUGGACAUAGUUAGCUUCUUUCUCUUUUGGUGCAUUUAGGUGCUAUCAAGUGACAGCCAUAAGUAUGAUUGCAUUAUUGGGAAAUUUUAGGUUUUGAUGGCUCCCCAUGUUAUUGCCAAGAAAUUUUAAGUCCUCAUGUCAGAAGCUGCGUUUCUUUUCAUCAGCCUGAACCCGAACCUGUCACUAUGGAUAACUGAGGUUUUUGUCAUCAACUAUAUCAUCUUUUUCACUGUUUUGAAACUGUUAAGAUUAAACUUCAGUAAAGUUGUUUCAGUUAUCCAUGUAAUCAGGCUAAGGAUAUUUAGCAGCUUAUUUAGGCAACUGCCAGAAUUUAGUUUGUUCGCUCGAAACUUGUAUGGUGACAAGGAUACUGGCAAGGAUAGUGAGAUAGUUUUUUGUGUGAGUGAAUUUUGAAAGCUUGGGUGUUCUGGGAUUUGCAAUUGCAAUCAUCCUCUGCUUUAGGUGAUUUCUUCUCCUGUUCUGUCUUUAUUUUCUCUCUAAUUGAAAGCAUUUCAAUCAAAUUCUGUACCAGGAAUACGAAAAAUUUACUAAUAUUUUAUUUCCAUCUGUUUGCAUUGAUAACUUGGCCGCAUAUGUACUAGUUAAAGAACAAACAGAAGCAGAGUUCAGGAAAAAGUUUCUUCGGCCACCAUAUUUGAAAAUGAAACCAAUUCCAGGAAGCAGUUGGCAGCAAAUUCAUACAAAGUAUAGACAAUGAUGUGCAAAAAGGUGAUUCGCAAUUUCAUUUUUUUAAAAUGAAAUUAUUUGUUAAGUUGGAGCUGAUAUUGUUAGAAGGCCAUUGAGCUAACCUAUGACACUGCUUGCCUAGAUUGCAGGAGGUCAAGGCUCAAAAGAUGCACUGAAUUUUAAAAGGCAUGCAAUAAUUCUUAUGGCCAUUUGUCAAUGGUGGAAUGCUUUUAGCUUCUUUUCCUUUCGUGCAUUUUGGGGUUCUAUCAAGCGACAGCCGUAUGUAUGGAUGGAUAUAGCUGCUGCGUUGAUUUCUAAUGCGGUGGAGUAAUCGUCGUUAGAAUCUGAAUGAUAUGUCUAAGACGUUGCAUGCAUCAAGAAAAUUGCAGAUGAUUAAACCUUGCCAUCUAUGCGUUGUAUGAGGUUAUAGCAACUAUCUAUCUGGUCACCGUUUUAAAAGAAUAAGACAAAGGGAAAAAGAGAAAGAAAAGAAUGAUUCGACAAUGGCAUUAAAGUUCAACAUACCCCAAGAUCUUGUAAUAAUGCCAUUAAUCAUUUCUAGCUAGGCUAGCCUUAGAGAAAAGUGAAACUGUUGCACAGGUAGAAUCACACCCCUCAGAGAUAAUGUGUUUUUAUUCAGCUCUUCGAAUGAAUGAAGUUUAUUUUCUCGUCAAAAAAAAAACUGCUCGUUCCGCUGGUUUCAUACAAUGUCAACUAGAAACAUCAUACUUUCGUAUAAGUUCAUUAUUGUUUCUUGGAAAUAUCAGAAUAUUUCUUAGAGUUUGUAUAAAAUGAAAAGAUUUUAAAAUAUAAAUUUAAUAUUUGUUUAUUACCGUUGUUUGGUCUAAUUUCCUCGGGAGAAUUUUCAGAAUUUAUAGGACAUUAGUUUAUAAUUUGCGCAUUGACAUAUAUCUUAUUUUAUCAUUUUGAAUGAAUUGCACGGCGAGGCUUAUCAACUUUGGAUGAAUCCUCCAAUUGUCGCAGUCCAAGACUGGCUGCAGUGAGUGAAAAUUUACCCAUAUAUAUGCUGGCUAUUUUUAUUGGCGACGAAUUCGUUGUAGUUGGUCCAUCUUGCUAUUCUCGGACAAUAUUAGAGAAAAUAAUCAUAUUAUUUCGCGUGAUGUGACCUUCCAUAACUUAUCAAUUGAAUUACUGUAAAAUUAUUGUGUAAGUUUAGGCCCAAUGGCACUUUAGUUCGAUAGCCUGGAUUUAAAAGGAAAACUAUAUUGCAUUGCUUCAAAAAAAAAAAAUUAAUGUUUUUAAUAUGAAUAUUCUUAACUAUAUUCAGUUAAAAUAAUAUAUUCUUAAUAUUAAUAUUCAUAGAUGAAAUUCUUUUGUGGAUUUAAGAAUAAAAUAUCAAAUAGUUUUAUUUUUCUUUUGUUGUGUAACUUGGACCGAAAAAGAAAAUGAGCUUAACAUGACCCUCCUUCCGGCACUAUGCAUGUUUUUCUUUUAUUGAUGACAGUGCUCUUGGUGCUUCUCAUCUGCUUCUUGCUUUGGUUUCAAACAAGUCUUUCUCCGUCGAGACAUUUAUUGUAAUUUGAUUUGGAGACAUCUGUCGUUCAAAUAUAUUUCAUAUGCAAGCUGUUGAUAAUUCUGCUUGAGAAAGCCUACAAAGCAGCUGUGUGAUGUAAUAGAAGACUAUAUAUGCAAACGGUCAUCAGUUUCUCUUGAAUUCUUUCUUGAGUUUCUUUGAAUUAUUUGUGAAUGAGUUCUUAAUCGGCUGCUGCUCUUCAGGAAAAGGAAAGUGUUGCAAACUGGUGAAGCUGAUCGAUAAAAGCAAUGUACCAUCUUUGCUGGCAUGGAUCGAUGCCAGUGAGUUUUUUUAUUUGUCAACCUUUUUAAUAAUGCAUAUGUUUUUCUUCAACUUGAAGCGGCAUAUAAGACGAAAGAAGUGAUCUUUAAAGCAUUCUAUGGCAUUAUCCUUUCCUAUUAUAUAUAUCCAAUUGCUCCAAAUUAUUUGUAAAUUACUGAACACGAAUGCUGAUGAAUAAACUGAUGGCUCUAUGUAUGUAUGCACAUGCAUGGAGAAAUUUUAAGUCAGACAUUCUCAUAUAUAACUCGUGGGACCAAAUCAUUAAAUAAUCUUGAAAUCAAAGUAAUAAUUAAAUACAAAUAAAUUGCUCGAAUUGUACAUAUAUCUGAAUCAUGUAGUGAAGAAAAUACAACAACAACAACCAAUGGCUCAAAUUCCCCAUCAACUUCUAGUCUCAACACUUUUGAGUGUCAGAAGCAUUACUCUGCUACCAGUUAACAAACAUAUAAUUAGUAAUUUGCCAUUCACUUCCCUUUUAGGCCUAACACAUUUUCUAUAAAGGAGCCACAGAGUGAACUCAGCAGGAAACACUCAAUUUCAACCUACGUAGGACCAGGAAUUUCAACAAAAAAAAAAGUGUGCAAUUGCUUAUCCUAUCCUAUUGCUACUAGAAAGAAAGUGAACAAUUAAUUUCAGUGAAUAAAUUAAAAAAAAUUACUUCUGCAGAUACUCAAGCUAAGAACACAUUAACCCAUUAAAGACUCCAAAUUGCAUCAAACAAAUUGUUGUUAAACAAGUAAAACAAAGAAAGAGAGUUAAGGAAGCUGACCUAGUAGUAGGGGAGCUGAAGAAAGACUGCCAGUGAAUGUAAGAGAAAAUAAAAUGCAAGAAAUGGUGAAGUGCAGCUUUUCAUGUCAACUUGAAAUUGUUUCUUCUGUUUUUUGUAAUCUUUUGGAUUUUUCAAACAAAGAAAAUGAGGAGCAACCAGGGAGAUAAAAAGGGCGCCAAGGCAACUGUGUGUUGGGUUUAGAGCCAAAAAAAAAAAAGAAUAAGACAUCGUGUUCUUGUGGAGACCAGACCUAUUACGUAUAGGGAUGGCAAUGGGGCGGGGUGGGGGUGGGGAUGCCUACCCCAUUCCCCACCCCAUUAAAAAUUUUUGCCUCCAUUCCCCACCCCAUUCCCCAAUAAAUUUAGUGGGUUGGGGAUGGGGAAUCCCCACGUGGGGAAUGAUUCUCCCAUCCCCACCCCAUUCCCCAUUUACAUAUUUUAUAGUAGAUAUAAAAAUAUGAUUUCAGUAAAUUAAAAAUUAGAGACUUAAGAUAAAAUCAUCACAAUAUUAUAAAGUAUUUAAUUUUAAAAAAAAAUCUCUAAAAAUUUGAAACAAUAUCUUAAAAUGAUAUUAAAAGUGAAAAAUAUUUAAAGAAAGCAGCACCUUAAAAGAGAAAAGAAAAUAUAUUAAUGUUUUAAAGUUGAAAAAUAUUGUAGAAUUUUCUUUUAUUCAUAUUCUAUUUAUAUUACAUAAAAAUUAAAAAAAAUUAUUAAUUGACAUUAUAGUUGAUAAAAUAUAAAUUAUUAAAUAAGAAUUAAAAACAUAUUUAUAUAUAAUGGGGAUUGGGGUGGGAGUGGGGUGGGGAGUGCAAUACCAAACCCCACCCCGUUAACAAUUUGGGGAUUAUUUUUUCCCCACUCCCCACCCCAUUCCCCAAAAAUUAUUAAAAAAUUUCCCCAUUUGGGGUGGGGCUCCAUGGGGCCCCAAACCCGUGGAGGAUUUUGCCAUCCCUAAUUACGUAACGUCCCCUUCAAUACCACUUGUUCCGUAUCUGGUUUUUUCUUCGUCUUUUACAUAUUUAUCCUGUGAUUUUACAAUAACUAAAUAAUCCCCGCAUAGUUUGCAAUUUUAUUCAUUUGGGCCCUACAGAUUUCAGUAAUAGGAAUUAUUAAGGGACAAGAGCGCAAAACAGAAACUCUGUCCACUACUGAUGAUAUAACAACGAACCUUUGUAGUUUCUGCCUGUUAAUAUGAAUUGAUCAGGAGUGUUUCCUCACUUACAAAUUACGAAUUUACAAAAUAUGUAUGUAAGUAUGUGUGUACGUACGUGUGUAUGUAUGUACAUAUAUGCAUACACCUAUGUAACAUUUACUUAUACAUUCUUUUGAGUUUAAAUCUUAAUACACAUUUUCAUGAAAUUUUUAUUUUAUUAAGUAUACAACUACAUACAACUACAUUAAUGUAUAUAUUUUUUAUAUAAGACAUGCCGUCCUAUUAUUCAUAAGUAAACAAUGUGUUGUAAAUAGUAUUCUGUGUUUUCUCAAAGUUGACUUUUCGUCUUUUAUUUUCAGACGCAGACGCUAUGUCAUUUUGUAAUCUUCAAAACAUAUGCAGAGCAGAAUUGGUGUUAUAUGAUUUUGUGAUGCAAUAAGAUUUGCACUUCCUGUGCACUCAAUGGAAUCAUUUCUUUGUAACUAAUUGGGUGGUGGAAUGGUGGUCAAAUAUCGAACGAAGACAGAUCUAUCAAACUCCAGAAACAGGGAAACCAUGCCACGCUAGUAGACAAUAUGCUAGUAUGAACAAACUUGUUUGAAUGGCAAAAACGACAUGACCUGCUGUAGUAUUAGUUCUUUCCCGAACCAAAGGGUGAUUUGCUACGUUAGAUCAUGAAAAUUGAAAAAAAAAAUUAACCAAAAUAAAAAUUCUUACGGUAAGAAUAAAAAUUCUUAAGGAAUUAGUUAGUUAAUUGAUUGAUCGAAUUUAAUCUAAAUUGGAAAAUGAUAAGAUAAUUUUGAAUUUUUUAUUAUAAUUAUUAUUUUAAAGUGGGGUGGGUUUAUACAAUUUGAGGCUUUGAGCGGUGUAAAUAUCACUGCUGAAUUAUUAAAUAUACAGUGUAAAAUUUUGACCUUUAAAAUAUUCCUUUUUUUCAUUUAGCACUAUAAGUUUAAAAAUUUAACAUUUUACCUCAAUAAUUAAAUACUUUUAACUUUAAUCUUCAAAUAUUUACCCUACAACAUUCGGACCUAAAUUUUUAAUCCGACUCGGCCCCUGACCCAAGUGGGAAGAAGAUCAGGCUUAUAAGUUAUAACUAUCACCAACAUAACAUCUUCUGGAAAAUAAUAAGAUUACUCACCUGCAAUUAUGUGAUCAAACUAAUGGUAAGCAAAAUAGAACAGCGUUAUUUCAGUCCCCUUUCAGUUUCUUUAUCAUUUUUCUUUUCCUAUUUAUAAGCUUAAUUCGGUCCAAUAUCGGCUAAUUCACUUUGAUUUCACUUUUCUUUCUUUCGGUUCAAAAAAAUUGAACCCAUUGGCUGUCAAUUCAAUUUUGUUGAAAACCAACUUUGCCUGAAUUUGAGUAAUAAUAGAGGAAAAAAAAAGUGUACUUAGCAGAAGAGAUUUCUCAUUUUUUUCUCAUUCAAACUUCUAAAAUAAAGGGAAAAAAAAAACAAGAGUAAUUGUUAAUUAUCAAAAAUUUGUUUAUACUAUUCCACCAAGAAAAUUAUAAAAAAAAAAUUUAAAAAUUGGAGAAGAAAUAUGAGGUGAAAUACGUGGAUGGCUUAGACUAAUAAUGUGAACAAAUUCCUCUCGGAAACAUGUCAUUGUUCAUCCGGACAACACGCGGCAAUGAGAUUCAAGAAUUAAAUGAUAGGAAUCAACUGUAACCUCAUAAACAAAUGGCCUUGGAGUUGUAAACACCAAGCUCGGCAGAUUAAUUAAACAAGAAUAUCCGAAUUUUCUAUGAUAAUCUCUAGGAAACGAUCAGCUAUAAUAUACGAAAUUAAAAUAUUGCAUAUAUUUUUGAACUCAUGCAUUAAUUUCAAAAAUUAUAUCGUAUUAUAAUUUAUUCACAAAAGAAAGAAAAAUUCACUAAUCAAUUGAAUAAAUAUAAGUAUUUCAUCCAGUGUAAUACUUAUAUCAAUUGAAUAAAUAUAAGAAAAAUCACCAAAAUUCACUAAUCAAUUGGAUAAAUAUAAGUAUUUCUUCCAGUGUAAUUUUUGUUUAAUAGAAAAUCUAUUUGAGAUUUUGUGAGAAGAAACUCAACAAUAAAGUGUGAUAGACUUUGUGGGUAUUAAGAGUUUGACAAGUAUUUGAAAUCUGAAGUUUACGAGCAAACAAACUGAAAUCCGAAGUUUACUGAAGUUUACUAUCAAGAGUUUCAAAACAGUGAAAAAGAUGAUAUAGUUGAUGACAAAAACCUGAGUUAUCCAUAGCGACAAGUAACAUACUGAAGUAAGCCGUUGGGAGCUGGCCUGUUCAUGGGCUAUUUUUCUCUGAUGAUCUGCAUUUUUCUUCCUUUUAAGUGAACCUUGACUCGUAUCAAACCUGUCAAAAGAACAGUUCAUCAACUGAGCUGAGAUUUGCUUUCCUUUUUCAAAACCCACCUGAGAUAUUGUAAUUCCCAAAUUUCUCUCUCUCAGCUACACGAGCAAGCAGCCGCUUUUUCACUUCAUCGAAGAAGGUAAGCGAUAUAUCUAUUUCGUCCGAUUGAUUUCUUGUUUCCUUUUCAGUGUUCCGGUAAAUUAUUGGCAUGCCUGACUUUUUGACCAUUACACGAUUCAUAAAUUUAUAUUAAUUUUGAUUUUGAGUUGACCGUUUACUUUUACAGGUUUGCUUACUUUGACUAGGUGACCAAUUUCUUGUAACUAAAUUUAUGACGUGGGCAGGAUAUGAAAUGAGAAUCUUAUUAGUGGAAGGAUUGCCAGUAACAGAACCCAAAGAAAAUGAAACCAUUUCAAGGCAGCAGUUGGCAGUUGGCAGUGAAUGGAGGCCCCUGACAAAACUUCAGUAAACUUCAGAUUUCAGUUUGUUUGCCCGAAAAUUGCAUGGUGACAAGGAUACUGGCAAGGAUAAUGAGAUAGUUUUUGUGUGAAUGAAAUUACGAUCAUCCUCAGCCUCGGGUAAUUUCUUCUCCUGCUUAGUUGUUAUUUGUUACCUAAUUAAGAAGCAUAAAGUAUCUUGAAUCAUUUUCGUUGUCCGGAAUAUAUGCAACAGUUUUUUACGAUCAUCCUGAAUGACUACUAGAGACAGUCAAGCUAAUGACUAUAAAUUAAGCGCUUCUUGGGAGGUAACCCAAGCUUUCUAAACUUUAUUAUUGUCAAUUUUUUUUCAUAUUUUUUUCUUUUCUUUUACUUAUUUUAUUUUGUUUUAUCUAGAUUUUGCACGAGUUCGAGGGUCGAUGAACAUCAACUUUCCACAUGUCUUUCAACGGCUUAGCUACAACUUUACAUCUUCAAGUGCAAAACCGGGGGAGUUUCUCUUUUCCUUUUCUUUUUCUUUACAUUGAGGACAAUGUUUAUUUUAAGUUUGGGGGUGGGAAUAUUUGCUUUUCAUUUUUUUCCCAAAAAAAAAAGAUUUUAAUGCCUAUGAUGAGUUUAUGAUUGAAAAUGAAUAUGGUUCUUAGAAAGGGAUGAAUAUUAUCUUAGUUUAUACUUGAUUCUUGUGUUAGUUUCGUCUUGAUUGAGAUUCUUUAAAGCGAUUCUUUUAGAAUUUUGACUUGAGAUUUGAGAUUGAUACAGCCUAAGUUGAGAAUUUUAGAUUGAGUAAAUGAUUGUUUGCCUCGAUUCUACAUUACUUAAGUUUACCCAGGCACCAUAGUCAGAAAUAGCUACCUACAACCCUUAAGAGUGAAGCUAUCCUCGAGUAAUUUGGGCCUAUGUAUCACCAGUAUGUAGAGGAUAAUCUACCAUGAGAAGAAGGUUACCUUAAGGGGUAGAGUGAAAGCUCCUGACUAUGGACAAAGAAAUGAAAAAAAAAAAGAAAAAAAAAAGAGCACGAGCUUCAAGAAAAAUCAAAAGAAAAUGCUAAUUUAUGCCUGAGAAAAAAAAAAAAAGAUCAAGAUGAUGAGGUUAGUUUGACCUACCCUGUUUAUUAUUCGAGACAAGGGCUGUUGAUGUUGAAGAUCUUGAGAAUGAGUUUUGAUUGAAUUGAUUCACACACAACACAUGAAUCCAAUAUGAGAUGAGGCUGACCAUUGAAUUAAAGUUAGAACUUUGCUAGUAUUUUUAAUUUUCUUUGAGCUAUAUACUUUAUGCAAUCUUUGAGGCAUUUUUUAUGAUGUUUGUGGGUAUCAUCGCUGGAAACCCUCACGAGACUAUAACUCGUCCACUAGGGCCGCCUAGGGGUUUAAAGGCUUGUUGCAUACGCUAAAUGCAAUCGCGAUCACCUGCGAAAGUGGUUUAGUUAGAAUUUUCUUUUCGUAGUUUUUAUUUUAGUUUUUGCUCGAGGACUAGCAAAAUGUUAAGUUUGGGGGUAUUUGAUGUGCUCAUAAUUUAUCUAUUAUUUUAAUGCUUCCAUAACUUAAUUUUAUGUUAAAUUAUAUUUUAUUAUAUUAAUUUUUAUCUUAAUUUUUAUAUUUUGUCAUUGUAGGAAUAUUGAGAAUAUUCAUGAGAAAAGAAGCUUAAAGAGGAAACAAGUUGGAGUAUAAUGGAAAUAAUGUGGAAGCAAGAGGGAAAGAAAUAAAAAGCCAAAUCAAAGAAAAUUUAAUUUAAGCAUCAUGCAUGCAGUCACGUGAUGAAUAAAGGAAGAGAAGAAAAGGUCAAUAGGCUUUUAAUUUCAAGCUAGUUACGUAGAGCCCAUUUGACAAUUUAAAUGGCAAGCUUACAAUAUAUUAAAGGAAGCAAAUAUUUUGGCAUUGUUUGAAAAGGCUAUUCACGUGGAUGGGCUUUGGUUUCAAUUUUGAUUGGCUUAGGAAUGAAAUAGGCGGCUGGGCUUUUGUUUUUAAUUCCUUUCAUAAGAGGAUUUGACAAGCCACAACAUUAUAAAAAGGGAAAAGCCAAGCGGAAGCCAAAAAAAAAAAAAAAAUAAUAGAGCAGCAGCCGCAAGUUUUGAGCAAAACCGAGAGCAGCAUGAAUAAUUUGGAGCAGAAGGAAGACACAUUAAUUCUUGAGUUUUUCUUUCUCUCUUCUCUAUUAUCUUAUUUGAAUGUUUCCCAUUAAAUUCAUGGAUUAUCUUUAUAUUCCCAUGAACUAAUUUAUUUUACUAGAGCUACGAUGUCCUAGUGUUUUAAUCUCUUGGUGAUUUCUAUUACUGCUUGCAUCUUUAUUUGAUUUUUAGUUAUUUUAAUUUUUAAUUUAAAUUCGCUUAUUUGAUUGUUCAAAUAAAUUAGGGUUAGGAUAAUUUCGGUAACUAAUAGGAUAUUCAAUCUCAGUGGGAUGAUACUCUACUCUUCACUAUAUUACUUGUGCCGACUAGUACACUUGCUAAUUUAUGCAAUAGUUGACAGUUGGGAGUGAAUGGAGGCCCUUGACGAAACUUCAGUAAACUUCAGAUUUCAGUUUGUUUGCUCGAAACUUGCAUGGUGACAAGGAUACUGGCAAGGAUAAUGAGAUAGUUUUUGUGUGAAUGAAAUUAUGAUUAUCCUCAGCCUCAGGUAAUUUCUUCUCCUGCUUAGUUGUUAUUUGUUACCUAAUUAAGAAGCAUAAAGUAUCUUGAAUCAUUUUCGUUGUCUGGAAUAUAUGCAACAAUUUUUAAAAUUUUGAUAUGAGUGCAAUGAUUGUAAUUUCUGUUUUCUGUCUGUCAUCGAAUGUAAGACAACUUUAUUAAGAUUCUUGAACCGAGUCAUUUUUGACAAUUGAAGGACAAGUGCUGAAGAGUGGGAAUGCAAAAAGUUUUGUUGUUUUUAGCCUUGUUUUCUUUGAACCAGCGCCUGAUUCACAAGACUCCAUUAAUUUGGCUUUUGAUCAGCUGAUUGAUAAAUGUUCAAUUUCUUUGGUGAUAAAUGUAAUUGUGAAGCAGGCAGCAGGGCAUGACUGUGGAAAAGAGAAGAUUUUAGUGAAAGCCGAGACUCAGAUAAUUCUACGCGUUUUGGUUGAUUUAUAUAAUUCGUGAAAUUUUAUUUCCAUCUGUUACAAGAUCAAACUGCAAUUAGCAAUUUAACAUUCCCUUAAAACCACUAGCUACAUUUCAUCUUUGCACAAUUACACUUAAAAUUCCACUAAAAGAAACUCUUGAGUUGCUCGCAAGCUAUAUAUCAUUAUUCAUUGAAUUCUUACUGUUGAUGCGAGAUUCUGGUUACACUCUUCCGGCUACCAGGAUAUCUGCUCGAUCAACCUCACCUCGACUAGGAUCUCUCCUCGUAUGCUUUCUUCUCCAAGUACUCAUGCGUUCACAGAAACAAGUCAGAGCACGCCGGUUGUUUUCCCGGCGUAAACCCUCCGACGCUCAAGUCAGAUAUGAAGGCUUUGGGAACGCUUGCCACAGAUCUUAUGGCUUUGUAAAUAGUUUUCUCUUCUUUUCAAUUUCCUUAAUCUCUCUUCUAAUCUCGAAAUUGCUAACCCUUUUACCUUCGCUGGCUACCUUUUUAUAGGCCACUUCUGAGCCCAGGCCUUUUUCCCUUUGCGCUCGUCAUCCUCCCACUUCUCGAAAGUGGAUGCUCCAUUUCCGUAGUCGUGGGUGGUUGCGUGGCCCUCGUGCCUAGAUUCUCGGACUGGAAAGCAUGCCACGCCAACUGUCGUUGACCGGGUCUUCUCGAAUCAACCCUUAGCAGGAAUACAGCAGGAAUGGCUUCAGGCUUCUUAUAGGAGAUUGGCCUCGCGGAUGACGUGCUCGUGGACGAGCAGGGUAUUCCUGCUCCUGCUCCUGCUCCCCCGGAUGCCAGGCUCUUACGGGACCCAUCGGCUCGCAGAACUCUACCAUCAGAUAUCUGCUCAUCAUGCCUGGUCUCGUCGACGUAUUUCUCCUAAACACCGGUCCCCCAGUUUCUGGUGUUGGGUAAUGUAGUGGACCAGCAGUAGAAACUCGACAGUACUUGCUCGCGUGGGGUUGGAAAAGGCUUCCAAGAGUCAUGUCGCAUUUAAUUGCGGACGAGGUGAUGUGGCAGAGAUCUAACCCUCCAUUUGAAUUUCAAACCAACGGUUACGAGACCCUUGGGAUUUGGUGCCGUUAAAUGCUGGCAACCCAAGAUUUCGUCCCCAUUAGGAAACCCAAAUCCUUUCGAACGACAAAUUCAUCAUUCACUCCGUCUCCAUCUCUGUCUCUCCGGCAAAGAAGUUCCAGCAUAAAGGCCUCCAUCUCUGUCUUUCACCGACUGAACCAUUACUUCAGGUAUUUCUUCUAUUUCCUUAGUCUCGGAUAGUUGUAGAUAAUUUCUCUUCUCUUUUGCUUGGGUAGUAGUUGGUGGUGGUGUUGUGGUUAGAGCUUAGGGAAUGUCGAAAGGCAAAGAGAAUGUCAUUGAGGUUGACGACGAUGAGUUGGACUUCCUGCCUAGUUUGCUCACCGAUCCUGCUUUUGACCCCGGGAUCCCCUUAGAGCUCAUUAGAUCUAGUGUUGGCACUAGCGCUAGGAGGAUGUCCCCCCAAACAACCUCCACGAGUGGAAGUAGUGGUGAGGAGAGACCCUCUGGCUCGGAAGACACCCUAAGUGAGGAUCAAUGAGGUGACUCUGGGGAGGGGUCUUCACCAGGAACACCGCGACCAGAAGGGUGUAGUACAGUAGGAGGUAGAGCCUUGUCGCGGGAUUAUGCCAUUGAUUACAUGACCUGUACGACCACAUUCAACGAGCUGGAUGACCUCCGGCUCAGGUAUAGCAUUCCUGGUGAAAUUCCUCUCAAGAUCCCAGGAAAGAAGGAUACACCUAGCCGGCCUCCUCGGGGAUACGUUACCCUAUUUUUGGAGAGUUUUAGGCAUGGGCUGAGGUGUCCCUUGCAACCCUACUUUGCCCGGAUUCUUAACGGGCUAAACCUAGCUCCUGGUCAGCUGAACCCCAACGGGUGGAGAGUGCUCUCUGGUCUGUUCAUACUGUGGGACAGAUGUUGUCAAAGCGAGCCCACGGUCGACGAGGUGAAGCACCUGUACCAACUGAAAAGCAGCCCCAAAGACGUCGGCUGGUAUUACUUCCAAUCAAGUACCAAGAUCAGAAAACCCAUAACCGAUCUUCUUACUGGUGAUGGUGGGAAUUGGAAGAGGAAGUUCUUCUUCGCAGGGGGUCCCUUGUUGUUUGCACUUCACUGGUUUGUCUCUAAUCAAAUGUUUGUUUGUGUUGCAGGUUCUUGGGGUGUCCACUUCCCGCUUAAACCUGACCAGCUCAAACGAGUCGAGGCUGUACUAGCCAAUUCCUGCUCGAACCGAGAGCUGUUAACUAUAUACAACUUGCUCGAGUCUCGCUUGAUGCUUCCUGGCCAUAGGAUGGAGGACGCUGUGAUUGGGGCUCUGACCAGGAAACGUUCUCGACCUCCAACCACGAAGAGGGACCAGAGUAAGGACGCCCCUACUGCAAAGCGGGCCAACGUCGUGCAGCAGGUCUCUCCCUUGAAGACUUUACCUCCUGCUCCUGUCAAAGUCGGGGAAACUAGUGGAGCAGCCACAGAUCCUGCUUCCUCUUCUUCUCCUGUCGGCACUCGGUCUCGCUUACCUGACAGCCGAUCAGAACAAUUGGUCCCCUAUCUCAAUGAGUUAUCUAACCUCGUGAGCAAGAAUGACAUGGAGGACUUCGAUGGCUGCACCUUGGGUGAGCUGGUGGGGGCCAUGCAGUAUAGCGCUUUUCACCUCAGCUGCAUGACCACCUAUUACAAGGCCAAGGUUGGGCGCUACGACCGAAAGAUGAAGGAGGACAUUCAAUCGGCGACGACUAGAGCUGGCGUUGCCGAGAAAAAGGCAGGGGAGCUGAAUGUUGAGAACCUCAAGCUGAUGGAGCAGGAAUCUCUUGCUCAAGCAAAAGCCAUUACCCUCGAGGAGGAGCUGACCAAGGUCAAGGGGGAUCUGCAAAGGCAGAAGGCCACGUAUGAGGCUCAGCUCGAAUCCCUCCGCGACUCCCACCGGGCUCACGUCGAGAACUUGGAGAGGGAGGCCAAGAACCAGUAUGACCAGGGACUUCGGCAUUCCUAUCGUUGCAUCAUGGCCGUCCUCGGGAAGCAGCACCCUGAUCUGAAGAUGGAUGAUCUUGCAGUUGGUGUUGCUCAACAUAUGGACGAGGAAGCGGCCAAGGAAGAUGCCGAAGGGGUAGAGCCGAUCGUGAUUGAGGGGGAAAACUCUCCUCCUCGCACAAUCCCUGCUGACGUUGGCGAGGCGAGCACCGCUACUGAUGUUGGCGAGGCGCGCACCCCCCCGGACGCAACUGGUGAUACCCCCCCCCCGCACCUGAGGAGGUCCAGCCAACCAAUGCUGCUCGGCUUACUGAUCCGCCAUCUUCUUGAUAUAUUUCUUGUAUUGUAAUGAACAACGUUGAUGGAGAUUAUCUCCUCUGUUAAUUAUUAACACAUAAAUAAAGAUGUUUUUGAUUAUUUUCGUGUUGUAAUCAUGAGUUAUUUUUCGUUUAAUAAUCUGCCCGUCAUCGUCUGGUUGAGCAGGUUCUGGCCUGGCAUAUGGUUUUACCACAUGCCCUAGAAAAUUCUUCAAUGAUUGAGAUUCUGCUCGCCUUCGCGUGGUCGAGCAGAUCCUGGCACGCUUGGCUUCUGUCUCGCCAUAAACAGGCUUUGAGACUCGACGAGCCUUUGCAUGCCUUAGAAAUAUUUUUUUUUUUCGAUGCUUGGGGGUUCUGCUCGCCUUCGCGUGGUCGAGCAGACCCUGGCACGCUUGGCUUCUGUCUCGCCAUAAACAGGCUUUGAGACUUGACGAGCCUUUGCAUGCCUUAGAGAUUUUUUCGAUGCUUGGGGAUUCUGCUCGCCGUCACGUGGUCGAGCAGAUCUUGGCACGCUUGGCUUCUGUCUCGUCAUAAACAGGCUUUGAGACUUGACGAGCCUUUGCAUGCCUUGGAGAUUUUUUCGAUGCUUGGGGAUUCUGCUCGCCGUCACGUGGUCGAGCAGAUCCUGGCACGCUUGGCUUCUGUCUCGCCAUAAACAGGCUUUGAGACUUGACGAGCCUUUGCAUGCCUUAGAGAUUUUUUCGAUGCUUGGGGAUUCUGCUCGCCGUCACGUGGUCGAGCAGAUCCUGGCACGCUUGGCUUCUGUCUCGCCAUAAACAGGCUUUGAGACUUGACGAGCCUUUGCAUGCCUUGGAGAUUUUUUCGAUGCUUGGGGAUUCUGCUCGCCGUCACGUGGUCGAGCAGAUCCUGGCACGCUUGGCUUCUGUCUCGCCAUAAACAGGCUUUGAGACUUGACGAGCCUUUGCAUGCCUUAGAGAUUUUUUCGAUGCUUGGGGAUUCUGCUCGCCGUCACGUGGUCGAGCAGAUCCUGGCACGCUUGGCUUCUGUCUCGCCAUAAACAGGUUUUGAGACUUGACGAGCCUUUGCAUGCCUUGGAGAUUUUUUCGAUGCUUGGGGAUUCUGCUCGCCGUCACGUGGUCGAGCAGAUCCUGGCACGCUUGGCUUCUGUCUCGCCAUAAACAGGCUUUGAGACUUGACGAGCCUUUGCAUGCCUUGGAGAUUUUUUCGAUGCUUGGGGAUUCUGCUCGCCGUCACGUGGUCGAGCAGAUCCUGGCACGCUUGGCUUCUGUCUCGCCAUAAACAGGCUUUGAGACUUGACGAGCCUUUGCAUGCCUUAGAAAUUUUUCACAGUUUCAAGUGAAUGAAAUUCCUCGACGUUCCAUUAAUUGUAGGAUUCAACUUACAUGAAAAUGUUUGGUCGUAAAAUAAAUAACAGCAAAUACGAACAGAAAGAUCUUGAAAAUAUUAACGACUCUUACUGGAAAUAUUUCCUGAGAUGUGCUGCGUUCCAUGGGCGCUUCACCUCGUGGCCAUCCAUGCGAACCAGCUUGUAAGCUCCUGGUCCCACUAGCUGCUUGACUCUAUAUGGCCCCUCCCAAUUUGGACCGAGCACUCUUUGAGUCGAGUCUUUGGUGUUCUGAUUCACUCUCCUUAACACCCAAUCUCCGACCUUGAACUGCCGUAUGUUCACCUUCUGGUUAUAAUACCGGGCAACCCUCUGCUGGUAAAUGACUGAUCGCUCGGCUGCUUGCUCCCUCUUUUCCGUUAGCAGAUCAAGAUUCAAACAUAUCUGCUCGUCGUUCUCCUGUUCAUUGAAAUGAUAUGUCCGGUGCGUGGUCGUUCCUAUCUCAGUUGGCACGACCGCUUCAUGUCCAAAAGCCAAGGCGAACGGUGUCUCCCCAGUUGCUGUUUUGUGGGUUGUUCUGUAUGCCCAUAGCACACCUGACAGCUCAUCAACCCAUGCACCCUUUUUUGCUCCCAGCCUGGUUUUCAAAAGCCUCUUGAUGGUCUUGUUGGCUGCUUCUACUUGUCCAUUCGAUUGGGGGUGAGCAGGCGAGCAAUACUUCAGCUCUAUUCCGAGGUUCUGGCAGAAAUCCCUGAAGCUGUGAUUAUCGAAUUGUCUGCCAUUAUCCGUUACCAGGGCAUAAGGGAUCCCGUAUCGACAGACCAGGUUUCUCCACACAAAGUCUGUUGUUUUCUUCUCUGUGAUCUUGCUAAGGGCUUCUACCUCUAUCCAUUUCGUGAAGUAGUCUAUAGCAACUAUUGCAUGUGUUGCUGCUCCUCGUCCCUUUGGCAGCGGGCCGAUCAGAUCAAUUCCCCAUUGAGCAAAUGGCCAAGGGGAGGCCAUAGAGGUGAGCUUUUCUGGUGGUUGGUUGGAGAAACUUGCAAAACUCUGGCAACUUACACAGCUCCUGGUCUUCUCCUGUGCAUCCUGGUGCAUUGUCGGCCAGAAAUAUCCCUGCCUUAGAACCUUGUGGGCCAGGGACCUCCCACCAGAAUGAUUCCCGCAAAUUCCUUCAUGUACUUCUCUCAGUACGUAAUCUGCGUCGUCCUCAUCCAAACAUCGGAGGAAAGGUAGUAUAUAUCCUCGCCGAUACAGUACCCCAUCAAUCAUCGUGUAUCUUGAGGCCUGGGCUCUAACCUUCCGAGCUCGCAGCUUAUCUGGUGGUAAUACCCCGUCUCUGAGGUAUGAAAUUAUCGGGUCCAUGCACGAGCAUUUUUGUUCUAUCCGCAACACCCCCAAAUUCUGCUCGAUACUUGGGCUGGACUUCACCUCCAGAGGGACCGACUUUGGCAUUUUUGGGUCGGCUACUGCUGCCAUCCUGGCCAAAGUGUCUGCUCGACUAUUCUGCUCCCUGGGGAUCUGUAUCACCUCCACUGCUUCAAAUUUCCCCAUCAUCUGCCUGACUAUCUUCAGGUACUGCUCCAUCUUCUUCUCUCUUGGUUGGAAUCUUUCGCUGACAUGAUUCGCAACCAGCUGGGAAUAAGUUCUGAUCUUCACUCUGUCUGCUUUCACGGCCUUAGCCAAUUCCAAACCUGCUAUCAAGGCUUCAUACUCUGCCUGGUUAUUUGUGGCUCCAAAUUCCAACUUCACAACAUAAGAGAUCUCCUCCCCCUCCGGGCCUUCCAAGACAAUCCCUGCUCCAGAACCCUGCUCCCCUGAUGACCCAUCCACAUACAUCUGCCAUACUUGAGCUUCGCCACUGUCUGUGACUACAUCUGGUCCAUCUAAACAUACUUCGGGCUCUGUGAAUUCAGCUACGAAAUCGGCCAUUGCCUGAGCCUUUAUCGCUGCUCGGGGUUUGUAGUCUAUGUCGAACUCGCUCAGCUCUAUAGCCCACUUGACGAGCCGACCAGAAGCAUCUGGCUUGUGCACAGUUUGACGCAAUGACUGGUUUGUUAUUACCGAGACCGGGAAUGCUUGGAAAUAUGGCCUCAACUUCCGAGCCGCAACCACAAGGGCAAGUGCCCAUUUCUCCAACGGUGGGUAUCUGGUCUCAGCGUCGAGCAGGGCCUUGCUUGUGUAGUAUAUCGGAUACUGAACUCCUUCUUCCUCUCUCACCAGAACAGAACUGGCGGCCCGAUCCGAUACCGCCAAAUACAGAUAUAACUUGUCCCCAUCCCUCGGUGUGGACAGUAGUGGAGCUUGCUGCAAGUAUUGCUUCAAGUUCUGGAAGGCUUCCUCGCAUUCUGGUGUCCAUUCUGUUUUCUUUCCCCUCCUUAUCACUUAAAAGAAUGGCUGACACUUGUCUGUAACCUUGGAUAUGAAUCUGCUCAACGCAGCCAACCUCCCCGUGAGGCUCUGCAUCUCCUUCAGGUUACGAGGAGACCUCAUCUGCACAAUUGCCUGGAUUUUCUCCGGAUUUGCUUCAAUCCCCCUAUGGCUCACCAUGAAUCCAAGGAAUUUCCCUGACUCGACCCCAAAAGCACACUUCUCCGGGUUGAGCUUCAUCUUAUACUUCCUCAAAAGCCCGAAUGUCUCCUCGAGGUGCCUGACAUGUUCCUUCGAGAUUUUGGAUUUGGUGAUCAUGUCGUCCACGUACACCUCCAUGGUUUUCCCAAUCAACGGCUUAAAGACUUUGUUCACCAGCCUCUGAUAGGUGGCCCCAGCAUUUUUUAGACCAAAUGGUAUUACCCUGUAACAGAACAAACCCUGGUUAGUGAUGAAAGCCGUGCUCUCCUCAUCCUGCUCGUACAUGGGGAUUUGGUUGUAUCCCGAGAACGCGUCCAUGAAACUAAGCAGACCGUGUCCAGCCGUUGAAUCUACUAGUUGAUCGAUCUUUGGUAAAGGGAAGCUGUCUUUUGGGCACGCCUUAUUAAGGUCUGUGAAAUCCACACACAUCCUCCACUUGCCAUUUGCCUUCUUUACCAACACCACAUUCGAUAUCCAUUCAGGGUAAUUGACUUCCCGAAUGAACCCUGCUCUCAAGAGCUUCUCCACCUCGACAUUUAUAGCCUCAUACCUCUCCUGAUUGAAGCACCUCCUCUUCUGCCUUACUGCCCGAGCACCUUUCUUUAUUGCCAGCUUAUGACAUGCUACCUCAGGGUCAAUCCCUGGCAUAUCUUCAUGUGUCCAAGCAAACACAUCUGCAUGAGCCUGUAAGCAUUUCACUAACUCCUGCUUUUGCUCUCCCUUAAGUCUCGACCCGAUUCUGAUUGUUUUUCCCGGAUUCUCUGGUCCCAGGCUUACUGUUUCCAGAUCCUCUACAGGUUCUUGUCUGCCAUUCUUGUUUUCCACUCGGGUAUCGAGGGAUGUUAUCUGCAUUGCUUCCCUUGCUGCUGAGGAGUAGCAGCUUCUUGCGAUCCUCUGAUCUCCUCGUACCACUCCAACUACCCCAUUCACCCGGUACUUCAGAGCCAGAUAAUGGUUGGACAGCAUCGCUUUGCUCAUCCUCAGAAAUGGCCGACCUAGGAUCAUCUGGUAAGGACCUUCCUCAUCCACUACCAUAAAGUCCAGUAUCAUUGUCCUUUCUGUCGGGGAGCUCCCAAUCGUGAUAGGCAGCUCGACCAUGCCCAGAGGGACCAGCCUUCCUCCUCCAAACCCCUUCAAGGAGGUAUUGGUGUAAUCCAACUUCAGGUCUGCUAUUCUCAUCUCCUUCAGGGUUGACUUAAACAACACAUCAACUGAACUCCCUGUGUCAACCAGUAUCCUGUCAAACUUCUUGCUAGCAACAGUGGCCUUGAUGACCAAAGCAUCCUCGUGGGGGUAUAUGAUCCCUUCUUCAUCCUCAUCUGUCCACAUGAUUGGCACUUGCCUGACUCUUGCACGUUUGGCUGCUGGGGUGUUGAAGAAUACCUUUUUGCUGGUCAUGGCGUAUCUAGCAUAAUUUUUCCUCGAUCUGUUAGAAUCUCCGGCCAAUGUUGGGCCCUCAGCUAUAACCCUUACUGCAGGCUGCUCGCGCCUCAAGUUCCUGUCACUCUGCUCCCCUUCACUUGUUGAGGCUACCAUUGGGAAGGUCCCAUCUACGAACUCGUCCAGAUACCGAUUUCUCACUAAAUCUUCAACCUGGGUCUUAAGAUCUCUGCAAUCUGCUGUGGUGUGGCCAUGAGUGCCAUGGAACUUACAAUAGCGUCCCCUAUCCCUCAUGCUGGGUAGCUUGGUUAUUGGAGCAGGGAGGUAUAGCAACCCCCGAUCCUUUAUGGCCUCGUACACCUCGUCCAGGGACAUCUUCAAGGAAGUGUACCGCCCAUAGUCCUAGUUCUGGUCGAUCAGGUGUACUGCUCUUUCUCUGUUUGCUCCGUUCUGGGUUGGGGGCGGUGGCAGUACUUCUGGUCUGCUCCCUCUGCUACCGUGGGAGUGUUGAUGAGCACCAUAUGAUGAAUCAUGCCUUCUCCAAGGCUCCCUAGCUGUGGAACGAGGAGGCUGCGCCCUGCUGCGCUGAUACUGUGGUGGGCUCUGAUGAGGCUGGUAAGCAAUUACCCGACCUCCUGCUCCAUUACCCGAGGCCUGGUGGUCCCUCCUCCUGAUCGGCCCAUUCCCCGGUAAUGCUUUCUUCUCUUUCCUCCCCAACCCUUCUAACUGGUCUAUCUUAAUUCGUGCUGCCUUCUCCUCUUCAAUCUCAAUGUCUCUCUUAGCCUGCUCGUAUGCGGCCGCAUACGUCUGGAUAGCUGGGCUUCUCAAAUUGUACCACAGCCUUCCUAUCUUCACCCUUUCUUUCAAUCCCCUUAACGCCUGAGGGUGGUUGAAGGCUCCCAAGUCGAGGACAGCCCGAUGAAACCUCUUGAUGAAUUCCCGAAGGGUUUCUUGCUCCCCCUGUUUCAUGCUUUUCAGCUCCAUCAUGUCAUCUUCUGGGGCCAUUGCCCCACUAAACUGCUCUGCGAAUUCCUGGCACAUCUGCUCGAAGGUUUUAAUGCUGCCCCGAGGAAGUUUCCUGUACCACUCGCGUGCACGUCCCUCCAGGGAUAGUGGAAACACCCUGCACCUUUGGGGCUGAGAUAAUCCUUGUACCCCCGUUAUGUCAUUGAAGCGUUCUAUGUGCACCAGCGGAUCAGUUCGUCCCGAAUAUCUAAGGUCCGGGAGACGGAAAUCCCUCGGAAUAAUUGCCCUCAUGAUCUCUGCUGCGAGCAGUGAUUCUCCGUCCAGCAUUAUCCUCCAACCAGGAGCUCUGCUCCUUCCUUGCAUAUCGUCAAUUAUCUGCGCUAGUCUGCGCACUUCCUCCUCCAGCUGUACUGCACGACCAGGGUCACGUGCUGCAACUUGAUCCCUCUCUUGCUCUACAUCAUGCAAGUGUUGCCUCAACUCUGUUUCUUCUGCAUUCGCCACCCCGUCGUCCUCGUAAAAAAUCUGUCUUGCCGGGGAUUGCUCUUCUUCUCUAUGAAAUUCUCCCCGUAGAGGUAUGUUACCUCUCUCACCACUAAAUCUCCCGGUGGUUUGACUUCUCCUCGUACCAUCGGGACCUGGUGUCACUCCACCACCUCUCACCAUUUCCUCCUGGGUUACCCUUCGUUCACUCCGCAACUCAUGCAGGAUGGUUGUCAGGGUCUCCAUCUGCUUUUCCAUCCGUUCCAUCCGGUCGAACAUGGCUUUUUCCCGUGCUUCGCUGGCUAUCUCCCUCAGCGUUACAGAAUCGUUAAGCCUCAUAUCACCCCCUUGUGCACUACUUCCUCCUGCCUCCAUUGCUUUUCACUUGCUUCACUCCUCUUCUUGCUAUCAACAGAAGCUUUUUGCUCAGCUCCCCACAGACGGCGCCAAAAUGUUGAUGCGAGAUUCUGGUUACACUCUUCCGGCUACCAGGACAUCUGCUCAAUCAACCUCACCUCGACCAGGAUCUCUCCUCGUAUGCUUUCUUCUCCAAGUACUCCUGCGUUCACAGAAACAAGUCAGAGCACGCCGGUUGUUUUCCCGGCGUAAACCCUCCGACGCUCAAGUCAGAUAUGAAGGCUUUGGGAACGCUUGCCACAGAUCUUAUGGCUUUGGAAAUAGUUUUCUCUUCUUUUCAAUUUCCUUAAUCUCUAUUCUAAUCUCGAAAUUGCUAACCCUUUUACCUUCGCUGGCUACCUUUUUAUAGGCCACUUCUGAGCCCAAGCCUUUUUCCCUUUGCGCUCGUCAUCCUCCCACUUCUCGAAAGUGGAUGCUCCAUUUCUGUAGUCGUGGGUGGUUGCGUGGCCCUCGUGCCUAGAUUCUCAGACUGGAAAGCAUGCCACGCCAACUGUCGUUGACCGGGUCUUCUCGAAUCAACCCUUAGCAGGAAUACAGCAGGAAUGGCUUCAGGCUUCUUACAGGAGAUUGGCCUCGCGGAUGACGUGCUCGUGGACGAGCAGGGUAUUCCUGCUCCUGCUCCUGCUCCCCCGGAUGCCAGGCUCUUACGGGACCCAUCGGCUCGCAGAACUCUACCAUCAGAUAUCUGCUCAUCAUGCCUGGUCUCGUCGACGUAUUUCUCCCAAACACUUACCACAUAUAUGUCACCUUUCAAUCAAUUGUUGAAAAAUUCAAAUUUGGAAUUCAAAUACAUGCAUUCAAAUUUGGAACACUUUGAACGGUCCGAUUCAAAACUUCAUAUUCCAAUUAUAUUCAUAAGACAAAUGGAACACUUUGAACGGCUUGUGUCCGAGCAUUGUAGUUUGAUUUAUUUUGAUGACAUUACCUUUUGACAUUGAGAUUCUUUCAGGAUUUAAACAUUCUUUUUAAAACCAAAUUAUUAAAAAAAAAUAACUAACAUAUAUUAUUUUAUUAGUGCUUUUUAAAUCAAAUAUACAUAGGAGAACUGUAAUUCUUAGCAAUCAAUUUUCCACUAAAUACACCUGCAACAAACUAUUAAUAACAAAGUGAUAGAAAAUACCUGAUUUUUCAUACUUUCUAAUUUCUUUUGGUCCUAAAAUAUGGGCAUUUGUGUAAUAAUAAGCCCAUGUGGAUCUCUAUGCCAUGAGUUUGAUAAAUAGCUAUCAAGGAUCACUUAUUAAGCUAAAAAUAUUUGGAGGACAAAAUUGUAAAACUAAAAGGGUGGAGCAAAUAUGGCUAUCUAGGAUUAAAUAGUAAGUCAACUAUAUUUAAAGGAUAAAAUAUUAAAACUUGAAUUGUGAUAUUAAAAAUAUCUCAACUAUUAUAUUAUUAAACCAUAUGUUCUAAUAGUUUUUUUUUUAAGCUUCAAAAUGUUCAGGAUUUUAGAUUGAAACAUUUUCAAUUGAAAUAAUUUGGUGCAGUCACAAGUUAAGAAAGAAAAAGUUGUCCCAUUGGUCAUUUCACAAAAAUGAAAGCCCUGUAUAACAUGGACGUGAAUGGAAACCCAAUUGUUUGUGUUUGAUUAAUUGAUUUCAAGCUUUAUCUAACCUUUGGACCUGGAUACUUUACUGCGGCCUCUAAGCGCUAUAAAUUUUUUUGGGGAUAAACGGCGCUUCAAUGAGGGCAUCUCCAAUGCUUAACACCAUUUUGGUGUAACACCAACAUUAAAAAUAUACAUUUUUCACACUAAAUUACUAUUUCAUCUCCAACCCAUUUACACCAAAUUUUACACCAAAAAUAAUAUUUUUUUUAUUCUUUUAAUUCUCAAGAAUUAAUUCAAUUAACACAAUAAAUACUACUAUUAACAUAGAUAAUUAAGUAAUAAGUAAUUUUAUCAAUUAACAAAAAAAAUAGAAAAUUAUUAAAUUUGCAUUUAAUUAACUAAAUUAGUACAUUAUGAAAAUUAAACAUUACAUUAAUAUAGAAAAAUACAAUAAAAAUAAUAAUAAUUUUAUAUCUAAUAUUUUGAUGAUAUUGGAGGAUCUAAUAAUGAUCUUCCAGAUUAUUAAAUAAUUGUUCUAAUUUAUACUAGUAGUAGUAGCUUUUUUAAUUUGUGUUAAUUUAAUUUUGUAAUAUGUAAUAUAGUAAUUAAUGUUAUUGGCAUUUUAUUUUUAUUAUUAAUUUUUGUGUUGAAUUUUUUUAUUUAAAAUAUUAGUAUAAUAUUAAAAAAUUAAAAAUGAAAUAAAUAAUAACAAAAAUAAUAAUAAUAACUUAAAAUAUUAUAUAAAAAAGGACAUAUAUGUAAAUAAGAAAAAGUAAUAAAGAUAUUUAGGACUCUUUUUUCCUAGCACCAAAUGAAUAGUGUUACACCAUAUUUGGUGCAAUACUAUUCAUAACACCAAUUUGCUGUUCGUUUUGAUGUUACAUUGGAGAAGCAUUUUACACAAAAAAUGGUGUAAAAGGUAGUUUGGUGUUAGUUUUGGUGUCACAUUGGAGAUGGCCUGGAAAAACACUUGAAAACUUUGGAUUUUUGGUUCGUCCAGUUACGGUGUUAUGCUAAUGGGGUUAAAAGUUCCGAUCCAAUGAGUUAGGAUGGAAUAUGAAUAUAUAAAUUCCAUAGCAUGUAAGGACUAGGAUUUGUUUGUUCAUAUCAAGAAAAAAAAGAUCCGAAAAUUUGAUGAUCAGAAGAUGAAGACACGUUUAUUACAGAGAAACAAACGACAACAUGAUACUAGUAGUAGUUAUUCUUUUCAUCCGAUAUAUUACAUGGUAAUAUCACUACUCGUUCCACUGGUUUCAUAUACACCAUCGAUCAGCAACAUGAUAAUUUUGUGUCAGUUCAUUUUGUUUGUAGGAAAGAGCAGUGUAUUUCUUAGAGCUUGAAAAUAAUAAAAAGAUUUUAAAAUAUAAAUUGCAUAUUUGUUUAUUACAGUUGUUUGGUCUAAUUUCUUAUGUAGAAUUGCUUGUCAUUCUUUGGACGUUAUUGAUUAUAUUUUUGUCAGACUUGGCGUAUAUAUUCACACAUACGUUUUAUUUUGUCAUUUUGUAGAACAUUUUUACACGCCAUAUUAUCACGACUCUUCUCUGUCUGAAUAAGAAGAAAGCAUAAUGCGACCCUCCAAUAGCUUAAUCUAUGGAAUUAUCGUGUUUUGUAAGUUGAGGUCCAAUGGCGUUUUGGCACAUCAUAUGAUAGCCCACUAUAUUGCGUUGCUUUACAAAAGAUUAAUAUUUUGAAAAUUAUUAGGUAAGUUUAGGCUCAGUGGCACUUUAACUCAUGAUAUGAUUGUCCAGGUUUUCGAGGACCACUAUAUUCUAUUGAUUUAAAAAAAAUUAAUAUUUUUUAAUAUUAAUAUUCUAAAUUAUAUUCAGUUCAAAUAUUAAAUAUUAAAUACAUUCUUAAUAUUAAUAUUCUUAGAUGAAAUUCUUUUGCUGACUUAAGAAUAAAAUAUUAAAUAAUUUUAUUUUUCUUUUAUUCUGUAACGUGGACCCAAUAAAAAAAGGAAAUGAAUUUAAUAAAACCUUCAUUCAAAAUCUUCAUUCCGCCACCAUGCAUGUUAAUUGUUUCCAAAUUCCAACCUCCGUACUCUCUUGAGGAGUUUCCCAUUCAUCAAUUAUUAUUUUUUAUAAUCCAUACCAUCCUGAUAUAAUUAAACACCAUUAAUAAUGUACCAACCUUUAAAUAGUAAUUAAUUUAUUUAUCUAAUUCACCAAAUGUUUUUUCCGGUACAUAUCUCCAUUGGUAUCAAGAAGAAGCAGAACCCAAAGAAAUGUUUCUUGCAUCUUCAUAUUUGUGCGAAUUCAUCCUUUCAUUGAGAAUAACCAUUUCCAGGCAGCAGUUGGCAAUCAAUUCAUGCGCACGUCGAUGCUAUUCAUAGAUACUAAAGACAAUGAUGAACCAAAGGUGAUAAAUCAUAAAUGCAUAAUUACCAAACCUCCAUCCUUCUCUCAUUAUGAUUUGAUUUUAAAUGAAUUAUUGCUUGGUAACAUUAUUUCCAACCAUUGCAAGACCUUUUUUUUGGAGAAAUUUCAAUUGAAAGUGAAACCUUUAGACAUUUACCUAAUGAAGUUAGUUAAUCGGGAGGGUCGGAAAAAAAAAGUUGACGCAAGUCAAUACACAAUAAUCAAUUAAAUCCGGAGUGACUAAAACAGAGCCACUACUUUUUAAAAAAUAUCUGCAUUAAUCACUUUCUCCAGCAACUAGUCAGCUACACACGAAUCAAUUUCUCUCCUCGUUUGUCAUCCAAAAUUAUUCACCAAUACCAUGGCUGAUGCAAUCGUUUCCACUAUCUUGGAGCAGCUGAUUUCCUUCGCUGCUGAAGAGAUAAAACAACAGGUGAUCGAAGUUUCACCCCUCAUAUUACAAAUACUUCCAAUGAUUUUAAUUGGCUUUGUUUUUAUCAAAAACAUUAUAUAUUUUUGCUUUUUUUUUAUUUAUCUGAUAAUUUUAUAUUUUGAAAUUUGAAUUGAAUUUAAUUAAAAGGUGAUGUAGUAACCACUCAUUUUUAUUUUAUUUCAUUUCUAUUCUCGAUAACUAACCAUAUUUUGGUAACUUAAUAUGACUCUCGUACAUAAGAAAUGAUCAAAACCCACAAUUUUAACUAUGUAUAAAUAUUCAACGUUGAGCUAAGGUUUUGCAGAACAUUCAAGUUUAUCAAAUAGUCAUUAAUUUAAUGUUUUAGUAAAACCUCAACUCAUCACUGAAUCCCAUAGCUAUUACUUAGACUCUAUGAAAAAUUUCAUAGUUUUCUUACAUUCUUUCAGUUUGGUAAGUGAUUUCAUAUAAUUUCUGUUCAAUAUAAAUUUUAAUUUGGUUUCUUAUAUACUCUCUUUGCUGAAUUUGUAUCUUUUAUGAUUCUUAGAUUUUGGGCUCUAACAUUUUAGGAUUUGAUAGUCACAUUUUAUGCCAUGCUUAGAUUGAUUUUCAUGAUUUUUACUACCCAUUAAGUGACUUAGAAUUUGACAAAAGUUUGAAAGGAAAUCUGCUUCAGGAUUCUGUUUUAAUUGACCUUUUAGUGGAAAUAGGAUGCUUAUAACUUAAUGUGGAUGGUUCGUAAAAUCAUGAAAUUUGGAUAGAAUUAACUAGAAAUAUGUACAAGACUCUCCAUGAAGUCUCAUAAUUUUUCAUUCGGUCUGGGGUGGUACAGGUGAAACUUGUGGUUGGUGUUGAAAAAGAAGUGAAAAGCCUUACCAGCCAUCUUCAAGCCAUUCAAGUUGUGCUCGAUGAUGCAGAGGAAAAGCAAGUGAAGGAAAAAGCUGUUAGUCUUUGGCUGGGUAGGCUCAAGUAUGCAUCCUACGACAUUGAAGAUGUGUUGGAUGAGUGGAUCACAACAAGACGCAAAUUGCAAAUUGAGGGUGGCAUUGGUGAAAAUGCUCUUGUUGUUCCUCAUAAGAAAAAGAAGGUAUGUCUCUGCUUUCCCGGCUCUUGUUUUGGAUUCAAACAAGAAGAAUUUGGUUUCAAACAAGUCUUUCUCCGUCAUGACAUUGCCGACAAGAUCAAAGAAAUCAAUGAAGAGCUACAUGAUAUUGCCGCUCAAAAAGACAUGUUUGAUCUUGUUAAGAGUGGCAAUAAAAGUAGUGAAAGACCAAGGCGUGUACAGAGUACCUUCUUGAUUGAUGAGGAAGAGAUUUGUGGCAGAGUUGGUGAGAGGAAUGAACUCUUAAGCAAGCUGUUGUGUGAGAGUAGCGAGCAACAAAAAGGCCUUCAUAUCAUCUCAAUCGUUGGUAUGGGAGGCAUAGGGAAAACAACUCUUGCACAACUAGCUUGUAAUCAUGACGAGGUGAAGAGAAAGUUCGACAAAAUUCUGUGGGUGUGUGUAUCAGAAACUUUUGAGGAGUUUAGGGUUGCCAAAGCGAUCGUUGAAGUUUUGGAUGGUCGUGAAUCUCAUUUAGCUGAAUUCCAUUCUCUUCUUCAACAUAUUUAUGAAUCCAUUGCAGGGAAGAGCUUUCUUCUUGUCUUAGAUGACGUGUGGGAUGGAAAUUACUUGAAAUGGGAACCAUUCUACCGUUGUCUAAAGAAUGGUCUCCAUGGAAGUAAAAUUUUAGUUACCACACGUAAAGGGUCAGUCGCAUCCAUGAUGGGAUCCAUAGAUAUUAUCUCCGUUAAGGAGUUAGCUGAAGAGGAAUGUUGGUUGUUGUUUAACAAGAUAGCAUUUUUUGAUCGGUCCAUCGAGGAACGUGAAAAAUUAGAACAAAUUGGGCAAAGAAUUGCAGGCAAGUGCAAAGGUUUACCUCUUGCAGCAAAGACAAUAGGGAGUCUCAUGCGUUCUAAACAAACUGAAGAAGAGUGGAAAAGAAUUUUAAAUAGUGAUUUAUGGAAAGUAGAAGAGAUUGAGAAAGAUGUUUUGUCCUCUUUAUUGUUGAGUUAUAAUGAUUUGCCAUCUAGAGUAAAAAGAUGUUUUUCAUAUUGUGCUGUCUUUCCAAAAGACUACAAUAUAGAAAAAGACAAACUAAUCACGUUAUGGAUGGCUCAAGGUUAUCUUAGUGCAGAAGAAGAUGAAGAGAUGGAGACAGUAGGUGAAGAGUAUUUUGGCAUCUUAGCUUCUCGCUCAUUUUUUCAAGAGUUUAAGAAAAGUUAUGAUAAUCGGAUUAUAGAGUGUAAGAUGCAUGAUAUGGUACAUGAUUUUGCCCGAUUUGUAAGUCAAAAUGAAUGUUUUUCGAUGGCAAUCAAUGGUAGUGAAGAACCAAACGCCACAAACUCUCUUGAUGAGAAGGUCCGUCAUUUAAUGUUAAUCUUUAGUAUAGAGGCUUCAUUACCUGUUUCCACUUGUAGAGUUAAAAGAAUUCGUAGCCUCUUAAUUAACGAUAGUAGAUCUGAUCAUUCAUUAUUAAAUGGUGAGAUCCUAGAAGAAUUAUUUAGGGAAUUGACAAGUUUAAGGGCAUUAGAUUUUUGCAAAUCGUAUAACGCAAGUUGGUCUUCGACUCUGGAGAUUCCGAGAAACAUAGAAAAGCUGGUACAUUUAAGAUACCUUAAUUUGUCUUAUCAGGGAAUAAAGAAACUACCGGAGACAUUAUGCGAGUUGUAUAAUCUAGAAAAGUUAGAUAUUAGUUAUUGUUAUAAGCUAGAAGAAUUACCUGAAGGGAUUGGGAAGUUAAUAAACAUGAAGCAUUUACGAAAUAGAGGUACUAGUUCUUUAAGGUACAUGCCAGUAGGGAUUGGGAGAUUAACGGGUCUUAGGACCUUGGGUGAGUUCCACGUGAGUGCAGGAGGAGGUGUUGAUGGUAGGAAAGCAUGUAGGCUUGAAUCUCUUAAAAACUUGGAACACCUUCAAGUAUGUGGUAUAUGUAGACUGGGUGAUGUAUCAGAUGUGGGCGAGGCUAAGCGAUUAGAACUUGACAAAAAGAAAUACCUCUUCAGUUUGACCCUCGAGUUUGAUAAGACGGAAAGAGGAGGAGAAAGGAGGAAGAACGAGGACGAUCAACUUCUUCUUGAAGCCUUGCGACCACCCCUGGAUUUAAAGGAAUUAGAGAUACGGUACUACCGAGGCAACACUGUUUUCCCCAGCUGGAUGGCGUCAUUAACCAACUUAAAGAGUUUACAUCUCCAUAGGUGCGAAAAUUGCGAGCAGCUGCCUCCUUUGGGAAAAUUGCCGUCCCUUGAAAAUCUCUACAUAUGGCGCAUGGAGAGUGUGAAGAGAGUGGGUGAUGAAUUUUUGGGGAUAGAAAGUGAUCAUCAUGACUCAUCGUCAUCUUCAUCAGUUACUAUUGCCUUCCCCAAAUUGAAAUCACUCACAAUUUAUUCGAUGCUGGAAUUGGAGGAGUGGGAUUAUGAGAUUACAAGAACAGGAAACACCGUCAUCAACAUCAUGCCACGUCUUUCUUCCUUGACAAUUGUUGAUUGCACCACAUUAAAGGCACUGCCCGACCACAUUCAUCAAACGACAACGUUGAAGGAAUUGAGCAUUUUUAUGUGUUGGCUUCUGAACAAACGUUACCGCAAGGGGAAAGGAGAAGACUGGCCUAAAAUAUCACACAUUCCCAACCUCCGUAUUGGGCUUUGACAAGUAAUUUCUUCUCUCACUCUGAUUUGCUUUGUUGUUGUUUUUAAUCUAAUUAAGAAGCGAAAAUAGCAUUUUGAAUCAAACUCUAUAUCAGAAAUCUGCAAUACUUACUUUCUAAUAUUCUGAUUUUCAUAUCCUAUGAAUAUACGAUUUUUAAUUUGUGAGAUGGGUAACGUUACUGUAAAAGAUUAUUAAUGCAAUAUGAGUAAUUCUUUUGCAGGACAAGUGACCUACAUUUAGUUUGGCUUUGGAGUUGAAUAAUAACCUUUCGUGGUCCCGACAACCAAAAAACAAAGCUUAAUUUGCCACAGAUUGAACGUAUUGCCAUUAUUGACAAUUUUCUGCACAAGCGUGACUGAACUUAGGUUGAUGUCAAAAGAGGUAAAUUAUUGGCAUGCCUGACUAUUUUGACCAUUACAUGAUUCAUAAGUUUACAUUAAUUUUGAUUUUGAGUUGAGUGAUUAGUUUUCUAGGUUUGCUUACUUUAACUGGGUGACCAAUUUCUUGUAACUAAAUGUAUGAUGUGAUGCAGGAAGCAGGGCAGGAUAUGAAAAGAGAAGCUUAUUAGAGGAAGGAUUGCCAGUAACAGAAUCCAAAGAAAAAGAAACCAUUUCGAGGCAGCUGUUGGCAGUUGGCAGUGAAUGGAGCCCCUUGAAAAAAUUCCCAGGCCGUUGCACUGCAAUUACGAUCAUCCUCGGCCUCAGGUAAUUUCUUCUCCUGCAUUUUUGUUAUUUGCUAUCAAGUGACUAUUUUAAGUAUGAUUGCAUUAAGCUUCUGCUGGGAAAUUUGAGGUUUUGAUGACUGCCCAUGCUAUUGUCAGAAGCUGCGGUUCUUUUCAUCAGCCUGAACCUGGACCUGCCGCUAUGGAUAACUCAGGUUUUUUUUUUUUUUUUAAUCAACUGCCAUCUUUUCCACUGUUUAGAAACUCUUAAGAUUAAACUUUAGUAAAGUUGUUUUAGUUAUCCAUGUAAUCAGGCUGAGGAUACUUAGCUGCCUAUUUAGGCAAAUGUCAGAAUUUAGUUUGUUCGCUGGGAACUGGUGUGGACUGGCAAAGGAUGAUGAGAUAGUUUUUUGAGUGAGUAAAUUUUGGGAGCUUGAGUGUAUUGGGAUUUGCAAUUACAAUCAUCGUCUGCCUCAGGUGAUUUCUUCUCCUGCUCUGUCAUUGUUUGUUCUCUAAUUCAAAAGCAUAAAAUAUUUCAAUCAAUUUUUAUGCCAGGAAUAUGCAAAAGUUUCUAAUAUUUUAUUUCCAUCUGUUACAAGAUCAAACUGAAGCAGAACUCAAACAAAAGUAUGCUACUUCUUGCGGAAAUCUUGCCUUUGUUCAGAUUAUGAAACCAUUUCCAUGCAGCAAAUUCAUCCAAAAGUUUGAAUAAGUUUCAUGGUUGGACACUGUUGGCUUCUUUUUCUUCUGGGGUGCAUUUAGGUGCUAUCAAGUGACAGCUGUAAGUAUGAUUGCACUAAGCUGCCGCUGGGAAAUUUGAGGUUUUGAUGGCUGCCCAUGUUAUUUUCAAGAAACUAUUGAUGUAAGAAGCUGUGGUUCUUUUCAUCAGCUUGAACCUGAAACUGUCGCUAUGGAUAACUCAGGUUUUUGUUAUCAACUAUAUCAUCUUUUUCACUAUUUUGAAACUCUUAAGAUUAAACUUUAGUAAAGUUGUUUCAGCUAUUCAAAUGAAAAACUCAUUGAUUUGAGACUUCCUUCAUUAUUGUUUCUAAUUACAAUGCUAACGAUCCAGAUAAAAUAAUAUUUAAUCGGCGAAGGUGUCCCUUGGAAGUACAUCCUUCUUUUUCUUUUAUUAUAUAAAUUCUUGCAAUGAGCUUAGUGAAGCUGUUGUGCUAAUCAUGCCACUGCAUAAUUUGGCCCCUAAUGUGGGUACUCUGUUACAUUGUUCUGCAAAUUCUCCAGAAGUUAAAAUCAAUAAAUUUUCUAUUAGCUCUAGUGCUUUGACCUAAAUGCCAUUCUAUAUUUUGAUUACAAUGUUUUAACCUUUAAAUUAACUACCCCUAGAUGUUGGAUUUUCUAGAACUUCAAAAUGAUUAAUGGAGAAAGAUCCCAUUAUCGUUAUUGCUAUAAGAAAUUGAUUUAUGCAUCCAAAGAUACAUUAUAUAUUUCUGUGUCUCUAUUUGUAGAUGACAUUUAAGCAUCCAUAAACCGUCAGACAGAGGAAGGGGGUUCAGUGCAAAGAUUCUGUUGACCUAGGGUUGACUGCAUAAUGUCACUUGUUCGCAAUCUAUUAUUUAUUUUAUAUUUUGAAGAAUUUAAUGGGUAAUCCUAAUUGUUUGUUUUGGCAGGUAUGUGUUGUUAUCUCCUUCUAUCUAACAGUCGUACCUAAAUAGCAUAGUUUCAUCUGUGUUACCAUGUGAUGUACAUAAUUUCACAUUUGCCUCAGAUUAAGCUUAAUUUCCCACAGAAUAGAGCUGUCGCGACUGGACUUAGGUUGAUGUCCAAAGAGGUAAAUUAUUGGCAUGCCUAGAUAAUUUGGCCAUUUCCUAAUUCAUAAGUCUACAUUAAUUUUGAUUUUGAGUUGACUGAUUUCUUUUCAAGGUCUGCUUCCUUAACGGAGUGACCAAUGUUUUUCAACUAAAUUUAUCAUAUGAUGCAGGAAGCAGGGCAGGAUAUGAAAUGAGAAGCUCAUUGGUGGAAGUAUUGCCAGUAACAGAACCCAAAGAAAAUGAAACUAUUUCAAGGCAGCAGUUGGCAGUUGCAAGUGAAUGGAGGCCCUGACAAAAUUCUCAAGCGGUUGCAAUGCAAUUACGAUCAUCCUCAGCCUCAGGUAAUUUCUUCUCCUGCUCUGUUUUUAUUUGUUAUCUAAUUAAAAAGCAUAAAGUAUCUUGAAUCACUUUCUGUAUCUGGAACAUAUGCAGCAGUUUCUAAAAUCUUCAUAUGAGUGUAAUGAUGGUAAUUUCUGUUUUUUGUCUGUCAUUGAAUGUUAGACAACUUUCAGUGAGACUCUUGAACCGAGACAUUUUUGACAAAUGAAGGACAAUUGCUGAAGAGUGGGAAUGGUGCUAGAUUGGGGAAUAAAGACAAAGGAGGUAAAUUAUUUGCAGUUUAUUCAGCAUUAUUUGCUUUGGACCAGCGCCUGAUUCACAAGUCUCCAUAAUUUGGCUUUUGACCAGUUGUUAAUAAAUUUUUUAUUCCAUUGGUGCUAAAUGUACACGUGAAGCAGGCAGAGCAGGACUGUGGAAAUGAGAAGGUUUUUAGUGAAAGCUUAAACUCAGGUAAUUCUAAAAAGUACAUGUUUUUGCUGAUUUAUCUAAAUCAGGAAAUUUUAUUUCCAUCUGUUACAAGAUAAAACAGAAACAGAACACAAAGAAAAAUAUUCUACUUCUUGUGGCAAUCUUGCCUUCAUUCAGACAAUGAAACCAUUUCCUUUCACCAAUUUCUUCCAAAAGUUUGAAUAAGUUUCAUGGUUGGACAUAGUUAGCUUCUUUUUCUUUUGGUGCAUUUAGGUCCUAUCAAGUGACAGCCAUAAGUAUGAUUGCAUUAUUGGGAAAUUUUAGGUUUUGAUGGCUCCCCACGUUAUUGCCAAGAAAGUCCUCAUGUCAAAAGCUGCGGUUCUUUUCAUCAGCCUGAACCCGAACCUGUCGUUAUGGAUAACUCAGGUUUUUGUCAUCAACUAUAUCAUCUUUUUUACUGUUUUGAAACUCUUAAGAUUAAACUUCAGUAAAGUUGUUUCAGUUAUCCAUGUAAUCAGGCCAAGGAUAUUUAGCAGCUUAUUUAGGCAACUGCCAGAAUUCAGUUUGUUUGCUCGAAACUUGUAUGGUGACAAGGAUACUGGCAAGGAUAGUGAGAUAGUUUUUUGUGUGAGUGAAAUUUGAAAGCUUGGGUGUUCUGGGAUUUGCAAUUGCAAUCAUCCUCUGAGUCAGGUGAUUUCUUCUCCUGCUCUGUCUUGAUUUUCUCUCUAAUUGAAAGCAUAAAGUAUUUCAAUCAAAUUCUGUACCAGGAGUACAUAAAAGUUACUAAUAUUUUAUUUCCAUCUGUUUGCAUUGAUAACUCGGCAUAUGUUCUAGUUAAAGAACAAACAGAAACAGAGUUCAGGAAAAAGUUUCUUCGGCCACCAUAUUUGAAAAUGAAACCAUUUCCAGGAAGCAGUUGGCAGCAAAUUCAUAUGGAGUGUAGACAAUGAUGAGCAAAAAGGUGAUUCGCAAUUUCUUUUUUUUUUAAGUGAAAUUAUUUGUUAGAUUGAAGCUGAUAUUGUAAGAAGGCCAUUGAGCUAACCUAUGUCGUCACUUGCCUAGAUUGCAGGGGGUCAAGACUCAAAAGAAGCACUGAAAUUUAAAAAGCAUGGAAUAGUUCUUUUGCCAUGUGUCAAUUAAUGCAAGUUUGAAUAAGUUUAUUGGCUGAACGAUGUUAGCUUCUUUUCCUUUCGUGCACUUUGGUAUGCUAUCAAGUGACAGCCGUAUGUAUGGCUUGCAUAUAGCUGCUGCUGGGAAAAUUGACGAUUUCAUGGCUGGCCGUGUUAUUGUCUUAAAUUAGUUGUGAUAAGCUGUUGCUUGGAGAUUCUGUUGCCAAGACUUUGCUCACAUCAGAAGCUGUGGAAUCUGAACCCUUCGUUAUGUAUCAUCUUUUUCAUUGUUUUAAAACUCUCAGGAUUAAACUUGAGCGAAUUUGUUCGGUUGUCUAUAUAAUCAUGUAUUGAGUAAACUCUCAGGAUACUGAGGGUGAGAGAAAUUAGAGGGUGUAUAGGGAUUUGGAUUUGUUAGGAAGUUAUCAUUUUUAUUUUUAUUUUUAUUUUUUUCCCAGAAAAUCUUCUGGUGGUGCUAUAUUUUCAAACGACAGUCCGAUUCAAAACUUGAUAUUCCAAUUAUAUUCAUAAGCUUCUACAGUUAUCUUCAAAAAGACAAAUGGAAGGCUUUGAACGGCUUGGGUCUGAGUAUUGUAGUUUGAUUUAUUUUGAUGAAAGUACCUUUUGACAUUGAGAUUCUUUCAUGAGUUAAACAUUCUUUUUAAAACCAACUUAUUAAAAAAAAAAAGUAACUAACAUAUAUUAUUUUGUUAGUGCUUUUUAAAUCAAAUAUAAAAAAGAGAACUGUAAUUCUUAGCAACCAAUUUUUCACUGAGUACACCUACAACAAACUAUUAAAAAAUAAAGUGAUAGAAAAUGCCUGAUUUUUCGUACUUUCUAAUUACUUUUGGUCCUAAAAUAUGGCAAUUUGUGUAAUAAUAAGCCCAUGUAUAUCUUUAUGCCAUUAGUUUGAUAAAUAGCUAUCAAGGAUAACUUAUUAAGCUAAAAAUAUUUGAAGGAUAAAUUGAUUUAUGCAUCCAAAGAUACAUUAUAUAUUUCUGUGUCUCUAUUUAUAGAUGACAUUUAAGCAUCCAUAAACCGUCAGACAGAGGAAGGGGGUUCAGUGCAAAGAUUCUGUUGACCUAGGGUUGACUGCAUAAUGUCACUUGUUCGCAAUCUAUUAUUUAUUUUAUAUUUUGAAGAAUUUAAUGGGUAAUCCUAAUUGUUUGUUUUGGCAGGUAUGUGUUGUUAUCUCCUUCUAUCUAACAGUCGUACCUAAAUAGCAUAGUUUCAUCUGUGUUACCAUGUGAUGUACAUAAUUUCACAUUUGCCUCAGAUUAAGCUUAAUUUCCCACAGAAUAGAGCUGUCGUGACUGGAC